GAAGAGUUUAUGAGGCAAUCCAUGAGGGUCACAUAAUCUGUAAAGUAGCUGAUGCCUCCACCUUGACGAUGCUGCUCAUACGCAAUUAGGUUUCGAAAUUGUGACUCUGUGUGGUCCUGUACAAUCAAGACCGGUAUCUCGAGUUUGCCAUUCUCGAAUCUGAUGUCUUUCAUGUGUCGCCCUCGCACUGCCCUCAACUUGACUCCGGAUUCCCUGAGCUCCGUUGCUGAGGACAUGAACAUGAGUUUCUCUUUCGUUGGCGGGGCUCUGCCAGAUAGCCGGGGCACAUUAGGCAAGCCAGAAGUCCAGCAUGUGUGCAUUAGAUGAAGAAGAUGUUUGCUCUCGCGAAGUGUCGGACAUUGGCCCGAGUCUCCUAGUUUAAAAUCGAAAUACGUGGUGGCUAUAUCGAUGAGCUCACGAGGCUCGUCCGGACGUUUAGUCAGGUCAUAUAGCUUGUUCAAGAAGAAAAGCGGGAGUUGGUUCUCGAGCAGCAACAAAUCGCGCUGGAGGCAGUAUCGAAUCCAAUCUGCCUCCAUAAGCGGGCCGUCUUUGUUUCUCAGUUUCUCCAUAUUGUACUUACGGAACAACUCAACGAUGAAACAACCAUCAAUAAACAUCAUCGCUAGGAACUUUUCUUGGGAGAGGUUGAUGGUUUCCGCGUAGCAAUUACGCACCAGCUGUUCCAGUUCUCUUAGAGUCGGCAUAUACCGGUCAAUGCUUUCCUCUUUUCUCCUCUGAAGCAACUGCUGCACCAGCUGUUCCAGUUCUCUUAAAGUCGGCAUAUACCAGUCAACGCUUUCCUCUUUUCUCCUCUGAAGCAACUGCUGCACGUACCGCAGUUUUUGCUCCUCCAUGGAUUUGAAUUUGUCAUUUCCAUAGUGAUAAGGGCCGAUGACCAGAAUCUCUGGUUCAUAGGCUUUGUUGUUUACUCUACGCAGUUGAGGACGAACCCUAAAUAUACUAUGCUCUGGCAGGGUUGGAGGCACGCCACAGAGCAUAUCCUCGAUGUAGAUUAAGGCAUGAUCUUGUAUCCCAGAUCGCCCGUUGUUUCUAGCAUACUGUAUUGGUUACAACACAAUUAAUGUGAUAAUAAGCAUGUCAUAAAGCAAGAAGAUAGUUUUCCGUGUUCUUAAAUUUUCAUGUGCUUCCCUUUCAUUAAACUGUGUUGUGGCUUUGCUAUACAGCUUAGUAUGUUGAUAUAACCUUAUGAUCGUUACAACAAGCUUAUUGUCAUGUAUGUAACUAGCGCUUCUACAUGUUGCUGGCAAGAGAUUUCGUCAAAAUCACAUACUGAACACUGGACCAUUAUCAGUGAAUUUGCAAAAACGGUAAAAUAAAAAUGAAGGAGCACUAAUCAAUAACUAUGCAAUAAUUUAUUUAGCAAUAACCCAAGGAAGAAUUUAGAAUUGCAUAUGUACAUUCAUACAACAUAGAUACAUACAUAUAUAUUAAAUACAUGGAUGUAAAAAGAGUAAUCCUGAGAAAUUUUUGGCUAUUUUGCUUAGUGAGUAAUGUAAGAGCUAUUCUCUCUAACCACCUUAAUGAUCCCAGUGGUAUUUAGGUUUUCCUCCCCUCACUCUUUCAGUAUAUUUAAAAAUAUUUAUAUCUCAGUAUGAUAAUUAUCUUUACAUGCGAGCAAAGUUUUCCAUAAUAAAGCAUAGGCAGCGUACAAAAUCUCUCCCUGUGUGUAAUAUUGCCGAUUGUCAAUUUUGGUUAUCAUACUUUUUUCGUGACUUGUUUGAUUUCUAAACACUCCGAACAUUUUGAAAAAAGAAAAAGAAAAAAAGAAGAAAAAGAUCUUCAAAAAUUGGUAAACAAAAAACUAAUCUCCCAACAUAACUUCAGGACAAAUUCUGUGUUUCCGUAUGAAAUGCCGGUGGAAAAGGUUGACUAAGCACUGUAGUUGAACACACGUUGAUGACAUUGAACAUAGCAAACUGUUAGUCAGGGAAAAAUUACAAAAUAUCCUUAAUUUUCCUCCAUAAUGUACUUUUUUUUUAAUAACAAAUUUGGUCCCUACACAAAUUAGUAUUUGUAUGUAAAUGAGUAUAUGAAGUGCUGCUCAUAAACUUUCCAUAAUCAUGUUAAUUGAAUGGACCAUUAUAUGGAAUGCAAAAGACUGGUCUAAUCCUUCAACUUACUUGAUUAAGUUGGUGGUAGCUCAUUCUUCUUGCCAAGCUAGACCAGCCAGUAUCACGCAAGUCGAGUUCUUCUCUUCUUGUCGGAUUGUUUAUCAGUGAAGGAGAGAUAAAAUGAGACAGCUGCAAACACCAACCCUUUUAUACCAAACUCAAACACGUUUUAAGAACCUUCGUCGUUAAGACUUUUGAAGAUGGAAGGUACUGCAAUAAACCGAAGGUUCUUCGAAGUUGAUGAAGAGGCAAAGGGCUGAUAAAGUCUUACAAGGAAAUGUCAAAAAUGGACUUUAUGAGAAUGACUUAUAAAGUCUUCCACAAGUUACAUCAUCCUAUACAAAAAUUGACCAUUUUAAAUAAACUUCAUGAACUCUUGGAAAGAGUCCUACAUUAUAGCAUAUUCAUCAUGGAGACAACUUGUACACCCAUAAUGGAUUUAAAUAUUAAGUAUCGGCAUAUUCCUUCGGAUCGGCAUAUGAAGUCCUCCACAAGUUGCGUUGUGCCAUGUGAAACCGAGUGCAAUUGGUUUGCGCAUCAAGAAUUAAAGGGAGGCUUAUUUCCAAUUGGUAGGAACGAUGGAAUGGGUAGCGUUGGCUUAUAUUUGAAUUACCCGUUGAGACGAGUGCCAGUGCGUAUUCAUGGAAGUUGAAGAGUGGAGAAGACCAAGGAAAAUAAAAAGAGUGGAGAAGACUAAGAAGACUUGGAAAACGUCAAAAAUUGACUUUCAAAUAACUUGGCAAGUCUUUACACAAGUUGCAUUAUUAAUAUCAAGUGACUAGAGAUUAUUUUAAGGCCUUUUACUGUGUUAGACAACUCACAACAUCAUGGAAAAAUUUGAUGGAGUUUAAUAAUAGUCAGGACUAGCAAAUUAGCUUCAUCGUAUCCGCAACUUUAGACUUUUAAUAAUUGAUUGGGACCCGCUAGGCUUAGGAUGACACAUGAACAAGUAAAUAUUUGGGGGUUUUAGAAUUUGACAACAUUAUCAAAGUACACGAACUUCACUAGACUAAUUUCAUACAUAUCGUGUCACCUCUGUUAGUAAGUCCAAUAAGCAAUGCAGAAUAUUUCAACAACCUUUAUUUAUUGCCAUGUUGUAAAUUUAUUAAGUAAUGUAAAAUAUUUUCAACAACAUUUAUUUAUUGUUGCAUUGUAUAUAAAAUUCACAUGAAUUUAUUAAGCAAUGUAGAAUAUUUCAACAACCUUUAUUUAUUGCUGCGUUGGCCAACUCUGUUGUGCCCACUUAUAUAAAAUUCACAUGAAUUUAUUAAGCAAUGCAGAAUAUUUCAACAACCUUUAUUUAUUGCUGCGUUGGCCAACUCUGUUGUGCCCACUUAUAUAAAAUUCACAUGAAUUUAUUAAGCAAUGUAUAUUGCUGCGUUGGCCAACUCUGUUGCGCCCACUUCCCCCCCUUCCUUCUCUCCGUGGAGUCCUAUUUCUGUGAUAUUUCAAAGGAAUCUCUCACUUUCUGUUUUGAAAAGGACUUGUAUUUGGGGGUGGUUUUGGGACAAAAUAACUUUACUCCCAUAAUAUGGUAUAUAGGAAAAUAGUAAAGAAAAACUUUCUUGCUAAAAAAUAAUCUGGGAUGUAAACUAUGAUUGUGCCAAUUAUAAGGGAAAGAUAUGUUGGAAGUCCUAUCCUUCAAGUACGAAAUGCAAUUAAAUCUUAAUUUUAUUGAUUCAAUCUAGUCUUAAACUUAUUCGUAACAAUACAAUCAAGUCAUUUGAUGGAUAGUAGCUCUCCAAAAACUGUCUCAAAUUGAACUUUUCAACUUUUGAAUCUACAUUUAGCAUUCAAUUACACUUUUAAUAAAGUCUUAAGACUUAAUUAGACCAUUUCAAAUAUUGAGGAGAUUGUACUUUGCGUUGAAGGUUGGUCUUGAUUGUAUUGAUUAAAAGGUUUAGAAUUUGAUUACAUUCUGUACAUAAAGCUUAAGACACGCGGUGUAAAUAUUUUCUAUAACUAAGGAACUUUCACAUUAAAUUCACCACACCACAUUCCUAGGUGACAAACAUAACUCACUAAUUUAAACACAAGAUAUGCAUGAAUGUCGAUUUAGAGUAAUCGUAGGGAGAAUACUUUUUUAUUUUCCUAGUAGUGCUUUUAAGUGUAGAUGGUUUAGAUUAAACUGAAAAACACAUCCCCUUUGUGAGUAGAAAUAGGGAAGAUAGAAUUUCAUAGCUUCCCAAUCUCAUGCCCUUAAUUCUACAACUAUGAGAAAACCUGAUAUGAACUUAGAUGUUCCGGCUGGUGAUCAAACCUUGGACUUCCUCUCGCGGUAUGGAAGAAGCUGAAGCUUGAUUUCAUUUAUCGUUUCCUUUUGAAAAAAAAAAAAUUAUAAUAAUGGUCCACAAAAACCGGUGACGCGUGCUAGACACUGACGACCUCCAGGCGACAAACCCAUCCCUAAAGGUCCAAAAACCUGGGGCCAAUGAUCAUUAGCGACGGCUAGGUGACCGUCACCCAUCGUCGCCUAUAAUCUUUAUGUCAACAAAUAUAGCAAAGGGAUUGGCAUUGGGAUAACGCGUUAACACGACCACAUAUGCGCUCACACCAGACCACCGCAUAGAAACGGCAAGCCAUCAAUCUGUGUUUGUUAAGCUAUAGAAUUGCGCACGUUGCGCGUUCAUAUAAAUGAAGACCAAACCACCUGUGUUCAUCUUAGACACACAAAUGGAAACACGUGUUCAUUUGAGUAUUUUCCGAUCACGAAGGCCCUUCCCUCUUUGAACCCCACGGUUCAGUCAUCGUCAUCUUCCAUAUCUUGCAGAACUUAAAAGGACAUAACCAUGUCGUCCCCAAGGUUGAACCAUCCUACUCCUCAAAGAUACACGGUCACCAGUUGUUUCGAGGCCAUUCCUCACCUGGAGCAAUCGGAAAACCGUGUCACUUGGUCAUCCAAGAUAUAUCGUUGCUGUGACGAGCCACGCAGCUGUAGUUUUUUUGUCCACUCAAAGUUGUAUAAUUUGUAUGGCUCAUGCGUGCUCAGCGAUAUAUAUUGAUGCCGUACGUGUUUCAGGUUGGCAAACAUUUUUUUGCCCAUGCAUCACUUUUGGGAGGAUUGCAGAGUUCGCGGACCCAGGAUCUUCAAGUAGGUAUUUAUCAACUAGUCUUUUUCUCCAUGUGUGAACGAAAAAAGAUGAUGGUCAUGGACGAGAUCUACACUGAGCGAUCGGUCCGUGCCUAGUUAAAUAGAUAUACCAAUUCCAAUUUUGUGAAUACACCAAUACAAGCAAAUCCUUUAUCCCUCAUCCUCAUCCUCAACCGCCCCAGACCCAUCAACCUUCUCGUAAUUGCAUACCCCGACUAUGCAUAUCGUGCAAUCUAAAUCUGAGGUCAAGCGACUUCCGCCACCACCGUCAGCAUCAUAUUGGGAAUCUGCUAUCUGAGUAAACAACAACAGAGGAUUCGAGUUUGACCAUCUGAGUAAAGCAGAGAGAGAGAGAGAGAGAGAGAGGAGCCCAGGCGGCACGGUAAUGAGCUGAUAGAGAGAAGAGACAGAUGGUUAGGAUUUGAGCGGUGGGUCGGGCAAUUCCUUGAGUUAGAUCUACACGUCUGUGAUUAAAAAAAAAAAAAAAGGGAAUGCAUGCCAAGUUUUCGAACAGCAACGGCCAUACCAUCCUCGAUAGGAAACCAAAAGCUUGUAGCUCCUUAAAGAGAGUAACGGGGAAGCUUUGUUAUCUAGAAACUACAGAAUUACCAGGGUAAGUUGACUUGACCCCCUCCCCGCUUUAAAUGUGCUACCAUUACAUCCUGCGCUUUCCCAAAAUGUUUUAGAAUGUUGAAAAUGAGCUUCACAUUUGUAAGUUCAGAACUUUGAGGGCCGCCACAGUAAUUUACCUCAAAUUAUGAAAUAUUAACAACGUUUUUGUCUUGAUUAUUGAAUUGAUAUUGCUAGUAUGAGUACCUAGAGGGGGGUGAAUAGGUACCUAAACACUUUAUCGAUAUACGGAAGCGAUUCUUAACAUAUGAUAGAAAGUAAAUUCUCUCUUAAUUAACAAAAUGAAAUACGAUUGAGGUAGAGAGAGUGAGGAAGAGAAAAUUGAACACAGGAUUUAUAGUAGUUCGGCUUAUUCCAAGCCUACGUCCACUCUUCCGCACUGACAGCCCACCGGCUGGAUUUCACUAUGAUCAAAAGAGAAGUUACAGCAUAGCUUUGCCUUGAUUCCACAGUGUAGAUGUUUUACCACACCUCCUCAAGGUCUCUCACAAAUAUAAACUCUCUUUUGUAUACAAGUAUUCGCUCAAAGGAUUUAUCUAAACAAAUAGGAGCUUCAGACUUUGGAAUUAUUCUAUCGCGCACACCUCGAACAACUAAGAACGUCUUCCUUAUAUAUUCCUUUAUGCCAUCAUACCCGUUGGCACUUACCAAAGGAAUUCCUCCAAUCUACCCGUUGGACGGAAUCAAUUAGGAAGAUUGUUCGAGCUAUUAAAGGAACGUGUUGAUAGCCCAUCAAUCCUGUUCGCCCAUACAAUCAGGAUCUCGGUUUCCAUAAGUAGAACCUUCCAAUAAUAUUUAGACAAUCAUCGAAUCUUCAGUCAUUGAAUCAAUCUUGAUCAAUCAAAGGAUUCUUAUACGUCUUCUCCAACCACGAGAUCUUCUCCAGAUGAUAAGGUUAAAUCCUGAACAAAACAUCCAGUUCUGGAUAACCUUUUUUCAACGGAUUAGAGACUGUUAAUGAGGAUAGACUUUGAGUCUUGAGUCUGGCUGUCCGGAAGUCUUCAGACUUUAACUAACAGAGUCUGCAGACCUUCAGACUAGACUGAUGGAAACGUUUUGUCAACUUCAAAACUCUUCACGAAGAUUUCUCCAACAAUCUCCCCCUUUUUGAUGGUGACAAAACCUUCCUGCAGAUUUGGAUAACUUUGACCUGCAAAACAUUUCUCAAACACAUAUGCAUAUCUUAUAGAGAUGAAUGGCUAAAAGAUUAACACUAGAAUCUGCAACCACAGAAAAUAGGUUAGUCUAGUAUAUAAUAAAACCAUCCAUAAGAUAUCAAUACUUGUUAAUAGAAGCAGUCAAGUCCAAGUCUAGUUCAGAUCUCAUCCAGACACAAAACAAAGUCAAAGUCUGUCAAAAACAGUUAAACAACAACACAAUCCAACAAACAGUUAAAAAAUGAUUGAAAGUUUUUGAUCAAAUCAUGCAUCUCUCCCCCUUUUUGUCAUCAUUAAAAAGGAUGAGAUGAAGUCUUGGGAAUGCGGACAAGCUGGAAAUCUUCCAUAGACUGAACGAUGCCUUCCAGCCUUUUAAAGUCUUCCUUCAGCUGUACAACCUCCUCACUCUUGGCAUUGGCCUGAUUCUGAAUAGAGAGGGCUUGCAUCUUAUCAUUCAAUGAACAGGAAGAAGCUUGACUUUCAUUCUUCAAACUUUGAACUUCGCAUCCCAAGGCAUAAAUCUGACCUUUCAUUUCCAAGAGAAUAUCCAUGAUUCUGCGAAAAUCUGCUCCAUUAUCAGUCUGAGUACUUGCUUCGGCUCGAUCUGCAGAAGAUGGUAGAUCAGCAUAAUCUUGCAGAUUUGGCGAUGACACUUCAUGACCUUCUUCUGGAAACUGAGAUGCAUAAACAUCUUCUGGGUCUGCAGGCGAGCGACUGACUCCUUCACUUGCAUCAGGAUAUGAAGACGUCACUCCUUUCUCCUAAUCUCCCCCUGUUUUCAUGCCUACAGGUGGAGAAGAGAUUUCCUCAGGUUCUCCUUCUUCUCUUCUUUCUUCUUCAGGUCUUUCUUCCUCUGCUUCUUGCUCUGCUUCUCUUUCUUCUUCUUCCUUCUCCUCUGCUUCUCUUUCUUCUUCUUCCUUCUCCUCUGCUUCUUUCGUCUUUUGUUCCGAUUCUUUCUGUGGAACAGGACGACCUAAAUUCUUCAAAGCCAUUGCAGAGAUGGUGAUGUCUUCGUCAUCAUCUUCAUCCUCAACGAGGAGAGCUCUUCUUCUCUUUGAUGAAGCAGCCAUGGGCUCCUUCCCUUUUCUCUUAGCAGCAGAAGAGAAUUGAUGAGAUUUGGCAGGAGUCUUCUCCUUGAAUUUCUCCAAUUCCUUGCUCAGUUCCUUCAGACGCAUUUUGGUCACCAUUUUCAGUCCUACCACCAUAUGAUCGCAUGAUCGAACACAAAAGAUUUGCGGAGGCUGAAUAUUCAGAUGUCUGAAUAACUUCGUAACAAGGCUUGGGUAAGGGAGUUGACCUCUGUCCUUCAUCACUGCUCUAUACAUGUGAAACAUAACAGUAUGAGGGAGAGAAAACUUCUUUCCACAGAGGAUGGCAUACAUCAACUUUGCCUCAGAGCUUGAAACAUCAGUUUUGGAAGUUGAUUUCGGCCGAAGACAAUUGAUCACAAUCUUGUGAAGCAAGAUGUUGAAUGCAUUCAUCCGUGAGUAGGUGAUCUUCUCAUCUGUUCUCCUGUCCUUCACCAGUUCAAGUGUGGCCCGAGCAAUGGAAACUUUGAUUGGUUGAUAUCUGCCUCUCUCAACUUCUAACACAUCUGCCAGCAUAUUCAUAUCCACAACAUAGUCUUGUUCUUUAACGCUGAAGGAGAAUCUAUUCGCAUCCAAAAAGCUAAGAUUUGAAUAGAAAUAUGCAGUCAAUUCAGCAUAAGCCUCAGUUGAGUCAGAGCAAAACUUUUCAAGUUGAAGAUAACUGAACUUUUCCCUCAAGUUCACUUUCACAGCAUCCAGAAAAUCAAAGUCCACACUCCUAGGGUUUAUUACCCCACGCUUCAGCAAUUUCGAGUACAGAUCCUUUUGUUCCUUUGAUCUGAACAAAUCUCCCCUUUUUCCUUGAAUUUCAGCCGCAAUACCCAUUUUCGGUUGAAAUAGACUGAACAGAUUGUCAUUGUCAUUCCCAUCUACAGGAUUCGGUCCCUAGUCACGAGGAUCACUUGGGAUAUUCGCAAGGGUUUCCUCAGCCACCCCUUUACGAGCGAUUCCCAAACUUUCUAUUUUUCGCAGAAAGAUAUAUUCGUUCCUAUAUCCUUUGUCUCUAAGAAACUCAUCAACAUAGUUCAAAGGAGUACGAAUUCCUUUUAAGGCACGAUAUAGCUUGUAAAUAAAAGCGGGCUUUUGAACUCUUACGGGGUCUGCAUCCUCGAUGAUUUCUUCUUGAUGCUGAUGAACAACGCCUUGAGGACUAGAUGGAGGAGACUGACGCUGCUGAGAAUGUUGUGGGCUCGGUUGCCGAUCUGGAGUAACUUCAUCUUCAGUAAGAUCGAAGUGCGUAGGCCCCUCACUCAUUCUCUGUGGUCCCCUGCUUGCGAUUCUUGAGGACUUUCGUGAAGAUGACAUCUUUCUCAGUGUUUGGAAGAUUCCUUGCUUGACUUUCCCAGAAAAGAUGACAACUUUUUGAAGAUUGAGCGAAGAAAACAAACGGGAAUUGAGGAUCGAUGCUUUCUAGGGUUUUUGAGAGAAAAGUGAAUAGAAAAGUGAAGAGAAAUCGACAGUGCACAAUCGGUUAAAAAGAAGAGUAAACGAACCGUCACAAAGGAAAUAAAAAUAUGCCUUUUCAAAAUAACUGUCUUUAUCCGCAAAAAUAGUUAUUUCAAAAAUAACUUCCCUUUUGAAAAUGAAUCGAUGCAAUAUUUACGUUAAUUAAAUAUAGCAACAAUUUAAACAUAGCCUGAUGAUCGUACCUUUUCAAGAUAAGAUUGGAGAGAGAAAGACUUACAGUCUGAAGGUCGAGCCAAGACAGUAGAUAAAGUCUUGUUAGCCUGAGUCUGACAGUCUUUAGACUUUGAUAUCCUCAUACCUCAAAAUGUUGAGUCUGGACCGUAUAGACUCAAAUUGAUUUUUCUCCAAAGGCUUUGUGAGUAUAUUAGCCAGUUGAUUCUUUGAGUCAACAAAUUGAAUUGAAACAUCUCCAUUUUGAACAUGAUCUCUAAUAAAGUGAUGUCGAAUCUCUAUAUGCUUUGCUCUUGAGUGGAGAAUUGGAUUUUUGGUGAGGUUGAUAGCGCUGGUGUUGUCGCAAUUAAUCUCCAUGCAUGAGUCUUCAAUUUCAAAAUCUCUUAGCUGUUGUUUUAUCCAUAGAAUUUGCGAACAGUAGCUUCCAAGAGCUACAUAUUCUGCUUCUGUUGUUGAAAGAGACACAGUGCUUUGUUUCCUUGAAAACCAAGACACUGUCCUGCUUCCAAGCAACUGGCAAGUUCCUGAAGUGCUCUUUCUAUCAACUCUGCAACCGGCCAGAUCUGCGUCUGAAUAUCCCAGAAGAUUAAAGUCUCCCUUCUUAGGAUACCAAAGACCGAUGCUUGAUGAUGAAGCAACGUAUUUAAUGAUGCGUUUCGCAGCACUGAGAUGAGAUUCUCUAGGAUCUGAUUGAAACCUAGCACAGAUGCAAACACUCAACAAAAUAUUAGGUCUAGAGGCAGUAAGAUAAAGAAGUGAUCCAAUAAUGCUCCUAUACAGCUUUUGAUCAACUUUCUUCCCUUAUUCAUCUUUGUCUAUCUUUAAAGAACUUGACAUUGAUAUGUCGACCUUUUUGCACUUUUCCAGUCCAAACCUUUUGACAAGAUCAUUAACAUAUUUUUCUUGAUAAAUAAAAGUUCCUUCCUUCAAUUGUUUUACUUGAAGACCAAGAAAGAAUGUUAACUCUCCCAUCAUACUCAUUUCAAACUCAUCCUGCAUAGACUUUGAAAAUUUCUUGCAAAGACUUUCAUUAGAGGAUCCAAAAAUAAUAUCAUCCACAUAUAUUUGAACAAAUAAGAAACUUUUGUUUUCCUUCUUGAUAAAUAAAGUCGUAUCUACUUUACCUUUGACAAAACCAUUUUGUAUUAGGAACUUACUUAAUCUGUCGUACCAAGCCCGAGGUGCUUGCUUUAAACCAUACAAAGCCUUUUUCAGUCUGAAGAUUGAGUCUGGCUUCUUUGGGUCUUCAAACCUUGGUGGUUGUUCCACAUAAACUUCCUCAUGGAUAAAUCCAUUUAGGAAGGCGCUUUUGACGUCCAUUUGGAAUAACCUGAAAUUCUUAUAACAAGCAAACGCAAGUAAUAGUCGAAUAGCUUCUAACCUUGCCACUGGAGCGUAAGUCUCAUCAUAGUCUAUUCCUUCUUCUUGCGUAUAUCCCUUGGCCACGAGUCUUGCUUUAUUUCGUACGACUUUUCCUUUCUCGUUCAUCUUGUUUCUGAAAACCCAUUUAGCUCCAAUAACAGUUUUACCUUUUGGUUUGGAUGUCAAUUCCCAGACAUCGUUUAUGUUGAACUGUCUGAGCUCUUCUUGCAUAGUUUCAAUCCAGCUUUCAUCAGAUAAAGCUUCUUCUAUGCUCUUUGGUUCAAUUUCAGAAACGAGUGCCACAGCACUAGACUCUUCUCGCAUUUUGGAUCUGGUGCGAAUUCCUUCAUUCAUUUCGCCGAUUAUAAGAUCUUUGGGAUGACUGGACUUAUGCUUCCAGUUACUUGUUGAUUUGUCUGAUUGAUGAUCUCUCUCUUUGAUUGAAUCUUCACGAACAUCCUUAUUCUGGUUUUCCAGAGUCUGAGAUGCUUCUUGAGUUGUAAGCUUUGGAAGAUCUGGAGCAGGUUCAGACUCUUCUUGAUGAGUCUGACUUGAUUCAUCUUGUGUUGAGUCUUGAAAUUUGACAUUCAUUGACUCCUCCACAAACUGGCUCUUCUUGUUAUAGACUCUGAAGGCUUUGCUUGAUGUAGAAUAUCCAAGGAAGAUACCUUCAUCUGAUCUUUCUUCAAACUUACCAACUCGAUCUUUUGCAUUUUUCAGUAUAAAACAUUUGCAACCAAAUACAUGAAAGUAUGAAACAAUAGGCUUCUUUUCUUUGAAUAAUUCAUAAGGGGUUUUUUGAAGAAUAGAUCUUAAGAAGACUCUAUUGAUGAUAUAGCAUGCUGUUGAAAUAGCUUCAGCCCAAAAUCGACAAGAAAUUUUACUUUCAAUUAAAAGAGUUCUAGCCAUUUCUUGAAGAGAUCUGUUCUUUCUUUCCACAACUCCAUUUUGCUGAGGAGUAUAUGGAGAGGAAAACACAUGCUUACAGCCAGAUUCAUCACAGAAUUUUGUAAAAUCUUGAUUUUCAAAUUCACCUCCAUGAUCUGUUCUUAUACUAGAGAUAACACAUCAUUUUUCAUUUUGAACCAUUUUAGCAAAUUUUUCAAAAUACGAAAAGGUUUCGGACUUACUUGCAAGGAAAUAUACCCAAGUAAAACGGGAGUAAUCAUCAACAAUUACUAGGCAAUACUUCUUACCCCCAAUACUUUGAGUUCUGGUUGGUCCGAAGAGAUCCAUAUGCAGCAACUGUAGUACAUGAUUAGUAGAGACAUAAUUAAUUGGCUUAAAAGAAUUUCUUACCUGCUUUCCCAGAAUACAUGGAGUGCAUGAAUCAGUCUUUUGGUAUGGCAAUCUGGGUAGUCCUCGAACAAGCUAUUUUGAAGAGAUUUUGGCUAAUUGCUUCAUGUUGACAUGACCAAGCUUUUUGUGCCAUAAGCUUGCUUCGUCUUGAAUUGAGAUAAGGCAUUGCGAUUCAUUUGGUUUCACAUCCAGAAGAUAGAUAUUUCCAUGUCUUCGACCCAUGAAAGACUGAGUAGAGUCUUUACUGAUUCAAGAACAUGUUCCUUCUUGAAAGAAGAUCUUGAAACCAGUAUCACACAAUUGACUAAUGCUGAGAAGAUUGUAAUUGAGUCCUUCCACUAAGGAAACAUUACUUAUUGUGAGAGUUCCAAUUUUCACGGUUCCAAAUCCCACAAUACUUCCUUUGCUGUUUCCUCCAAAUGAAACUUUUCCACCAUUUACUUGAGCAAUCUUUAUAAAGCAAUUUGAGUCUCCUAUCAUGUGUCUUGAGCAUCCGCUGUCAAGAUACCACUUUACCUGUUUCUUGACGGAGACCUGCAUUUAAAAUAAAGUCUCAAGCUUUCUUUGGUACCCAAAUUUUCUUGGGUCCUUUGGUGUUAGUAAGAUAAACAGUAUUAGCCCAUACUUUCUUAAUAGGUUUCCAUACCAUAGGACACUCUUUUUCAAAGUGAUCCGGACUGUUGCACUUAGAACAUCUGAGAGCAUUUCUACCUACAGGUUUUACAAAAACUUUCUUGAAGUGAUUUUUGUAAACCUCACUCGAGAGUCUUUUCUUAAUUCUUUCUUUUACUUUAGGAAAAUCAAUCAAGGGGAUUGUUUCUUCUGUCAUACCUAGACCAGACUUAUUGAAGUAAGGUCUUUGUGCUGAAAGAAUUUUCUCAAGUUUUUCAGACCCUAUAGAAAAUUUCUUUGAUAUAUUUGAUAAGUCUGUUUUUAAAAAAGCAUUUUCUUUUAAAAGAUUAUUUUCAUUUUCUUUAAGAUUGGAAACAGACAAGGCUAGACUUUUAACUCUUUCUGCUAAAACAGUUUCCUUUUGUUUUAGAGCUGAGUUUUCUUUUUUCAGUUCAGAAAUUCUUUUGAGAGAAGUCUUAAGACUAAAGCAUAGUUCAUCAAUAUAUUUAGAAACUUUGACAGGAAUUUUAAAAUCACUUGCCUCAAAUUCACUGUCUGAGUCUGAUCCUGAGUCUGAUCCAGAGUCUGAGUCUGAUUGUGCCAUCAGACAUAGAUUGGCAUAUUCAUUAUCACUUUCUUCACACUCAGUAUCACUCCAGGUUUCGGCUUUGAGAGCUUUUCGAAAUUUUUCAGCUUUUCCUCUCUUCUUUUCAGAAGAGGACAGUUGGGUCUGAUGUGUCCCUUUUUCUUGCAUUCAAAGCAGACUACAUCUUUAUUUGGUUCCUCAUCAUCAACAGACUUGGUCUGCUGUCUUUGAAAGCUUUGUUUCUUUGAGUUGAACCUUCUUCCUUUUCUAUUUAGUUUUCUGAAUCUUCUUAUCAUGAGAGCAAGCUCCUCAUCGUCCAUAUCAUCUUCAGAAUCUGUAUCAUCAGAAUCAUCAUUUGAUUUUAAUGCAAUGGAUUUCUUACCUUUUGGAUCUUCAUCUUCAUUGAUCCUUUCCACUUCAUAGGACUGAAGAGUUCCAAUCAGCUCGUCGACAGAUAGUGGCAUAAUUCUCUGCGUCUCUCUUAUCGAAGUCUUUAUGUGAUUCCAAUCCCUGGAGAGUCCACGCAGUAGCUUGUUUACCUUCAUGGGAUCAAAAGCUGUGUACUUACUUUAUUUAAAGUGUUUUACUUCAUAGUAAAAGAUCCAUGGCUAGUAUGCUAGCACCAAGGCUGAUGGAAGGGCAAAGCAAUACCAGACCACCCUACUUUGAUGGAAAGGAUUACAACAUCUGGAAGAACAAGAUGAAAGCUUUCCUACGAUCUGUCCCAAACUUCUUUUGCUGUACCACAAGAAGAUAUUCUAUUAUAUUCAGUUGGUGAUAAAGCACAAUAUAAGGAGUAAAUUGCUUUUGCAUCGAGUGUUUGUCUCUUGAUCAUUUCUUCCUGAGACAUUCCGCUGGUUUCUUCAGUUUCUUUUCCUCUUUCAGAGACUGAUGCAGUGGUAGGAGUAAUUCCUUUUUCUACAACAUCCCAUUCCAGAGGAUCCUUUGAUCGUAGGAAAGCUUUCAUCUUGUUCUUCCAGAUGUUGUAAUCCUUUCCAUCAAAGUAGCGUGGUCUGGUAUUGCUUUGCCCUUCCAUCAGCCCUGGUGCUAGCAUACUAGCCAUGGAUCUUUUACUAUGAAGUAAAACACUUCAAAUAAAGUAAGUACACAGGCUCUGAUACCAAUUGAUAUUGCUAGUAUGAGUACCUAGAGGGGGGUGAAUAGGUACCUAAACACUUUAUCGAUAUACGGAAGCGAUUCUUAACAUAUGAUAGAAAGUAAAUUCUCUCUUAAUUAACAAAAUGAAAUACGAUUGAGGUAGAGAGAGUGAGGAAGAGAAAAUUGAAAACAGGAUUUAUAGUGGUUCGGCUUAUUCCAAGCCUACGUCCACUCUUCCGCACUGACAGCCCACCGGCUGGAUUUCACUAUGAUCAAAAGAGAAGUUACAGCACAGCUUUGCCUUGAUUCCACAGUGUAGAUGUUUUACCACACCUCCUCAAGGUCUCUCACAAAUAUAGACUCUCUUUUGUAUACAAGUAUUCGCUCAAAGGAUUUAUCUAAACAAAUAGGAGCUUCAGACUUUGGAAUUCUUCUAUCGCGCACACCUCGAACAACUAAGAACGUCCUCUUUAUAUACUCCUUUAUGCCAUCAUACCCGUUGGCACUUACCAAAGGAAUUCCUCCAAUCUACCCGUUGGACGGAAUCAAUUAGGAAGAUUGUUUGAGCUAUUAAAGGAACGUGUUGAUAGCUCAUCAAUCCUGUUCGCCCAUACAAUCAGGAUCUCGGUUUCCAUAAGUAGAACCUUCCAAUAAUAUUUAGACAAUCAUCGAAUCUUCAGUCAUUGAAUCAAUCUUGAUCAAUCAAAGGAUUCUUAUACGUCUUCUCCAACCACGAGAUCUUCUCCAGAUGAUAAGGUUAAAUCCUGAACAAAACAUCCAGUUCUGGAUAACCUUUUUUCAACGGAUUAGAGACUGUCAAUGAGGAUAGACUUUGAGUCUUGAGUCUGGCUGUCCGGAAGUCUUCAGACUUUAACUAACAGAGUCUGCAGACCUUCAGACUAGACUGAUGGAAACGUUUUGUCAACUUCAAAACACUUCACGAAGAUUUCUCCAACAUGAAUAAGGUCAUGAAAAAUGAAAGAGCAUAACUUAGACAGAUCAUAGGCGAUCGGCAUAAUUAUUAAAUCUUGUUUUGUUGCAGCUUGUGUUGCGAAAGGCGCGCUCUACUGUUUAGCCGCUGCAUUGACCGGUUGUUUCGGAGGAGUUUGCUGUUGCGGUUGCUGUAAUCGCAGAAGGAUGAGGACACGACUCCAGUGGGAGCCGAAGACAUGCAACGAUUGUUGUGUUCAUUGCUUUUGCCAUUGUUGUGCUCUGUGUCAAGAAUAUCGUCACCUCCAAAGCCUCCGCCCCGACCCUUCCACGGGUACUAGACUAUAUAUAUAAUCUCGAAUUCGCUUCCAAGCUAUCUUAAAGAAUUGCUCGUGUAGGACCACUAAUUCUAGAAUCCGUAUUCUCGGAUAAAUUGAUAGAAUGCAGAAUCUUUUUGUUGGAUUCAAACUUUGCGUCUGACUACAAAAGAAACAUCAAAUCUGGCUUUGUUUGGCCCAAGAAUUGACGGAGUGAGUAAGCAUUUAUUUGAAUGUGGCAAAUUCCGUAUAUAGAUCACCGUAUCUUCUACUCAAAGUAAUUUUCUUGGCUAGCUUGUUGAUGGAGUCUAACUCAAUGUGCAUGGGUCUAGCUCCCAUGUCUUGAUACCCUGUUGCCAAAUAUUUAUAAACUUAGAUCAACGGUUGUGCUUAUACUUUCAGGGUUUUUUUUUUUUGGUUCUUUUAGUUCUGAUACAUGCAAUUACCCCAAAUUUUUCAGGACGGGAAGAAAAUAGGCAGACGGGUAAUGGCUCAAUAGGGAUGACUCCACCUCCUAUGACGAGAAACAUGAGGCCAGAAAGCCGAUCAGCGAAGGUCAUACCAUAAACAUCCGAAUGUAUAGGAGUGUUAAAAUAUCUCAAGUCCCUUGUUUAUAGAAAUGCUCUUUUUAUAUAUGUGAUUUCUCUCCACCUAUAGAUUUAAGUUUUUGGAUUGGACAUUAUAACACGGAAUUAAAAUUAGGUUCUACCCAGUUGAUUUCACAUGUGCGACCCCCAUCCUUCAAAUUCUAAGUGUCAUUAUUCCUAAGACAAUUUGCAAGUGAGGGGUUGUUAAAUUACAUAGUUCAUGUACGAGAUUUAUAUGCUCUUUAAAUGUAGAUUCUCUCCCUUCACCUAUAGAAAUAAGUUUUUUGGUUGGAUAUUCUAACGAGACAUUUUAGUAAUAUACGGGUCUAUUGUUGCUUGUAAACUGUGAAGAUUACUGACCAAAAAACAAAAACCUGUGAAAGAUUUCUUGUUUACUUCCGAAAUGAUGAUCUCCUAUGUGAUAAUUAACUUGAACGGGCAAGAGCAAAUGAGUUUUGGUUUUCAUUGGUCGUCCCAGCUUAGGCAGAUUGAAAUAUUAUAAUUUUAACAUAAGCAAAGUCAUAAAAUAAGAAUGGGCUAAUAUCACGAAAAACUCUUAACUCGUACACCGGUGACAAAUUUAUCCCAAACCAAUUUUUUGAUGAUAUAAAAUCUCAAAUUGGUAUACUUGUGAUAAAUUUAUUCUCCAUUAGUUUUCAUUAAAUUUUACUAUCAAAUUAUUGAGUUUAAUGACACAUGACAUUUGACAGAUAUACUUUAGCAAAAAAAAAAAAAAAAAGACUAUUGACAGAUAUACCAAUUUGGAGUUUUACCCCCGUUUGUCAAAACAAUUGAGUUUUGUAUGCUUCAUAUCCAUAUAUUUCCUCUGUAAACAAAUUUGGCAAAAUUAUUUAGAAAACGCAUGCCGAACGAGGUGAGGACACCUGGAGUGCCAUAACUUGGCACGCCGGGACACUUAAGUGCCAUAACUUUAAAAUGGUACACUUAAGUGCCAUCAUCGGAGUAAAAUGGGACACUUAAGUGCCACUCCGGCAAAAUCCGGCCAAAUGGCUGACGUGGCAAUUUUCCGGCGAGUUUAGUCCAAAACGGCGUCGUUUUGCACGCUGACGUGGCAGAGAAAACGCAAAAACGACGCCGUUUCGUGCCUACGUGUAAAUAAUAAUAUAAAAAUUAAUUAAAUUAUAAAGUAUUCAAAAAAUUUAAAAAAUUAAGAAAAAUUUAAAAUUUUUAAAAAUUAAGAAAAUGANNNNNNNNNNNNNNNNNNNNNNNNNNNNNNNNNNNNNNNNNNNNNNNNNNNNNNNNNNNNNNNNNNNNNNNNNNNNNNNNNNNNNNNNNNNNNNNNNNNNGAUUAUUCUAUAGCUGCGCACAUGAGGUGUGUUUAUUGUCUCGGGCCGUCACUCGAUCCUGCUCCAUUCUUUGCUGGCCCUUCCAGGGAACGACGGGUAGAAGCAACGGUGGGGAGGCGGCGGCAGCGAGGCCUCAGCCCUCACCCGCCCGUUCGACCUCCCCCCACUUUUUUUUUUUUUUAAAUUCUUAAAUUUUAAAUUUUUUAAAAUUUUCUUAUUUUCUUUUAAAUUUUUUAAAUUUUUUAAAAUUAAAAUAUUUAAAAUUUUCUUUUUUAAAAAAUUUUUUUGUUAAUUUUUAUGCUGAUUUGGAGCUCCGGCGAGCCACGUAGGCAAAAAAUAAUAAUAAAAUAUUGCCACGUAGGAUUUCCGGCAAGGGUCGCCGGAGGUGGCACUUAAGUGUCCCACUCGAAAAAAAAAGUGGCACUUAAGUGUACCGUUUGGAAGUUAUGGCACUUAAGUGUCCCGGCGUGCCAAGUUAUGGCACUUGUGCUGUUCUUCUGCCCAUGCCGAACCUUGCUUCAAUCUAGGCUGUCAAUCCAAUCUUCUAUUAAUGGCAAGUACUGAUCACUCCGCCUCAAAAUCCCUUAAAUGAAGGGAAAAUUCCAAAUAAGGACUUAAAGUGGAGCUAUUUUGUCAAAUAAGAUCCGAAGUGGAUGUUGUCUCAAAUAAGGACUUAAAGUGACUAGAUUUGUUUCAAAUAAGGACCUCAGCUCGCUGGCCGACCAAGUGUUCUCCGGCUAGCAAGCAAAUGACAUUUCCGGCGACUGGAAUGGGGACAUUUUUGUCCAAAAGUUAGAAUUCCUAAAAACUUUAAAUAAAAAAAAAAAAACCAAACCUUUAUUCCUAUGAACGAAUGUCAUUCUUUUUCUUCCCCAACUACUUCAUUUUUCCAGAAUUUGAGCGCAAGCUCUCUAGCCUGAAAUCCCAUGCCACCAAGCAAUUUCGACGGACAAAUUUACGCCUUUCAUUCCUGCGCUGUCAUAGCAACUUUUCCUUAGAAGCCCUAUGCCUUCUCGUGCUCAUUUUAUUCGCUUCCUCAAGAGCCCCACGCCCUCAUCUUCCUCCUCUCCUUCCAAGCGAUCAAUUAAGUAUAAGUCGAUUCCUUCGCUUGGAAACUAUUUGAUGUUUGUUUCUCAAGAAUUUGUGGUGUGGUCUUUUUUUUUCGGGAAGAGCUAAGCACAACUUAUUAUGUGUUUGUUUCACUUCUUAAUCAAACGCAUAUGAUGCGUUUGACGAAAUGCCUCGGAGGCACGACUAAAAGAUGAUCCAUGAAAUUUUCAGAUCUGAAAACAUUCGACAUAGAUUGCUUGUUUUCAAUUGAUUUGUUAAGAAUUUAGAUCCGGCUCCAAUCAUAUUUCAUUGCAUCUUCAUAUGGGGAUUAUGUUGGUACGUCAUGGUUGUAGGUUACUAUUCAAAAAAUGUUAAUGGCUGGAGUUGAAGGCUGAUGGCCAUGUACUGGUAAUUGGCCAUGAUUGGAGGUUGACGAUGGCAAUGAGAAAUAAAACUUACAAAAAUGGGCCUUGUGGAUUGUCUUCAUCAACUCAAAAGAUGCCUACAAUAACCUAGAUUCAUUGAACUAUACUUGCAUUACAAUCAAAGACAAUAGAGGAGUUCACGAUUUUACUAUGUGCACACGGCACAACAUUACAAGAAAGAGAAGACACCAAAUGAAUUUACAAAACAAAUAAACCUCCGACGACCACAUCUACUUAUCACAACCCAUCAUACUCAUGCAAAUACAAAGCUCAAAAGACAGCCUACAACAACCAAUCACAGCCUUUCCACAUCCCAAAAGGUAGUACAUAUCCACCAUGAAAUUAUCAAAACACCCAAUAGCUCUCUCUCUUUUUGCUUAGUGAAAGGUUAGCUUUAAUCAGUCUUGUUCUUCCAAUAACCUAGAGAUGACUCAGCGAGAGUUCUCAUCACUCCCUAGCUCAAUGGUAGUAGAGAGAUGGACAAGGCCUUCUGCUGAUCAACUUGGUGGCUGGCGUAGCCUGUAGAGUAUCACGUGGUGUAGUCAUUGGCAACAUUAUGUUUCCUAGUACCACUAACUCAUUCUCAUAAUCUCAUGAGCUUAAGCAAUCUUUUAUUGACAAUUGGAAUCAAGACGUGUCGAAUGGAUGUUACGAAGUAGUAACCACUCAGCAUCGUCACCUUGCCUUUGAGGGCAGGGCUGCUCAUAAUUGUCAGGUCCAAUAAGCAUUUUAUCCCAUCUGCAUAUCUAUCAAGCAUUUCUAAGAGGUCAAGAUCAAAGAAAUAGGAAGAAAUAGAUUUCUGCAACUUCUCUGUGACUUUAACCAGAGAUGCACAUAAAGCAGAUAAAGCAUAAGCUGCCACACUCGUUCAUUUGAUGCAAUGUCAAUAAUAGGUAUUGAACGGAGAAAAAACUAGUCAAUGUAACCUCAAUAUUUGCAUACAAUUAGAUAAACGACAGAUUUAUUUAUCAUAAAGGAUCACUGUCUAAUCAAUCGACUAAUUUUGUAAGUGUCAUUUCUCAUUGCCAUCGUCAACCUCCAAUCAUGGCCAAUUACCAGAACAUGGCCAUUAGCCUUCAACCCUAGCCAUUAACAUUUUUUGAACAUUAACCUACAACCAUGACGUUCCAACAUAAUCCCAAGAUGAAGAUGCAAUGAAAUAUGACUAGAGCCGAAUCUAAAUUUUUAACAAAUAAAUUAAAAACAAGCAAUCUAUGUUGAAAUGUUUUCAAAUCUGAAAAUUUCAUGGAUCAUUUUUCAGUCGUGCCUCUGAGGCAUUUCGUCGAAUACAUCAUGUGCAUUUGAUUGAGGAGUGAAACAAACACAUAAUAAGUCGCACUCAGUUCUUCCCAGAAAAAAGACCACACCACAAAUUCUUGAGAAACAAACAUCAAGUAGGUUCCAAGUGAAUGAAUCAACUUACACUUAAUCGAUCGCUUGGAACAAGAGGAGGAAGAUGAAGGCAUGGGGCUCUUGAGGAAGUGAAUGGGAUGAGGACGAGAAGGCACUGGCUUCUGAGAAAAAGUCACUACAACAGUACGGCAAUGAAGGUGGAAAUUUGUCCGUUGAAAGUGAUGGGCGGCAUGGGAUUUCAAGCUGGAGAGCUUGCGCUCAAAUUCUAGGAAAACAAAGUAGUUGGGGAAGAAAAAGAAUGACGUUUGUUCUUAGGAAUAAAGCUUUGGUUUUCUUUUUCUUUUUUUAAGUUUUUGGGAAUUGUAACUUUUUGGAAAAAAAAUGUCCCUAGUCUGAUAGCCAGAAAUGUCAUUUGCUCACCAGCCAGAGAACACUUGGCCGACCGGCGAGCUAAGGUCCUUAUUUGAGACGAAUCUAGUCAUUAUGGGUCAUUAUUUGAGACAACAUCUACUUCUGAUACUUACUUAAGAAAACAGCUCCACCUUGGGUCCUUAUUUGGAAUUUUCCCCUUCAAUGAAUUAGUCCGUGAUUUUUUGGAUGAUUAUUGGAAUAUCAUAAUUUAUUGUUAUGAGCUAGGUCUUCAAAAUAGGAAUGCUAAUGGUUGUUAAAUCUAUAUAUAUGGAAAUUACCCAUUCACAUAGUUUGACUAAUUUGCGGAACCAAGUAUUUGGUUGUAUACUAUUCGUUUUGCAGUCUUCCACAUUUAGUGAAAUUUAAUUCAUAUACUUUUAGAAUUACAUCAUAGCCACUGCACAGUUUAAAUAUGAGCCUUGCCCACUUAAAUUAACUCAUUAGAUACCUAAAUCAUGUUUUGUUAUCAUCCAAAUCCUUCAGGAAUAUAUUGUAACAAGGUGUGAAUAUCAUGAAUCUUCAUUUCUAGUCUAAACAUGGAAUUUUGCAAGGAGUCAUGCUUUCCUUCAACUGAUUGGAAGGAAUAUCCUCAUGUUAGUCUCCCAAUUGCUGGAGUUAUAUUAUAUAUCGAAACCAUCCAUAAUCAUAUUUAUAAUUUGUUAACCAUAAAAUAGAGACAUGAUUGGAUGAACUGAUGAACGAAAACAAAGCCCAAAGAUGGGAUAAUUACCAAAAAUGUCCUGAACUUAUAGUACAUAUGUCAAUUCAGCUAUUAACAUUUCAAUUUGACCAACUUAAUCAUAAACAUUUUAAUAAUUUGUCGAUGUAGUCAUUUUUGUUAUCUUUGGCUAGAAAUUGCUAACAUGGAUGCUAACUAUCCUAGAUGUUAGCUACGCUAACAUGAACAAUUUUUGCAAUUUUUUAAUAUUUUUUCUGAAAUUUUUCGUGUUUUCCAUUUUCUCUCUUUUCGCUUUUUUCUUUUCUUUUCUUUUUUCACUAUGAGCAAGUGAGGGUGCCACGAUCCUCACUAGAUUUGGGUUGCGAUGCCCUUGCUAAUGGCCGACGAUCUUUGCUGUUGCCGCGGACUGGUUGAGGGAAAUAAGAAAAGAUUUUUAAAAAGGAAAUAAGGAAAAGAAAAAUCAGAAAUAAUAAAAUUUAUCAAUGUCAACACUGAUUGUUCUGUGACAUUCUGAUUUUCAGGUUUUGUUUUCGAUUGAAUAAGCUGGGCUUUUCAUCGACGCGUCGAUAGUUAUUUUCUCUGAGUUGGCCACUCAUGAAAUAACUAGCCUAUUAGGUGAAGCCGUUAAGGAAUCUAAACGCAAUAGACUCGAGAAUUCGACUAGGGAUCGAUUGCUUGACCAUGCUAAUCUGCAAGGGUUAUUACGGCAUUGUCAAAAUUGACCAGAGACUGGAGAUAGGUCGGUUUGGCAGAGGUAUGUGAUUAGUGUGUGGGUGAUUCCACCUAAUUGCAAAAUUCCCUUCGAACGGCACUAGAUCAAUUUUUCUGUCAUUUCCGUACCCUGUACCCGUAUUUAAAACCUCGAAAUUUUCAAGCCAACUGAGAGUCGCCAAUGUGUUGAAGAUGUACAAUGUGGCUCGAAAAUAAUCGAACACGGGUCAAUUGCACCAAAAAUUUCUAAAAGCUACCCGGUAGGUUAGGUCAUACUAAAAUCACGCCAAAUUGAAAUUAACUGCGAAUUUAAACCCGAUUUCAGAAAUUGAAAGUUCUUUCAUGUCGCAAUUCAUUUUAGGAAUGUCAAAUCAUCCUCUAAAGAUUUUUCUGCAAACUGAGAUUUUCGGCAAAAAUUCAAAGUAAGGUUAUUUUGGACCAGGAAAAUUAGAGGACCAUUUUUUUACCGCAUUUUUGGGAUUCAAGUUGGAUAAAUCGACAAGGAAAAAUCAUGAGAGGGACAAUGGUACCUUGGCUAAAUUUAUAGGCUUUGAUUUGAGCUCAAUUGGAGAAUAAUUGAAUUGAAUCGAAGGCCAAAUGUACAAAAUUCGUAGGCCAAGGGGGAAGCAACCUUUUGGACCAUUUGGGAGACUUCUUGAGGAAGCUUGGGAGUGGAUAAUGGCUGAGGAUGAUGGUUGAGCAAGUGGGGCAUGUGUGAUGAGUGAAAUGGAUAGGGCUGUGGACUUUGGAGGCCAAAUGGUGGUCCCCCUUCAGCUAAGCAGCCAUCUUCUUCCUCCUUACUCCUCUUUUAUCCAUUGCUGAGGCAUUCGAGAGCUUGAGAGAACUGGAGAAACUAGCCCUCACAUCACUCUAUCUCUCUCUUUGGCCCCAAGCAAAUUCGUAACCUUUUCUCCCCCGUUUUCCUUCUCUUCCCGUUUCUGCUCCAGCUGACCUUCUUGUGAAAAACUGAGUUAAUAGUUGCCUUCCCGUGAGAAUUAGCCUUCGUUCCACCCACGAUCAUCUUUAGGACACCCAAACCGUAUGAGAGGACUUGGUCGUUCGCCGGACGGAGCCGCCGGCUGCCCACCGGCCAACCAGAAGCCGCCGCUCGCCGGACCGCCUGAAGCACGCCUGGGCUACACUAUUUCACAAUUUUAGCCUAGUUUCUCCCAUUCUAACCCUUUUCUCCCAUUCUAACCCUUCCUCCAUCCAGCCCAGCUACCAGCAGGUCCCCCUCGACCCCCAGGAGCCGCCGAUCACCGGCCAUCCCCUCGUCGGAACUCUGAUUAGUCGCCAAUCUCCUUUUCUCCUCCUGCUGUUCGGUUUCCAGUGUUGCAGUGAGAAACGGAGUUUGUUGUUGCUAUUCCAGCCUUGAGACCACCUUGGAUCAUUGUAGUAGAGGUUCCCGAGCGUAGCCUCCAUCGUCGCCGUUGCGUCCAUGUCUCCGGCCUGUUUAAUGAGUAAAUUUAGCUUAUAAUCCGUUGAUUAAUGCCUAAACUUGCUUAGGAAUGGUUUAAUUAGUGUUAAUUCUAUUUUAGGAGAUUUAAUUAAGUUAUAUUAGUCCUAAGAUAGGUAGUUAGAUGAAUGGUUAAGAUUAGUUUAAUUUAAUCUUGCUUUAUUUGCUUAAUUGUGGCUUAUGUGCUUAAUUAAGCUUGGUUAACUUUAAUUGAUUAAUUGCUUGCUUUAAUUAGUGUUUUUAAUGACUAUUGGAUUUAAUUUAUUAGUUAUUUAAUUAUGAAAAUUCACUAUUCACGCGACACUGUUCACAAAACAUUGUUCACACGCAAUGUUCACGUUCACUGUUCACCCGAGAAUGAAAAGUGUCUAAUUUCAUGUGCUUUGACCUUAUGAGGUGAUUUGAGUGUAUAAAUGCAUGGGCAUCCGCAUGAAUUGAGUGAUUUUCACAAAAAGAGAAUAGUGGAUUGUCCGACAGACAAUGGAGAUGGACCGCUUUUAUGAGAGAAGGAUUUGAGGAGGUAUGUUUGCAUGAUCGCUAAGUUAAACAGUCAUCCAACGGAAGUUUGGAGGCGAUACCUGACAGGAGUCGGAAGCCAGUUGCAGUAAAUUAUUGACCGAUGUCCCUUUUUGGGAUACCGUCUAGACGAAAGUUUUAGAUGAAGCCGUGCCUGACGGGGCAGGAUAAAGCUCGAUUUUUAUCGGUAGCCUGGCGGAAGUCGGGUGAUCACUGACUGGAAAGUUAGCUAUGGCCAGUAGGUCAUUAAUAAUUAGAGCACGCGUAAGAGUUAAGAUGGUUGGGUCUUAUUAUGAGGUAAAAUUGUGUGGCGCGGUAUGGGAUGUGUCAUAACGAUUUUACCUUAUAAUCGAGACCCGUGUGAUCGAUUGAUGAGGGAUAGGCGGCGCAUUAAAGUACAAGAACGUAUGAGGAUUAUAGCGCCAUUAGUUCUGGUUAUGCAUGAGUUGAGCAUAUUAUUUAUGGCACGUACGCAUGAAUCGACAAUGUGCAGGGUAUGGCAUACCAGGUAAAGUUGCAUGCAAACCGACUAUGUGGUUAGUGGUUGACCCUGGCUGUUGUGAUUUGUUGAUUGUUGGUUGUUAGUCGUGGUAAGUUUGUGGAGUGGUUCUAGAGAGACAUCUCGAGUUAAGUUAGUUUUCUAACCGGGGGCUUAGGGGAAGAACUCGCUGAGAUUUUAUCUUAUUGAUUAUUGUAUAACUAUUUUCAGGUCCUUAGUGCAAAGAACCCGGAGCUUGAAAUGGAAGGGUUAGGAGUAUGGAUGGUUCAGAAAUUCUUUUUGGAGAUAGAUCUCUUGUUCAUAGACCUUAGAGUUGACCUCUGUGCAUAAACUAGUUUGUUUAUGAAAAGUGUUUUGGUGAAAAUGGUAUCAUGUUUUUCUAUCCUAUAUUUAUGUUGUCUGGGGAUUUUAUUAUACGCUUCUACAUGUGAAAUUAAAAUGAAGGGUCAGUGAUGAGUCCUGAGACAUUGCUUUCUAUCAACCAAGGAAGGGGUUGUUGCAUGCCCGGGGUUAGGGGUGUGACAUGUUCCAUCUAGGGUUGAUGGCGUUCACAUCAUCGAUUUUCUAGCUACAAUUGGCCGAAAAUAUUAUACUAGCAAAUCGUCAAUAUAUUUAACUAAAUUGAUUAAAUUGAAAUUUUUAUGACUUAAUUGUCGUCCAUAUAAUUACUUUAGGAUUUUUUUUAUACCCAAAAAGAUAUUACUUUGCCCGACUAAAUGAGGCCAUACAACUUUCCGCGGGGUGGACUUUUGACCAAUGUACUUAUAUAGACUAUAUUUCAUGGCUGGUCGACUAGUCUAUUCACAAGCACAACAAGCUGUUAAAUCGUUUAGAAAAGGAAUAAAAGGUUGUCAAUACGAUGAAGCUUCGUUUCUAGUGAGAGUGUAGGAUUCCGUCCAAGUCUUCCAUGAAUCUUGCAAAUUGUUGUUGUGACAUAGAACGAGAUGAGUACGAAGUACAUCAUUUGAUGUAACUUCUAAUCACUAAUAAAUGCAACUUUCGGAAGACUUGUCCAUCACUUUGGUAAAGUCAUUUUUUCACUUUUUGCAGUAGUCUUCUUAGUCUUUUGCCCUUGAUGUUUCAUUUUUAGAUAACGAUGACAAAGUUUUCUAUCUGCCAUGACUAUGAUGAAUGUUAAAAGUUAGAAAUAUAAAGCGUGUUUGUCGCUAGUAUAAAAGCUUGGUAUUUCCGAGUCUCAUCAUAUUAUCUGCAAUUACUUCUUUCACUUACAAGCAAAGGAAGUAAUUUUCAUGAAUUCCCUUCCCUUUUCUGAUCCGCAUCUGUGUCGUAGUAUUCAUUGCACUGACCAAAAAUAUAGAUAAAAAUUGAAGAAGGUGACCAUCUCUCUCUCUUCUAUAUCCAUAUUGGUAAGUUCAAUCAUUGACGUAAUUAUGGAAGUUUGUGAGCAAUAGCAUAUACCCUUCUUCGCUCAUUUAGGUAAUCAAGUAAAUUAUACAUUUAAAAUUUCAUGCACUUUAUUGUAAAUUAAGUGUUGCACUUCCGCAUUAAUUAGAUAAACCAAUCGUGUAUUGGUUUCAUCUAUCACGAGAGAACAAAAGAAAAUUCAAGGUAUUUGGACAAAGCGUUUAAAAUUUAGAAGGUAACAUAAGUGCCACAUAUUCAAUACUUACCACCUAAAGAAAUUUACCUCAUGAUUGGGCGAGGUCGAGCCUCGCUAGCCUUUGCCACUAAUUGGUCAUUGCCAACGACCAAUUGGAGGAAGAAUGAAAAGAAUAGAAAAAAAUAAUAUAAUUUUUUUUUAAAAAAAUUAUCAUUUGUCUUUGCAUCUUGAGCUCGCCGUCAUCAAUUGGAAGUGUGGUGUCACUACCACCAACGAUGUUCCCUAGAUAAUUUGUCUUUGCAGAUAGUGCUGUGAGAGAGUACCCCGUACUCCUUUUGGUAUAUUUACAUCCUAUACAUGCUGCGAUUAUCCAUCCUCAAUUAUUACCACUAACUUCACUUUCAUGUCUUACCAACACGGAGCGAAAUUCCGUUUUUGGCAAAAGGAAUUUUGGAAAUCAGAAUCCCAUAGUUAGGUAAUACCGUACAAAUCAUCCAAAAUCAAUAAAAAUAUUGCUAUUAUAAAAUGGUAAAACUCUAGUUGAUGUACAAAUACUUUUCACUGUAGAGAUAAUCUAAUAUCUUCCUUUAAACACGUGGUUUGUUGCUCAUCAGAUAGCCAAGAUAAUACUAUUGACUAUAGAACACAAGUAAUUGGUCCAGGGGAAAACAUCAUGCAAUCAUUGAUCACAUUUAACUUUGCUUUGCGUAAGAAAGAAUAGUAAUUACUGUUUGUGCUACUGUGAGAAGGAGCAACACCAUGGCUGCGACAUGAACGGACAAGAAAGCUCAAAGACUAUUUAAAUAUUUCUUCCUCAUCCGAACAUUCCACCUGCUGUUACAAUACGCAUUCACAUCGCAGUAGAUGUCACGGUAGUAACAGCAAUAGGAUAGGGUGAUUGGACUCACUAGCGUCCCUCGCCCCUCCGGCAAUGAUGGUAGCAAUCGUAGCCUAGAUCUACAAUGUCUUCAGCAACAAGAUGACCCUCGCCCAGAUGUAAGGCAAGGGUCACAACCCAUGUCAUCAAAGAAGAUUGAAGAGCGGGGUGGCGCUGGACCAAUUGAGAAAAAUUGUUGGUUCUUAAACAAUUUUGAGAUCAAUGUUGGGAUCGAAUUAGGUAUGACUAUGGUAUAUUCUAUACUUUGAAGAUGUUCUUGUGAAAUUUUAUGAGAUCAUUGUCAAUUGUCGUUAUAAACUAUUUUAAAAGCAGUUCUUAGAAAAAUUGACGGUGGUCCUAUAAAAUCUAACAGUUAUAAGAUUAUAACAAGAGGAGGUGGAUUAUGUGUAGAAAAGAAAGUGCUUCACUUCAGAUCUAUAUAAUGUUUUCACUUGUGUUUUUAAUGUGCUAUGAAUUUUUAAUUGUCAUAUGAUGGUUUAGUGAGCUCAAAUCCUUAUGAAAAAUCGAGAGUUAUGAACUCCAUCCAUACUUUCCAAGGAUUGUCGUGUUCAGUUCGAAGACCAGAAGCAAUCUACUUCAAUGGCCGGUGGAAUAAUGAGAGAGCUUGAGAUUCAGCAGCAAACAAUUCCACGAAAAUCUUGAAAUGAAGCUUUUCCUUCUAACUUUUUUAUUUUUAUUUUUAAAAUACCUAAAGUUACAUCUACAUUAUUGUCUUUCUUUAAAAGGAAAACAGGCAAACAGCUUUUUCUAAUUACCAAUUUGGAUAAAGCUAAUAGAUGACCUAGAUUGUAUUAAUUUAACAAAUUUUAGGAUUUAAUUAUAUUUUUAAAAAAAUUUGAGGACUCAAUUGCACUUGUACAUCAAAUAGGUGCACUUAUUUGGUAUAAAGGAAAGUUUUUAUUGUCGGCAAAAGUACACCCAAAAUGCCAAAACUUGGCACGGAUAGAUACUUAAGUGCCAAAACUUUGGAAAUGUAUACUUAAGUGCCAAAAACAGAGUAGAAUAGAUCACUUAAGUGGCACUCCGGCCAAAUUGCUGACGUGGCAACUUUUCGGCGAGGUGAGUGCAAAAUGGCGUCGUUUUUUGCAUGCUGACGUGGCGAGAAAAUGCAAAAAUGACGUCGUUUUGUCUCUAAUGUGUAAAUAAUUAAUAUAAAAAUUAAUUAAAUUUAAUUUAAAACUAAAUUUAUUUAAAAUAUUCUAAAAAAUAAAAAAUUCAAAUUUAAAACUUAAAAUUAAAAAAGGCUGGGGGGGGCUGAAGAGAGGCGGCCAACGACUGAGCCCUCGCCACCGUCGCCUCCCCGCUGUCACAUCCCAAACCUCCAAGCGCGUGCCCAUCCCUCUCUGGUCAAUAAAAUUUUGCGACUUCCCAGGACAAGUCGCCGAUCCUUUCAUUUUAUUGCACAUGCAAAAACAAAAAUAAAUCCCUUAACAGUAAUCAUCUCGGGAUAGAAAAGUAGGACAACAUAUUCACAAAACGAAACAUGUUUUUAUAAACAUAUUGAGUCAUGUACAAAGUCUGUGGCCAAAAGACUACAAAAGACUAGCCCUCCAAAAAGAAGUGGUCCUAACUGACCUACACUUCUGAUCACCUCCUCUCGGCUCCAAGUCCUCCACUCAACGACCUUGAAAAUGGUUAUACAAUAACCAGUGAGACAAUGUCUUAGCAAGUCCAUGCUCUAAACCCCGAUUAGAAGGGAAAUACGCCUAGAGGCAUCCUAACCACACAAGCACAUAACCAAGGAGACUUACCUCGUCUCAAAUCCAUCUUACAGGUCGGUACAAUUUAUAUCACAGACAACACGAGAGCAUGAGUAAUCAAUAAGCUCCAAUAAUUGGAACACCACACUCAAUUCUCAAACCAAUACAAAGGUUCUGAUUAUAGGGCUAAAUCGUUAUGACACGUCUCAUUCCGUGCCACAUAAUUUUGUCCCAUAAUCCGACACAUUCAACUCAAUUCAUCAUGCGUUCCUAGAUUUGAUCUCGGCAUAUAGCAUGGCCUACUCUCUAUUCGGCGAUCUUCUGGCAUUGCUAGGCAUCGUUUCACCCCAUUUACCACGACACAUCACUACGUCGAUGGCUUUUCUGAAGGAGCAUAGGAUCCAGAAUCUACUGCGAUCGGUUACCCAUUGUCUAGAGACAUCCUAUAUAGGGGUAACAUCCAGCUUAACAACCUAGAACGGUUUCUCUUAACCAACACACAAUCACUCAAGUAUGGCCCAAGGUACUGUGCAUUGCACUCAAAUGUCUCAAUUAAUAUGGUGAACCUGGCAUUUUUCUUCGUAUUAGAAAUACAUUGUAAACUAGUGUGUGGAUACACGAUCAACUCAAUCCAUAAAAAUUGACAUUCUUCUUUUUUUAAAAUCCUAUGAUUUUAUAUAGUACUAAAAACUAUUUUCGGUGUCAAAACCCAACACCCAGAAUUUUCUGAAUGAAUAUUGAAAAGUCACAAAUUUUGGAAUUAAAUACCAAAAAUCCAAUCAGUACUCAAUUUGUAGAAAUUAACACUCAAUUGUAGAAAUUAACCACACCAUUGCAAUCAGCAUGAAAUUCCGGUCACCGAGUAUCCCGACCUAAUUUUUGAAAAAAAAAAUUAAUUAAUUUCGAAAAUUAAUGAAAUAAAUCAAUUUAAUUUCUAAGAAUACCAACCUAGGCCAAAAUUAUUAAAUUAAAUACCAAUAUGGACCCAGAAAAUUCCCGAACCUUUCUAGAUAAAUAAUACAAUUUAUUUAGGCCUUAGCUAAACCAUGCUAACCACCUAACAUGCUCAAUUAAAUAAUUAAAUUUAUAAUUUAAUCUAAAUAACCACCUAAUUCCUAAUUAAAUAAAUUUAAACAUCCCUUAGACGUCAUUAGCCUACUAAGAAGAGUUUAGAGUAUAAGCUCACCGGUGCAAAACGAAGAUCGGUUCACCUCGACGGCGGCGUGACGGCUGCUUAGCGGGCCCAAUAUGGGCUGAACUUUGGAAAUGGGCUUCAAACUGGGCUGGUCUUGCAGGUUCGCUGAAAUUGGGCUGCUGCACUUGAAUUCGCGGGCUGGUCUUGUGUGAAGAUGGGCUGAAAUUUGUGAGGAUGUGGGCUGCAGAGAGUUGGGCCGAUCGUGCAAGCUUCUGGGCUCGAGCAGAGAAGGAGUUGCUGGACUGACUUCCACGGGCCAAACAAGAAAAUUACGUGGGCUUGUGGGAUUGAAAAUGGAAGCAAGCUGGCGUGCGAAAAGUUACUGCGGGCAUUGACCGGCGACUCCGUGAGCUGCUUCGGUGGGAAGAAUCGCACGGAGAGGGGAGCAGGUUGAGUCUUCGUGGCAGCUGAGUCUUCGGCGGCAGGGAAAAGAAGACAAGAAGAUGGGUGGUCUUCAGCUGGGCUUUCGGUGGAAUUGGCAGUAUGGGCUGGAUCCGUGAAGCAGCAGAUGGAUCCGAGGCAGCUGGCGUGAAGACGAUGGGGAUGGCAGAAGCGGCAGCUCGGUGGAUUUGCUGGCCGAGCUUCGCUGGGCAGGUGGCUCGGAAAGAUGGAGGACAAGCGGCUUGCUCGCUGGCUGAAUUGGGUGGAAGGAGAUGGGCAAGUUGACCUCGGUGGAUGCUGCUGAAGAUUGACCAAACAUGUGGCAGCUGCAAGAUGCGAAGAGUUGAAGAAAUUUAGGUGGAUGCUGAGCAGAGAAUGAAGACAGACGUUGAGUAGCUUCGAAUGAGGAAAUGGGCGAGUGGUGGGAUGGCUGAUUGAAGGAAAUAAAACAAAAUGGAAAAGUAGGGGCCUUCGGUGGAGAGAGAAGGGGGAAUGAACCGGUUUCAGUGUUGAAGAAGCUGAGGAUGAGGGGAGCUAAAAGUCCACAAUUCUCAUCUCUUAUAUUAAUGGCUUGGUCCCCCUUUUGUCUCCAUGCACAUCACUAUGUUCCUUAAUACUUUCCAACCUUAUAAUUUCUCUAAAUUAACCAAUUUUGAAGCCCAAAAUUGCUGCCCCUUGCCUUAAUCCGAAUUUCACCAAUAUUAACUUCAAUUCCUCACUCAAAUCUCUAAAUCGACGUCCAAAAUCGAUGAAGGAAAAUACCGAACAAUUUUCUGUAAGUCCCUGACACUCAAAGACUCGGCUUGGAAGUCCAAAUUUCCUUUAAUUUGGCCCAUUCGAAUUUUCGUUAAUUUUUUGUGAUGCUCGAAACGAUUUUUCGUAAAAAUCUCGAAAUCUCCGAAAAAUUUUCGGAGGAUGAGUCGAUGUUCCUAAAAUAGAUCGUGACAUGACAAAAUUUUCAAUUUCUAAAAUCGGAUUUAACUUCGUAGUUAAUUUCAAUCCGGCGCGUUUUUAGCGUGACCUAGUCUACUGGGUAAUUUUUAGGAAUUUUUAGUACAAUUGACCCGUGAUCGAUUUAUCUCGAGUCACAUAGUGCAUCUUUGACACAUCGGCAACUCUCGGUUGUCGUGAAAAUCUCGAUAUUUCAAAUACGGACACCGGUCACAUAAAUGACAGAAAAAUCGGUCUAAUGUCGAUCGACGAGUAUUUUGAAAUCAGGUGAAAUCACCCACACUCUAAUCACAUAUCUCAGUCGAAUCAACCUAUUUCCGGUCUCUUAUCGAUUUCUGACAGUGCCGUAAUGACCCUUGUAGAUCAACACGGUCGAACAAUCGAUUCAUGGUCGAAUUCUCAAGUCCAUUGCGUUUAGAUUCUUUAAUUGCUUCCCCAGAUAGUCUAGUCAUCUCAUGAGUGAUCAGUUCAGAGAAUAGCACUAUUGGCACAUCGAUGAAAAGCCCGAUUUAUUUAAUCGAAAACGAAAUUUGAAAAUUCAAACUAUCACAAUUCUUCUCCUCUUAUAAAAAUUCCAUCCUCAAAAUUUAAACCUUACAAAUUUUUAAACAAAAAGGUGGGAUUGCAGUCGUCUCAUAGAUUCCUUAGUUUCCCAUGCUGCUCCUUCAGUGUCGUGGUGUUACCAGACCAUUUUGACCAAUAGGAUGGUCUUGGUUCGGAGGAUCUACUCCUUGCAAUCUACAAUCUGAACCGGGCUUUCAACGUACGACACUCUGUCGUCAACGUCCAAUUCUUCAAAAUUGAGCACGUGGGUCGAGUCAACUCAUACUUUCUUAACAUCGACACAUGAAAGACGUCAUGCACUUGCGCCAGUUUCGGUGGCAAUGCAAGACGAUACGCUAGGAUCCCGAUUCUUUCAAGAAUCUCAAAUGGACCUACGUACCUUGGACUCAGUUUUCAUUUCUUGCCAAAGCGCGAAGUACCUCUCAUUAGUGACACUUUCAGAAAAACGUAAUCACCAACUUGAAAUUCCAAUGGUCUCCGGCACUUAUCUGUAUAGCUUUUCUGGCAAUUCUGAGCGGUUUUUAAUCUGUCUCUGAUAACAGCAACUGCAUCCACCGACUGUUGAACCAACUCUGAGCUUGUAAUCUUUUUUUCUCUGACUUCAUCCCAACAUACCGGCGUUCUGUACGCUCUGCCAUACAACGCUUCAAAAGGAGUCAUCUGAAUGCUCUGCUGGUAUAACAAUUUAAUUUGUCAUCAGUGUACUGAUUUUGUAGUUUUCGUGAUAUUAAUCUAAUUUAACAUAAAUUAAUGGAGAGUAUAUUUGUCACGAAUAUAUCAGUUUGAAAGUUUUUUAUAGUAAAAAAAUUGGUUUUGAGUAAAAUAUGAUAUGUGUACUAAUUUUGGGAGUUUUCGUAAUAUUAACUGUUAAUUUUAUAGCACUUUAGUCCGAUCUGAAUUUUUAUCCAUAUUAUAAUAUUUUUACAGUUUUUAGGAAAUGGACCUUCUCCUGGCUAAACGUGAAAGCUUGAUGAAGAGCGAAGUAUUGUUGUCAGCUGUAGGAUGAGCAAAAGACGCGUUUGAAUCGAGAACCGUCUGGACUGAACUAGAUCGAUUCUCGGUUCCUAAACACUUGAAUCAAUGGAUACUAUUCCGGUUUUUUAUAUCAGGUGUGGAAUUACCCAUUUAAUUUUUUUUAUAGUAAAUAAAACUCUAAGUCAGACUCCAGACCUUUCUCAUGACCGCUCUCUUUCUUUAACUCACGACCCCUCUCUAUCGCUCAACUCCCGGCCUCGAGGCUCGUCGCCCAGUCACGCUCACUCUCGGCCUCGACGGUUUUUCAGGUACCAAUUUGCCUCUCGCCUCUUGCUGCCUAUUUGCCCUACCCUUUUCCCUUUGUUUCGUCUGGUUUGGUCUUGUCGUGGUGCGUCUUGAUGGGUUUUACAUGGUUGCUAUCUGUUUAUGGUUUUCUUGUCUCCAUUUUUAAGUCGUGGAUUCGCGAGGAAGGAGAGAUGAUCGAUGGGUAAUUGGCUUUUGAGUCUUCGAUUCGCAAUCCGUCUGAGCUCAGGACUUGAAGUGAUUUUUACACAAUUUUACCUAUGGACAUGUUGUCCUUAGUUGGAGAAUGAUCAGCUGGUGUUUUUUCUGCCUAUUUUUUUCUAAUGUUGUUUGGUCAAGGGAAGUUAAGUGAAAAUUCUUUUAUCAAAAGUGGCGAAAGUUAUUUUGGUGAAGUGCUGUUCAAGUUGCUGGUAGUUGUGAUCUUUUAUGAAGUUUUCUUUGGAUUUUUGCCUGCAAGUGUGUGUGUUUGUUUGACGAUCAGGGAAGUUAUGUGUCCAUGGAUUCUGAAUUGUUGUAGGACAGGCGGAUAACUGACUUAAUGGGAUUGAUAUGGUUUGCUGCAUAUUGUAGCACAACCAAGCUGCAAUGCAACCAAAUAAUAAUAAUAAUAAUAAUGAAACUGAAAGGAAAAGAGGAAGUGGUUGGUUCCCAGUAGAACCCGAAACAGGCAGGUUCAGUUUCACAGUCGGUUCUAGGGUCCACAGGGCUAGUUGUUGGUUUCAAAAUUGGGAACGGAUCCCGACAGGGUAGGUCUCAGGUUCCAAACUUGGAACCAAUCAUCUAGCCAUUUGCUGUAAAAAUUGAGAAUGAACCUGAGUUUGAUCAGGAGGUACACUCGGUGAGUGGAAGCUAGGUUUAGAUUUUGAGCGUUAUUUCUUUCUCUGAAAUGUAAUAUAGGUAAAAAUGCAUGUGCAACGUGUUCUGCCAGCAGUGUUUAUUUCAUGAGUUUGCCUUUGCUUUCUCAAUUUGCUCUAUUGAUACAGUUAAGCAUUUCAUUUGGGUCCUUGAUUUUAACUUUAUGAUUUGAUCUUUCUACUUCACACGAUAGUGCAGCAAAAGAGAAAGAGAAGAAAUGGAGAAAAAAAUGCGGGAGAGGAGGAAGGAAAAAGAGGCAGAAUUGAGCAAAAUGUCAACAAAAUCCCAAAUAAUGUUUCAUAAGUGGCUGAAUUACACGGAAAUAUUAUGAAGGAUUUUUUCGGUGUUGAUAUAGAUAUCCAAUUUAACAUCACCUUUGGCCACCAACAACUCCGACAAAGGAUUUACAUCAUUGAAUGCCUAUUUACUUUGACACCAUUUCUGUUAGAGUGCUCAUAACACAUUCUUCUCAAUGUCACUUUGCUUAACAUAGGUUGAGGAAAAUUACUCUGUAAUAUUUUUAUCCAAUUUGGCCACGUGAAACAUUUUGGGAUUUUGUUGAGCAUAUCACUCUUCCUAGGGACAUUUUUCUUAGCUUUGGUGUCACGCCCCGAUCCUCCGAGCGCGCGCACAUCCCACUCUGGUCGAUGAAAAUGCGACUUCCCAGGACACGUCGCCGACCCAUUCAAUUUUAUUACACAUGCGGAAGCGAAACAAAUCCCCUGACAACAUUUAACUUGGGAUAGAAAAGCAGGCAAUCAAUCAAAACCAAACAAGCUUUCUAUAAACACAUAGGUUUAUAUACAACACUGGAUUGUCUACAAAAUAGACAGGCUCAACAACUAGGGAACUGUCCUAUGACCAACUUGUCAGACACGUUCGCCAAUUCUUCAGCCUCCACCUUCCGAACUCCAGGACUUCCGGUCCUCCACGACCGUCAUCUAGGGACCUGAAAUAUUAUCCCACAACCGGGAUGAGACUACGUCUCAGCGAGUCCUACCAUCUAAAACUCAAUUAGGAAGAAAAUACGCCUCAGGGCGCUCUAGCCACACAAAUAGGAUAGAGUACUUACCUCGCCUCAAUUCCUUCCUGCACGUCAGUACAAUUCAUAUUCAACAAUGCUCGCACAAGCUGAAACUACCGACAUACCCAUCGGUCUAUCAAUUCAGUCAAUCCAAUUGAUAUCAUACGAUCCACACAUCUAUCAAUUCAUAUCAUCUAUUAAACCAUACCAUCUAUUCAUCCAUCAAUACAAUUAUGGCUCGCACAAGCUGAAUUGGAUGCAAUGCUCUCACAAGCUGAUAUAGAUGGUAGCUCGCACAAGCUGAUAUAUGGAUCAAUGCUCUCACAAGCUGAUAAACGAUCAUUGCUCUCAUAAGCUGAUAAAUGAUCAUUGCUCUCACAAGCUGACAUACAGUGCUCACACAAGCUGACAAUGAUGCUCACACAAGGUGAUACAUAUAUAAACCAAUUGCUCGCCAAAGCUGUUAAUUCAAUAAUAAACCAACUCAUACCUCAAUUCAAUCAAUCAAUCAAUUCAAUCGAUUCAAACUGGUCAUACAAACCAAUUACGGUGCUAAAAGCUAACACCGGGUAUUUUCAAGUUAAAUACCACAACUUCAUGAAUUUCACACAAUUCCACACUUUUGGAAUUAUUAACCAUAAUCAUCAAUCACUCAAUUUCUCAAUUUAAACAUACAAUUAACACAAACCGACCACACUGCUGCGAUCAGCGUGAAAUUCUGACGACCGGCCAUCCCGGCAUAAUUUUCGAAAUUAUUAAAUAAUUAAAUUUAAUUCCGAAAAUUAAAUAAUUAAAUAUUAUAUUAUAAUAAUAUAAAAUAAUAAAAUAAUAUUUAAAAAUUCGAAAUAAUUAUUUAAUUAAAAAUAAUCAAUUAGGGCUUAAACAAGAUUACACUAAUUUAAUCAUACAAUUAGCCCUAAUUAAACAUCCAUUAAACUAAUCAUACAACUAAUCUAAUUUACAUUAAAAUAAUCUAAUUUAAUCACAUAAACCUAAUUAGACUAAUCUAAACACCCCUUAAGCGUCAUUAACUCACUAAGCAAGAAUUAGAGGAUAAACUCACCCGAUUAACGAUCCGAACGGCUCAAAAUGACAAGGACGACGCGAGGGUCGAUAGUCUCCAAGGCGGGCCUAGCUUCCGGGGUCGGGAAGCCGGCCAAAACGGGCCAAAUAGCCACUGCCAUACCCAUUUUCCAAAUCUCUGUUCGCUGCUAGUUGAGGCCGGGAAAGGGCGGAUCCGGGGUUGGUUGGGGUCGAGAAUGGGCGGAGGAGCUGCAACGGACCUAGGUGGGGCUUCACGGUGGCCGGAGGUGAGCUGGGCGGCUCCGGCUGAGCUUUCCCAGAUCUGGAACGGCUGCUGGACUCGCGGAACAGCAGGGGCGAGCAGGCGCACAGUUGUUGGCUUCGUCUGCUUACAACGGCGAAGGGGAGGCCGGACGGGAGGCUCCGGUGAGCAGGGCGACGGAGGCUGGUUGACGACGACGAUGGAGCUUCUGCUAGCUUCAACGAAGACGGACAGAAGCAGCUCGGACGUGCGGACAGCGCGUGAGCUGGACGGCGGGCGCGGGAGCUCGCGGGUGGACGGACGACGCGUGAGCGGUGCGCAACGGCGGUCCGACUGGACUGCUUGCUGCUCCGGCGUCCUCAGAUCUGCUGGGUCUUCGAGCAGAAACCAGAGAUGGAGGAGAAAGACGGAGAGGCGCGCGGGUAGAGUGACGGCGUCGCGGCGGCGAGCGGAGACGAGUGGCGCUGCUGGCUGCUGCUCCGGCUGCUAGCUGCGACGGAAGAGGGAGCUGCUGGCCGGUCUUCUUCGGUUGCUGGGCUUCCGAAGAAGAAGAUGAAGAUGGAGAGAGGAGGAAACGCUCGCACGGCAAGGAGAGGGAAGAGAGAGACAACCGAUAGAGAGAGGGAGGAGAGAGAAGGAAGAUGGGACCACUUUUUUCUCUCUCUCAUGGCCCACCAUGACCUCAUGGAUGAUGUCACCCUCCACUAUCUCCCACAACCUCAUUCUAAUGGGUUCAAUUUCAUUUUCCGCCGGGGUCCAAUUCUUGUACACUUAAUUUAAUAAAUUCUCAAUCAAUUCCAUUCAAUUGAAGCUCAAUUAAAUUAACCCAUGUGUCCUCGGCCUUCUCAUGACAUUUCCCCAUCAAAUGAUCCAACUUGCAUCCCGAAGAUUCGAUUAAAAACGGCCCUCUAACAAUCCCGAACAAAAACGGCAUUACUUUGCUUUUCCGCCAAAAAUCUCGGUUUGUAGAAAAAUCUUCUGGAGAUAAGUCGACAUUCCUAAAUUGAAUUGUGACUUGACAGGACUUCCAAUUUCUGUAAUCGGGUUCAAUUCACGGUUAAAUUCAAUCUGGCGCGACUUUAGCGCGUCCUAAUCUACCGGUUAGCUUUUAGGAAUUUUCUGUGCAAUUGACCUGUGGUUGAUUAUUCUCAAGCCACAAAGUGCAUCUUCGACACAUUGACGACUCUUGGUUGUCGUAGAAAUCUCAAGGUUUCAAAUACGGACACAAGGUACCAAAACGACAGAGAAAUCGGUCUAGUGUCGAUCAACAAGAAUUGUGCAAUUAGGUGGAAUCACCCACACUGAAUUACAUGGUUCUGUUGAAUCGACCUAUCUCCGGUCUCUAAUCGGUCUGUGCCGUAAUGACCCUUGCAGAUUAGUACGGUCGAGCAGUCGGUUCCUGGUCGAAUUCUCAAGUCUAUUGCGUUUAGAUUCCUUAACGGCUUCACCUGAUAGACUAGUUAUCUCGUGAGUGGCCAACUCAGAGAAGAAAGCUAUAGACGCGAAGAUGAAAUGCCCGACUUAUUUAAUUGAAACCAGAAUUGGAAAAUCGGGAUGUCACAUUUGGCCUCUUUUUUCUUCCUCCUCCUCCUUUUCUUCUCCUUUGCCUUUCUCUACAUGAUCAAGCAGUUUGUUUUCUCAGCUUUUGCAUGGUGUCUAUGCAAAUUCUAGAUAUAUCGUCGAAGAGGGCUAGUGUUGAACCUUCCGGAAAGAAGCUAUCUGAACGGACUCUAGGCAGAGAUAAUUCCAUAUAAUGGCCAGCCAUAUAAAGCAGACUUAAUUGUGCUGAGGAAAGGAGGUAAAGAGUUGAGAAUUGGUGAAAGGUAGUUGAUGUUUCUUAUAUAAUCUGAGAACAUUGUUCUAACUUGUCAUCCACUUUUCUUACAAUAUUCAAAAGGCCCUUUGGUGAUGAUUUUUUACUGUUUUGCUUUGAGAAAUUAGCUGUUGGGGUUUGGGGCCAAGUAUCUUGUUCAAUCAGACCUGCAGUCUCCUUCUUUCUUGCACUUUCUUUCACACCAUCACAAGACUCUUUUCUGUGUGCGCAUGUAUGUGUGUGUGCAUGGUUGUUAGGAUCGCAAUCCGGAUUGUAGGAUCACAAUCAUUCGAUUCUACGACUCAAAAAAUUUGAACAAUUUGAAUUCUAAGAAAAAUGGUAGUCUACAGGGGUCGUGAUCUGUUUCUUAGGAUGGUGAUCCCAACUACGAUUCCAAUGUUCAAGCUUUAGACGGCAAUUCUGCCUUUUUAGCUGGAGCAAAUAUGAAAUUGGGCCUUCGUCCCCUAGUGCAUGUGCCACUUCCUUCUUAAUCAUGUUCAGGCUCCAUUUGGAAAAUAUAAGGCUUGGAGAAUUAAGAGAAAGGGAUGAAGAUGAAUGAACAAUAGAAAGCGAAGAAGUGCAGAGACACCAUCUAUUCUUCUUCUUCUUCAGUCUUGAAUAAAUGAUGAGAUGGGCAUCGACCACUGUUGGCUUUCUGAACCGUGCCGUCCUUUAGAGAUGAGAGAGAUAAAGCUUCUGUCCUUCUGCAACCAGAUGAGAGAGACCUCUAACAUCCUUGAGAAAUUGGCGCAAGAUUUUUCUUGGCCUAGUAGCAUAUUAGAAAUUAGGAAAAGGCAGGAAAGUAUCUUCUCGGUAGCCUUCUUCUUGAUGAUUAUGGUGAUUAUUUUAUUGUGAUCCUAUUUAAUACCCCUCAAAAACUUGGGCAAGCAGAUUUUAUGAUUUAACAUCUUUGACAUGGUGCUUUAAUUAUUAGUUGAAAAACUGGCAACCGAGAAUUUAAACUAGAGUAAUCUCUCACUUGAGAACGCUACCUUUAAGCUUCUCUAUCCCUCUUCUUAAGGUUAAUGUGCAUCUAAUUGCAAUGAUUUACGCAAUAAUUUAACACUUCAAAUAUGUAGGAUCAUAUGAUCUUGAUCUGAUCUCAAAGACUUCGAAAGGAUCCUACUUAGCAUCUCGGUCCUGGUAACCUUUUUGUAUGUGUGUGUGUGUCUGUGUGUGUGUGACAAAGGUUGCCCAGCUUUAAUAUUUAUUGUGAAUUUAUUUGCUCUUAGUUAUUUAUUUGACAAGAGAAAUAUGGAUCCAGUUGUAAAAUUUCUAAUGGGCGACUCUAGAGUGAAACUGCUUUUCUGUUGGGUAAGCAGCUUUCACAUGGAGCUUUUCUUCUCCAUGUCAGUGUCUGUCUUGUCCCUGUGCUCAUAUUGCAUGGACAUAGACUGACUGCAGAACAUUAAGAUAGUGUAAGGGCAAUUUUACAGUUUCCUCAUCAGUUUGGUGUAGGAUUGAUCACUGAAGCAUAAUAGGCCUAAGAGCCUUGAGUGUAGGAUCAGCCUCUUUAAUUUCAGCCAAAGAGCGUGGAAAGUUUGUCUUUGUUUGCUUCUAUUAAGAAAUUCUUCGGCCUCCUUUUCUUCAGAUCGAAUGAAUAUUUAGUAUUUGUGCUCAUCUUGCAUGGAUGGAGACUAACUACAGAACAUUAAGAAAGAGUAAGGGUAAUUUUACAGUUCUUCAUCAGUUUGGUGUAAGAUUGAUCUCUGAAGCAUAAUGGGCCUAAGAGCCUUGAGUGUAGGACCAGCCUCUUUAAUUUCAGUGAAAGAGUGCCGAAAAUUUGUCUUUGUUUGCUUCUAUUAUAGAAUCAUGUGGCCUUCUUUUCUUCAGACGAAUGAAUAGCUAGUAUUUGUUCUCCAACAUAUUAUAUUCUCUUGAGGCUUCAAGUUGUCCAUUUUAUCCAGUGAGGGUACUCAACUAAUUAAUAUACUAUAUCAAGUAGUAUAUUAUAUGAAUAACUUUUCCCUUUCAACUUUGUGAUUGCAUCGCAUCUUCCUGAAUAUAUAUAUCCUUGGAAGCGAGCCGUACUUUACCCUGCUUGUUUAAACUUUAUGAUGCUUGAAGUCAGCAAGAAUCCUUAACAUCCUUGGUUAAGUUGAAAAUAGCUUUGUACCCAUGAUAUGCCCCCCUUUCCAUUUUUGUAGUUUUCCUUAGAUCCUUGGUUUAAUUACACUAAUAUUUUUCUUACAAUGCCUAAUUGUUAAAAGCACAUACUUAAACCAAUGUGAGUAACCGUUUCUUUAGUAGCUAUUCAUUUUGAUAGCUUACCUGGUGAUGCGUGAUGGGGUGACUGAUUCCAGAAUGGAAAUUUUUCAGAGGGGAAUUUUGUGGUUAAGUGUAUGGAGUAGUGUAUACGGUGAAGAAAUGAAAAGGAAUAUGAAAAGAUAUAAUGAUCUCCUCCCAAGGUAUAAAGGCCACGCCACCAACCGAGGAUGAGGAUCGAGAUCUACGAUGUUCACCACCAAGGCCUAAAGCUUCCACCAACCAAGGAUAAAGGACUUCGGGAUAGGAGAAGCUCACCACCAAGGCCUAAAUUCCACCAGCCAAGGAUAAAGGGCUUCUUGGCUCACCACCAAGGAGUGAUCUACGCUCCAAGGAUAAAGAGACCGAAAGGAGUUAUCCACUCUUCGAAGGAGUUCACUCAAACAGAGGAAAUCUCGCCAUUUUCAUUGAUCAAAUUCGUAUCUCCCAUACAUUGGAUAGUUUUUCCCUAUUUAUAUGAGGAUUUUAGCCUUAGGAAAUAUUAAAAACAGACUUUAAUGACCUAGGAACUUAAACUUUUGACUCUUGAACUACAUAAAAAUAAAAACACCUAGGAACUUAAGAAAAGCCUUUAUUAACACGGGAACCAAAUGCCUUUAAUCUUCGGCUUUCCGGAUUCUUGAACCUUUAGCUUUUCGUAUUCUUGAACCAUAUUCUUGAACCUUUGGCUUUCCAUAUUCUUGAACCGCAUUCGUGAACCUUUAGCCUUCCCAAAAUUCGUGUUCCUCCCUUGACCAGAAAAUAAUGCUCCUGAAACUUCAUCAAUUGGUCAUACAAGACAUCUAAAAUAGCCUCCCAUUGAUAGUUAUCAAUAUACCACAAAGUACCGAUAAGUAAUUAACACUAUUCAUUCAAAAUGAUCCAUUGAAGCACAUAAUGCCCAAUUUCUUUAUUGGCUUGGAUAACCAUCGAUGGUUCUGAGUUAAUUGAUAGAGCUACGUUGGAUGCUCCCACAUCAUCCUCCCUGGGUUGUUUGAGAUUUGUCCUCAAAUCUAGAAGGUUUUCAUCCUCCAAGUAAGGAGAAAGGUCUCCCACGUUGAAUGUUGCCGAAACUCCAAACUCUCCCGGAAGGUCAAUCUUAUAAGCAUUGUCACCAAUUCGCUCAAUAACUUUAAAGGGACCAUCAGCUCUAGGCAUGAGCUUGUUCUUUUGUCAAAAUGGAAAUCUCUCUUUCCUCAAGUGAAGCCAUACAAGAUCGCCCAGUUGAAAUUGAGUCUUCUUGCGAUGUUGAUUAGCUUUCUUCUUGUAAGAUUCAUUGGCCUUUUUAAUCUUGGAUCGAAUAUGCUCAUGGAGCUUCUUCAUUGAUUCAGCUCUUUUCUUGCCAUCAAAGCUUACUUGAGAGUUAGAUGGAAUUGGAAUCAAAUCAAUGGGUGUGAGAAGAUUAAUUCCAUACACAACUUCAAAUGGCGAUCGACCAGUAGUAUAACUUGGUGAUUGAUUGUAAGCAAAUUCAGCAUGCGCAAGCUUUAAAUCCCAAUCUUUUAACGAUUUACUCACCAUACCACGAAGAAGAGUGGUUAGAGUACGAUUUGUUACCUCCGUUUGGCCAUCAGUUUGGGGAUGACAAGCUGUGCUGAAUAAGAGUCUUGUACCAAGCAUUCUCCAUAGAGUCCUCCAGAAGUAGCUUAAGAACUUGGAAUCACGAUCCGACACAAUGGUCUUUGGUACUCCAUGAAUGUGAAUAAUCUCUUUGAAAUAUAAUUCAGCAAUAUGAGAUGCAUCAUUGGUCUUGUGACAUGGCACGAAAUGAGCCAUUUUAGAGAACCGAUCGACGACCACCAUGAUAGCAUCUUUUCCUCUUUGAGUUCUUGGUAGAGCCACAAUGAAAUCCAUGCUAACAUCUUCCCAGGGCUGCAAUGGUACCGAAAGUGGAGUAUACAAAUCUUGAUGGAAAUGACAUUUUAAUCUUUGAAAAGUUUCACACCUUGAGAUGAUAGCAUGCGCAUCUCCACUCAUCUUUGGCCAAUAGAAAUGCUCUUGAAGAACCUCAAGAGUUUUGUUAAUACCAAAAUGACCAGCCAAUCCUCCACCAUGCGCUUCUCAAAUCAGCAAUUCGCGAAAAGAACUCUUCGGCACACAUAAUUGAUUUCCUUUAAAAAGAAACCCAUCUUGCAAAGAAUAUAUACCUCGAACUCCCCGCUUGCAAUUGUUGAUGAUGGAUGAGAACUUCGCAUCUUUAUAAUAAAGUUCUUUCAUUGAUUGAAAUCCAAGAAUACUAGAGUCUAGAACAGCAAGCAUAGAAUAUCUUCUCGAUAAAGCAUCUGCUACAACAUUAGUGUGCCCAAGUUUAUAUUUUGAGACAAAAGAAAAGGAUUGAAGAAAUUCUACCCAUUUUGUAUGUCUCGAAUUAGGCUUGCGUUGCCCACUAAUAAACUUAAGUGCCUCAUGAUCAGAAUGAAGGACAAAUUGCUUUGGCCUCAAAUAAUGACUCCAAUGAUCAAGAGCUCGGACAAUGGCAUAGAACUCUUUGUCAUAAGUUGAAUAAUUCCUCUUGGAAUCAGAUAACUUCUUGCUGAAAUAUUCUAAUGGUUUUUGUGCUUGCACCAGAACAGCACCAAUACCAACUCUGCUUGCAUCACACUCAACUUCAAAUACUUUAUCAAAAUCAGAAAGUGCAAGAAUAGGGGACUCUCAAAGUUUCUGCUUGAUUACCUCAAAGGCGUUUUGAGCAGGCUUUGUCCAUUCAAAAGAACCAUUCUUCAUGCAUUCAGUUAUAGGAGCCAUGACAAUACUAAAGUUUUUGACAAAACGUCGAUAGAAAGAAACAAGUCCAUGAAAACUUCUUACAUCAGAAAUGGACUUCAGAACCGGCCAAGUCUUCAUAGCGUCCACCUUGGUUUGAUCAACAGAGAUUCUAUCUUUGGAAACCACAUAACCAAGAAACACAAUGCUUGGAGAGAAGAACUCACAUUUCUCCGCUUUAGCAUACAGUUUUUGAUCUCUCAAGACAUUGAAGACCUGUUUUAAAUGAGAGAUAUGCUCCUCCUCGUUCCUGCUAUAAACAAGAACAUCGUCGAAAUAAACGACGACAAAUCGACCAAUAAAGGAACGAAGAACCUCAUUCAUAAGUCUCAUGAAGGUACUUGGAGCAUUAGAUAAUCCGAAUGGCAUAACCAACCACUCAUAAAGGUCUCCCUUGGUCUUGAAAGCCGUCUUCCAUUCGUCACCUUCUCGCAUUCUAAUUUGAUGAUAACCACUUCGCAAAUCUAUCUUUGAAAACACAGAAGAACCAUAUAAUUCGUCAAGCUUAUCAUCAAGUCUAGGUAUAGGGUACCUAUACUUAAUGGUGAUGUUGUUGAUGGCCCGGCUAUCAACACACAUUCGGUAUGUACCAUCCUUCUUAUGUACAAGUAGAGCCGGAAUAGAACAGGGACUCAUGCUUUCUCGGACGUAUCUUUUGACGAUAAGUUCAUCGACAUAGUCUUUACAACUCCUUUGUUUCCUCUGGAUUGCAUCGAUAAGCUGGCUUGUUUGGUAGUGGAGCACCGGGGAUCAAAUCAAUUUGUUGCUCAAUACCUCUUAUGGGAGGUAAUCCAAGUGGCAAAUCCUUCGGGAACACAUCUGCAAAUUCUUUCAACAAGCAAUGCAUUUUUGGAUGUAGGGGUCGCUCUAUCUCACUCUUUUUCUCGACCACAAGCAAAGCAAAUACAUUCUUUUGUUUGCUAAUGGCUCUCUCAACCCGUGUCUCACUCAAGAACAGAUUUUCCUUACAAGUGUUUCCCUCCCCAGGUUGAUUAUUAUGUAUCGAAGAAGGAUUCAAGGGUAAAAGAGUAAUGUAUUUUUGUUCCUUAUGAAAUGAGUAUGUGUUUUUCCGACCAUCAUGCAUAGCCUUUAUAUCAAAUUGCCACAAUCUACCCAAUAAUAAGUGGCAUGCCUCCAUAGGAAUCACAUCACAGACAACUUGAUCUCGAUAAUUUUUCCCAAUCAAAUAAAUUAUAAGAACGCGUUUGGUUACCUUGAGUUCAUUCCCUUUGAUUGAGCCAUUGGAGUUUGUAUGGUUGAGGAUGUUUCGUUGUUGGAAGCUUCAGCUUGUUGACAAGAGUUGUCGAAGCAACAUUGGUGCAGCUCCCACCAUCGAUGAUCACCGAACACACCUUUCUGUUAAUAGUGCAAUGGGUGUGAAAUAUUCUCCCUUUUCUCUUUAUCAGGAGAAACUUCAACAUGCAAUGCUCUUCGGAUGAUCACAGCUCGCCAUCAUCAACUUUCUCCAUAACUUCUUCCCGAUCAAAUUCAAAAAUAUUUUGGUCUUGAUUGCCCUCAGCCUCUUGAAGCACCGAAUUGAUCUCCUCAAUUUCUUGAAGAGUCAUAACUCUCCGAUUUGGACAAUUUGCUCAUAAAUGCCCAAAACCAUGGCACUUAAAGCAUUUCCUUACAUCGCCUUCAAAAUUCUUUUGGACUUCUUUGGAAGGCUCUGCAAUUUUUCCCUUGCCUUUGUCUUUUGUCGACGUACUCUCGCCCUUGCUUGAGGAAACAUCCUUAAAAUAGGAUGUCGCCUUUGUUGAGGUUCUGGAGGAAAACCUCUUGCUCUUCAAUUGUUUUUCGACUUUUAUGGCUAACUUGCAUACGUCUUCAAAGGACCAAUAAGGUUGAAGUUCAACCAUAUCAGCAAUUUCUCGAUUCAUGCCACCAAGGAAACGAGCGAUGGUUUGCUCAAGAACUUUUGGAAUUUCACUCCUUAUUUUGAGUUGUUCAAACUCAUGAAUGUAUUCUUCAACACUCAUCCCUUGUUAUCUUAGGGAAUUCAAUUUCAGGAAUAGAUCUUGCUUAUAGUUGUCGGGCAAGAACCUCUUCUUCAUCAACUUCUUGAGUUUUUCCCAAGACUUGAUUUGGCCUUUUCCUUCCCUUGCUCGUUGAUGCUUUAGAUUCUCCCACCAUAGAGAAGCAUAUUUGGUCAGUUUUAGGACAACAACCUUACAUUUCUUCUCAUCCGAAUAGGACUUGAAGUCAAAAAUUCGUUUCGUUGUGUGUAGCCAAUCCACAAAGUCGUCAGGAUUGAGAUUACCGUCAAACUCAGGGACCUCCACUUUAAUGUCUCUUUCAUCCUCCUUAUGCCUCCCUCUUCAUCUUCAUCUUCGAAUUUGAGAUUCAGAAUUACUAGAGUGUAGAAUCGUUCGGUUGUCUCCAGUGGACUCGGAAUCGCCAUUAGAAUUUUGACGAGAUUCAAAAUCAUCACGCCGAUGCCGUUCGUUGGGAUGCCUUGCUGGCUGUCCUUGUCUCGACGAAUUCUCUAGAAGAUUGAGGACUCGCUCCAUUUGUUGUUGAAGAUUUUGGAUUGAGCAUUCUCGCCUUUCAUUGUGCGUUUGCUCCAGAGUCAAGCCUCUUGGAACUUGAUCAUCCAUAAGGAAUUUGUAAGAAAGAAAGAAAUGAAUCACUCAGAUAAGUUGAACCUUGAGCUCUGAUACCAAUCUUUUGAUGCGUGAUGGGGUGAGUGAUUCCAAAAUGGAAAUUUUUCAGAGGGGAAUUUUGUGGUUAAGUAUAUGGAGUAGUGUAUACGGUGAAGAAACGAAAAGGAGUAAGAAAAGAUAUAACGAUCUCCUUCCAAGGUAUAAAGGCUACACCACCAACCGAGGAUGAGGAUCUAGAUCUACGAAGUUCACCACCAAGGCCUAAAGCUUCCACCAGCCAAGGAUAAAGGGCUUCUUGGCUCACCACCAAGGAGUGAUCUACGUUCCAAGGAUAAAGAGACUGAAAGGAGUUAUCCACUCUCCAAAAGAGUUCACUCAAACAGAGGAAAUCUCACCAUUUUCAUUGAUCAAAUUUGUAUCUCCCAUACAUUGGAUAGUUUUCCCCUAUUUAUAUGAGGAUUUUAGCCUUAGGAAAUAUUAAAAACAGACUUUAAUGACCUAGGAACUUAAACUUUCAACUCUUGAGCUACAUAAAAAUAAAAACACCUAGGAACUUAAGAAAAGCCUUUAUUAACACGGGAACCAAAUGCCUUUAAUCUUCGGCUUUCCGCAUUCUUGAACCUUUAGCUUUCCGUAUUCUUGAACCGUAUUCUUGAACCUUUGGCUUUCCAUAUUCUUGAACCGCAUUCAUGAACCUUUAGCCUUCCCAAAAUUCGUGCUCCUCCCUUGACCAAAAAAUAAUCCUCUUGAAACUUCAUCAAUUGGUCAUAUAAGACAUCUAAAAUGGCCUCCCAUUGAUAGUUAUUGAUAUACCACGAAGUACCGAUAAGUAAUUAACACUAUUCAUUCAAAAUGAUCCAUCGAAGCACAUAAUGCCCAAUUUCUUUAUUGACUUGGAUAAGCAUCGAUGGUUCUAAGUUGGUCGAUAGAGCUACGUUGGAUGCUCCCGCCUCACCUGGACCACAAUGGUGCAUUUUGGGCUUUCUCUUGGUUGCUUAAGUUGAUUGGACAAAAUUUUACGAUUCUUUGUUCGUGUUUUUAUUUCUCUCGGUUCGUUGCCGAAUCCGUAAUUGUUGACCAAGAUUGAUCCAAAUGGAGCUUUGCUUCAACUUAGGUGAGCGAUUACGAGUCCUGAUUGUUCCAAAUCCAUUGUUGUUUAUACUAUUUGUUGUUUUUUUUUUCUGAUUUUGUUCAGCCCCAUUUCUGGUGUUUUUCUUACUCUUUGGUUAUGCCCUUACAAGAGUGAGUGCCUUUUUGCCUCGUCAAGAUUCCUGUGAAGAGUUUUUAGUUUGUGAUUAAAAUUUUAUUACCCUUCAAUAUUGCGUUUCUUACCUUUACAAGAUAUGGCUUUUCUUCUUACAUGCUCAUUAGAAGAGAUGGAUUAUAUUUUGCAUUGACAACCAAAACAAAUGUUCAAAUACCAAAUCAAAAACAAAUGCCAAAAGCAGCAAGGGAGGAAGUGUCUUCUCAAUCGGAUAUGAAUGAAGAUUCAAUUAACUCGUAUGAGCAUACUAAUCACAUGAGAAGCGCCACGUGGGGGUAUUAUACAUAUUUCAUGUACAUGUUUGCUUUUAAGACUUAUUGGACCUGCCAACCUAUGGCUUCUAACCUGUGAUGGACGUACUAUCUGCUGAUCAUGUGAUGUUGUUGUGUCAUUGGGUGCGUUGUGCUUGGUUUGAUAGGAAGGAUAGAUGUGUUGUGCGAUUUGGAAGAUGUUGUUACAAGGAUGAAUGCUUGGUGGAUGUACUAUUUAUUGAGUCUCUGUUUAGACACUUUAAGCUAAUUCUAGUUUUGUUAUUAAGGGCCUGUUUGGCAACGUGCCAAACAGUGCCUGAUUCUGAUUUUUUGUUUCCAGAAUCAGUUUGGGACAAGAAUCGCGUUUGAUAAAAUUUUUGUUCCUGGGAACAGAUUGGGAAGAGAAUUGAGAAUAAAAAAAAUAUUUGAUUCUUCAUCCAAGAAUCAAAAAAAGAAUCAAAAUAGUGAAACUCUCAUUCUUCUCUUCCAUCAUCCUACAAUUGCCGUCCACCACCGCCUGCCGCCGUCCGCCGCUGCCGCCUGCCGCCACCGUCCGCCGCUGCUCGCCGGUUCAGCGAGCUCGCCGAAGGCUCGCCAAGCUAGGGCGAGGUCCGGCAAGCUCGCCGAAGGCAAGCCCAACCUCGCCGGUGGCCAGGCUAGCCUCGCCCAGCCCUGGCGAGGCCGGCCUAGCCACCGGCGGGGCUGGGCAAGCCUUGCCAGUGGCCAGGCAAGCCUCGCCCAGCUGCCGACGAGGCUCGGCCGACGAGGGCCGACCUCGCCGGCUCAGUGAUCGGCCACAUGAAGAAGAAGAAGAAGAAGAAUAGGAAAAAAGGGAAAAAAGAAAAGAAAAGAAAAAGUAAAAAAAAUUAUUUAAAAAUCAAAAUAAAUUAAUUUGGAACAGAAUCAAUUAGCACGGUAUCAAACACAAUUCUAUUCCAGAAUAAAAAAUUUUGGACAGUUACCAAACACGUUUUUUUUACUCAGAAUUAGUUCCCGAGAACAGAAUUAAAAAUAAUCAUUUCUAGUCAGAAUUAGCUCUUGAGAACAGAAUCAUUACCAAACGUGCCCUAAAUGUAUGCAAUCAAAUGUGCAGAGAAAGGAGGUGAAUAAACUUACUUCCUUGCUAAUUGCAUAUUUUGUUGGCUGACAUGAAUGAAUGUGCUUUAGACGAUCCUAAUAGGAAUUAUACCUGCGUUUCUGUUAUUAAAUGUUGGUUGAUUUCUAUGAGAAUUUAAUGUUGUUCCGAUAAGGCUUCCCAUGGAACAAUUGCUUCCCUCACUUGGGCUGUUUUAGACAAAUUUAUCGGCAAAAUAAGGCUGAUGUUAUGAAGCUCAUUGGUUUGCGGUUUUCUUAAAAAAUAGCAUGGCCUUUCGAUUAAUGCAACUAUAGUUGAUCAGGAGAUAGUCCAAAGGCUGAUUUUGUUUUUGGGAGUAUCCACAUCCUGAUUCAAAGGUUGCUGAUAAUAUCGUUUGGAGAUCUCCUGCUAUUGAUGUGGAUUCCAUCAAAUCGUUCAGAGAUACGAAGCUGCUGCGUGUUCUUCUUAGAUGUAGUCCAAGUUGAAUUGUAACUCUUUUUUUAGGUCAAGCAUGAUCAGAGAACCAUCUAGAUAUUUUUGUGGGAAGAAGAGAGUUCGUAGGAUGAUCCUACCAUAUCUAUUGUAAUCAUCUGAGUUGGUUGUGCCUCUUUUCUCUUUUCUUUUUGAACCAUAUAUCAACUCGGUUGCUAAUGUCCUGUUGGUUUUCUGUUAUAAUCAUCUAUUUCCAAAUGAAGAGAGAUUUGUGGACCUCAUUUAAAGCAUAAAUACUUUUCACUAUCUUUCUUUGAGCACAUGCGGUUCGUCCUCAUUGGAAAACCAAGAUAAUACUAUUGGCUAUAGAACACAAAUAGAUUGUCCAGGGGAAAUAUAUGAACCAGCAUUGAUCACAUUUACUUUGUGUAAGAAAGAAUAGUAAAUACUGUUUGUGCUACUGUGAGAAAGAACACAAUGCCUGCGAAAACGGAAAAGAAAGACCGAGGACUAGGGAAAUAGUCCCUCCUUAGUUUCGCCGUCCAGAGGUUGCCCCUCUUGACACAAUGCGCAUUCACAUUUUGGAAGAUCUUACAGUAAUAGGAAUUGGAUAUAGCGACGUGGUUGCCCAUCUGGUUGAACAUCUGCGCAACCACCUUGUCAUCCCUCAAAUAAUUCUCAAUAAUCCCUGCACGGCGAAGAAACUCCACGUCCAUUGAAGAGUUUAUGAGAUUAUCCAUGAAGUUAACGUAAUCCGUAAAGUAGUUGAUGUCUCUCCUUCGACAAUGCUGCUCGUAUGCGACCAGGUUUCGAAAUUUUGAUUCGGUAUGGUCUUCUACUUUUAAGACCGCUAUCUCGAGUGUCUCAUUCUCGAAUUUGAUGUCGCUCAGUUGGUCCCCUUUCUCAGCCUUAAACUUGACUCUUGAAUCCCUCAGCUCUGUCGCCGAGAAUUUAAUUGGUGUGCAAACUAACAAGCAAUCUGACCGAUUCGGUUUAGGCAAGUCCGAAGUGUGCCACGUAUGAUAUAGAUGUAGAAGAUGCUCCGUCUCCUCGCCAAUCGUCCAAUUUUGUAUGGGGACGUCGAAGUACACCCUGGCAUAAAAGCCGAACUCACUCUCGUCGCCCGGAUCUUUAGUCAGGUCAUGUAGCUUGCUCAAGACGAAAAGUGGGAGCUGGUUCUCUAGCAGCAGUAAAUCGCGCAUAAUGCUGUUUCGAAUCCCUAAUCCAUGCAUAAGCAGAUCGUCUUCGUCUAUCGGUAUCUUGUUAUUGUACUUACGGAACAACUCAACGAUGAAACAGCCAUCAAUGAGCAUCAUCGCAAGAAACUUUUCUUGGGAGAGGUCGAUGGUUUCCGCAUAGCAAUUACACGCCCGUUGUUCCAUUUCCCUGAGAGUCGGCAUAUACCUGUCAACGCUCUCCUUUCUCCUCUCAAGCAAUUGCUGCAGGUAUCGCAAUUUUUGCUUCUCCAUGAAUUUGAACUUGUCAUUUCCAUAGUGAUAAGGGCCAAUGGCUAGGACCUCUGGGUCAUAGGCUUUCUCGUUGACUUUGCGCAAUUGAUGACGGACCCUAAAUAUACUAUGCUCUAGCGAAGUGGGAGGCAUACUACGAAGCAUACUCUCGAUGUGGAUUGAAACAUGAUCUUGCACCACGGAACAGUCAUAGAUCCUAGCAUGCUGUAUUGGCUACAACAUAAUUAAUGUGAUAAUAAGCACAGAGUAAAGCAAGAUGAUGGAUUUUCAUGUUCUUGAAAUGGUUCUUCAUGUGCUUCCCUUUCAUUAAGAGCUACUUGCGAAAAAUGAUCUUAUAUAUACUCUAGCUAAUUUUUUUAUUUUGGUCAUCAUAAUAUUUUUGGGGAAAUGGAUACCCCUUAAACUAAUCUCCAAACAUCCAACACCCCCCCCCCCGGCGCCCCCUCCCCCUGGGGGCGCACCUCAAAAAAAAGAAAAAAGAAAUAAAUAAAGUGAUUUCCGAAUAAAUUUUUAGGAGAAAUUCUGCAUUUCCGUGUGAUUAUUAAUGGAAAAUGCUAACUAAGCACCGGAGUUGAACAUGUGGAGCUGGCAUAUAAUUUAAACAAAUCAAUAUAUUAGAAAAAAUUACAGAAAUGAUCUAACAGUAGAGGAUCGGAAAAGGGAAGGGAAAUUCAUGAUGACUUACUUGAUUGAAUUGGUGAUUGCUCAUUCUUCUCGCCAAGCUAGACCAAUUCUUCUCUUUUCGUGGGAUUGUGUAUUCAGUGAUAUGGGUAUAGAUAAAAUGAGACUCCGCCAAACAUCAACCUUUAAAACGAAAUACAAACACGUUUUACUUGAGACCCCACAAAAGAAAACACCUGUGAGUAGCUAGGGUCUUUCUUGCCCGAAAUAAACACCUGUGAGUAGCUAGAGGAUACCUAUAGAGCGCGAGACAACUCUCUCCAGAGAACUCGUAAAGUCGACCACUGAAAGCAGAACCGUAAAGUCGACCACGGAAAGCAGAACGACGGACGAGGUAAUCCGGACGAGCAAUUACAAUAAUGGCUGGGGAAAUUUUUUUCUGUAGCGUUUCUUCCUAAAGUUUUCAUGGACAGCUGUGUGUCUGUACGUGAUUGCAGAAGCAAAUCUCAAAUCUCAAAAAGAUUCCAGCAUUUUUUUGUCCAGUCGCUUUCUCCAUAGUUCCGUAUCGCAAUUAUAUAUCGCUCGAGCCUUGACAUAACAUCUCGGUAGCACAGAGCCAUGCGCCCUUCGAAGAAUCAAACCAUACGAGAUCUUGUGGACACUGGGCAUAUCUAGUGGGGUUGAUGCGACCGCGUAUCUACCGCACAAGAUCUUGUGGACACUGGGCUUCUCUACCCUUUUUAUCUGCAGCCCCACGGGCCUUUCACACCGCCAUAUCCAAAUGCGUUAUCUUCUGACUUGUCAAUUCCAUUCUUCUAGUCACAAGCUCAAAAAGAACCAACAACUCCAAAGGGUAGAGACGAUGAUAAUAUAGGUCAGAUAGUCUUUACAUCAAAUUAGACUAAUUAGCAUGGCUCGAUGAAUGGCACGUCAAUCGUAUUUCAGUAACGGAGGUUCCUAGCGAAAGUCAUCCUAUUCCGGUUACGUUGAAAAUGACUUCAAUCGGAGAAUUAGAUGUUUACAUAAAAUGCCCGCUUCCAUCUCCCCCUCCCAAAUAACCGCUCAAAGUGACUACACCUAGUGGUGAUAAGUUCCAAAGUGAACCGAGUCCCACAUAAAAUCGGUAAUUACCCAAAGAUGGAUCAAUUCGACUAAUUGGAAACUGGUCGUGUUUUGAUGAAAGUGAUGUUGAGAAGAUGUUGGGCUCUUAUCUUUGGCAUUCGGAAGAGGUGCUCCCCAAAAUCAGUGGUGGCUGUGAUGGUGUCGAAGCUGAGAACGCGAUCAAAAGUAAAACGGAGGAUACUGCAUGAGUAGCUUGCUAAGAGAAGUGAGAGAAAUCGAGAAGGCCAUGAAAGAACUUGUGCGGUGGAAUAAUCAUACCAGCCAAAUUGUGUACUCGCACGGCUUGUUACGUCAGACUCAGGCCUCGCACAGCUGAGACUUAAGAACGUUACUUCCUAUUCCGGUUACGUUGAAAAUGACUUCAAUCGGAGAAUCAGAUGUUUACAUAAAAUGCCCGCUUCCAUCUCCCCCUCCCAAAUAACCGCUCAAAGUGACUACACCUAGUGGUGAUAAGUUCCAAAGUGAACCGAGUCCCACAUAAAAUCGGUAAUUACCCAAAGAUGGAUCAAUUCGACUAAUUGGAAACUGGUCGUGUUUUGAUGAAAGUGAUGUUGAGAAGAUGUUGGGCUCUUAUCUUUGGCAUUCGCAAGAGGUGCUCCCCAAAAUCAGCGGUGGCUGUGAUGGUGUCGAAGCUGAGAACGCGAUCAAAAGUAAAACGGAGGAUACUGCAUGAGUAGCUUGCUAAGAGAAGUGAGAGAAAUCGAGAAGGCCAUGAAAGAACUUGUGCGGUGGAAUAAUCAUACCAGCCAAAUUGUGUACUCGCACGGCUUGUUACGUCAGACUCAGGCCUCGCACAGCUGAGACUUAAGAACGUUACUUCCGUGUAAAUGUUGAAUCAUGACCUAAAAAGGUUAUGUUCAGUACAAGUGCAAGAAUAUACAAAACACGAGAAAAGUUUUUACUUAAUAAAAUAAAUGCUAUUCGUAGCUUUAAACGGAUUGUCAUUUUCUGUAUUGAACUUUAGAUAAUUGUAGCGCUUUAUAAUUAUAUAUAUCUCAUGAACGAUAAAUAUAUAAAGAAAAAGAUAUUUGGCUGCUGGGUUUCGAGCCCAAGUCUCCGAGGCCAUGACAUGGCAUUCUUGCUUACCACUAAACUACAGCCCUCCUUCGUCAAAACAAAAAAUAUAUAUACCAUUUCGGUCUAAAUAGGUGGUUCUACAUCUAAAACCACAAAUCGGAUUUGUUUAUGCAAUUUCCAAUCCGGUCGAGUUUUUUUGCUCGCUGCUAGGUACAACCGGUGAACCAAAUGCUUACGGAAAUUUGCUUGGAUAAAAGUUGUUGAUUGAGAGGAUUCGGGUUCCAUUCUUCCUAUUGCUGACUUUAUCGGUCAUUCAAAAGCUACCAUUGCUGUAAUCUUAUUUUCUGUUUUCCACUUUUUUUCUUUUGCCAGAAUCCUCUAAUCAUACUUUUGUUGUCUUACUACGAGCUCACGAAAUUAAAUGCGUGUAUAAAAAAAAAAGAAAAGAUAAUGGAUUGAGAUUGUCUCUAAAAAUAAAAGGGUUAGUUAUUUUUUCCAUGAAUGAAAUGAGUGAAGGUAAUUAUUCUUUGAGAGGAGGAAAUAGAUGCUUGAAUUGUUGACAUUAAUUGUUAAUUUUUUAAAUAAUUUUAUGCAAAUAGAUUCUUGAAUUUCGUCUAAGACUCUGUAUAUUUGGUGAGUUGAGUAUAAUCGGCAUCCUUUCUUGCAUGAUGGAGAAUUGAGAGCUAUUUGUGUGAGAAGCAUGUUAAUUUCUUGAUCUAUAUAUGCAAAGUAUAUUCAUGACCUUUUUUUCCCAGCGAAUGAUUAUGGCGGCAAAAUGUAGGUAUUUUAGUUUCGAAAAGUAUGUGCUUUUUGACAAAUGAUAUCUUGAAAACACAGAAAAGCUUCUUCAAAUAGAGAUAUGCCAUGUGUCCUUUUUUUUAUAUGGCAGUCACGUGUGCUACAUCUACAUUACAUAUAUGACAAAAAAAAAAGAAAAAAAGAAGGAACAACAGCCAAAUUAGGGGAGGAAAUCAUAAUCAAAAGGGUCGAUAUCAUGAAGAAUCUUAAAUCGGUACAUUUAUGACAAAUUUACCAUAAACUAAUUAUUUAAUCAUAAAAAAUCCAAACUGAUGCACUUUUGAUAAAUUUACCCAAAACUAUUAUACUAGUGACGAAUUAACCCUAUGUUAGUUUUCAUUAAAUUUUUCUGUCAAAUUACUAAAUUGAAUUAUACGUGAUAGUUGACUGGUAUACCAAUUUGCGAUUUUACUCUCUGUUUGUCAUAUUUAUAUAAUUUUUUGUGGUAUUAAUCUAAUUUAACGGAUGAUAUAUUUGUUAUAAAUGUAUCAAUUUAGGAUUUUUAGCGGUUGAAUAAAUUAGUUUAUGGUAAAUUUAUCACAAAUAUAUCAAUUUUGAAUUUUUUUAUUAUCAGUCGAGAUAAGUUUGAUACAUAUAUAUUAGUUUGGAAUCUUUUAUGAUCAAGAAAUUAAUUUGAAGUAAAUUUAUUAUAUGUAUAUUAGUUUGAAAUUUCUCAGGAAAUUAAUUAUAAUCAAAAUUACAUGAUAAAACCAGAGCAACGAUCCCAAAGAUUCCGAAUGCACAAAAGUCGAAACCUUAAGCCUCAUUUGUUGCUAUGUUUAUGGGAGGAAAUCAAAUUAUGGCCAAUGGGAAUGGAACGAAAGACCUUGAUAGCAGUUGCAAAGUGGUUAGGAGUUCACUUCAAUUAGCCUCCACAGCAGAAGGCUAUUAAUGCACACGACGGAAGAAGAUGGAGAAGCAGAGGACAUCUGGCUAUCGAUAAUAGCGCAAGGUACAACAGACAAGAUUUUGAUUUUUUGUUUUUUAUCUUUUGUUUUUCUUUAGAGUAAGCACUCAACACGGCAUAGGCAUUUGAAUUUUUUUUUUCCCUAAAUGAAGGGGGAGCAACUCGCGUUUGCAUCGUCUGUUUUGAAAUAUAAGGAUCGGACUAGUAAGUAGUAAGUAGCUUAUGAUCAAAUCUCUGAUACUUUAACUCGUUUACAUGUAAAAUAUUUUCGUGUCAAUUAUAUAAUUUGUGCAAUUAAUAUAAUCACGUUACGUGAUUUUAUAGCUUGAGACUUACAAUUAGCAAGUUAGUGAUGAUGUGAGUUUCUAUGCUACUUAUGUAUUUGAGUUCUCAAACUUUUAUUUCAUUCGUCUAAGAAUUGAAAAUUGCAUUAAAAAGCAUGUGAGAGAUUCAGGUUGCUCUAUCGAUUUCUAAUGGACAGAAAUCACAUCCAGUUUACUUCAUUCCCUUUAGACGUGUUAACAGAUUGCGUGAGUAUGUACGUCUACAUGAUCAUGAAUUAAACUUGGAGACGUGCGAGUAGUCUCGGUUUCUGCCGAUUAUGGCCGAUUAUAGUUUUGUGGUUGUUUUGAUAUCUAGCUUGCUAAAUAAUGCAUAUUUAGAUAAUGCAUAUUUGGUGAUGUGGUUGACUUUUGGUAUGCUUAAAGCUUAUGCUUGCUAAUAUGUGAAAUUGAUUGCUUAAUUGUGCAAUUAAGUUCUUGGUUGUUGUUAUGGACUGUUAUUGCAAAAAAUGGAUUUUAGUAUUUAAAUAGAAAAAUACCGGGUGUUGGUUUUUUGACGCCAAAAAUGUUUAUAUAGUAUAUGAAAUCAUGAAAUUUUGAAAUGAGAGGGUACCAUGCUUACUAGUUCGAUUUAAAUGCGUGACCACGCAUGAUUAUUUUAUCGGGAUGAUUUUUAUUACGAAGAAAAUGAGCCAAGUCCAUUAUUUGAAAUUGAGGUAUUUUAGUGCAAAGUACAAUAUUUUUGGCCAAGUAUGGAUAUGUGUGUGGUUACUAUUAGAACCCGUCACCCAACAAGAGUUUGGGGAUGAUGCCUAAUUUUAUUGGAUGCCCGACAAGAGUCUGGAAGUCGGUCGCGGUGGAGGCUGGAUCAAUGCCCCUUUUUGGGAUGCUGUCUAAGCGGGAGUUUUAGAUGUUGCCAUGCUUGAUGGGGCGAGAUGAUGCCCAGUUAUGUCCAAUGACUACUGACUGGGGAGUUGACCGUGACCGAUGGGUAGUAAAAACUUGAAUAUACAUGAGUUGAGAUAGUUGCGCCUUAUUAUGGGGUAAAUGUGGUAUGGAAUGUGACGUAUCAUAAUAAUGUUACCUUAUAAUCGGGACCCAUGUAAUUGGUUGUGAUGAAAUGAUAUGUUCCAGUUAUUGAUUACGCUUGCUACGUUUAUAAGUGUAUAUGUGACGCACUAAUCUGCAGAGAUGUGCUGAGGUGAGGUAAGUUUUGUGUGACGCCUAUUUAGGCUGCCUCUGAGUGAAUUCUCGUCCUAGUCGAGAUUUAGGGUGUUGACUUGCUGAGAUUUUUAUCUCACUCUGUCGUGGUUAAAUAUUUUCAGGUCCUUAGAUGGAGAACUCAGGGCUUGAGGCUAAACGGUCCGGAGCAUAGGUGGCUCACUAGUCCUCGUUGGGUCAGACUUAUGUGUAUAGACCUGUAAGACUAAUUUGGCUUGUAUAUAAAGUGUUUUGUGAAAAUUGGUUGUCCUGCUUUUAUAUCCCAUGUUUAAUUGAUGAGAUUAUUAGUUCGCUUCCACAUGUGCAUAAAACGAAAUGGUCAGUGAUGCGUCUUAAGAUAUCGUAAAUUUUAGUCAACCGUCGAGGGAUAUGCACGUGUUUAAGAUUCUGGGCAUGACAUAUAGUGACCUAGCAUUGUCUCUCAAAAGUAAAAAAAUGAUUCAAAGUCCUUUAGUGGAGCCUUGAUUUUUUCAAUGUUGGGUUCAGUUUUUUAUCAAAAGAUUUUCUCAUUUUUUAUUAUGCUAAACUAGUUUUAAACUAGAGUUAACACUAAAACUCUAAUGAAGUUAGACAAAAGAUCAAUUCUAAACUCUUUUCUGAAUUUUUAAUUUUGUAUUACUUUUUAUUAAUUCUGGGAAAUGGACUUCGGACAAGGCCAGGGAAACCGGUCUGAUUACUGGUUUGAUCCGGACCCUAAAGAUCCGGGUUGCGUUAGGAUUCGGACCGGCCUCUAGGGCCCGGUCCUAAUGUGGUUAUGGCCCGAUGGACUCGGGCUAUAACAACAAUACGACCCAAGUUGCCAAUUUCCCCAUUUCUAGUCAUUCUAAGCCCAAUCGGCAGUCAGCCCACACGCUCAAUUCGGUCCAACCGAUUCUCUUAACCCAAUUUGCAUACUCGGCCCAAUUAAUUGAGCCCUUAACGCCUCAGUCCAAAUCAUUGGACUUUAUAAUCAGCUCGUCUUUAAUUCAACCUUGCCGGCCCCAACAAACAUAUCCCACCUAAGCUUCAUUCUGACAUUUUUUACAUUUUUUUUUAAUUUUCUAUUUUUUUAAUUUCUCUUUCCUAUAUAAUUUUAUUAUUUCCCUGCAUCUUCUUCCCCAAGAGCUCGUCGUCUUCUUCCCGAGCUUGCCUGCACCAAGAACGACGCCUCCUUCGGACAAGAUUUCGCCGAAGCUCCGGUCAUCAUUGGAUCACCCUCCGUCAGUCGUCCAUUCUGACCACCACUGGACCACCAUAUCGGCUGCCGCUGGUCUAUCAUCGACAACAAUCAAGACAAACUCAUUCUAAAUCGGCUGCGGCUUUUCGACCAAAGCAACAUUAAAAAAAUUUCGUACCAUACCAUGAGCACAUCGACAACAAUCAAGACAAACUCAUUCUAAAUCGGCUGCGGUUUUUCGACCAAAGCAACAUUAAAAAAAUUUCGUACCAUACCAUGAGCACAUCUACAUAGCAAAUGGAAGGGAAUGGGGAGCUAACUGUGGAGGACUCAAACCGCGGGCAUUGCAGGUAAGUAGGGGGGUCUCCGGCUGGAAGUUUUAUCCAUGACAAAAGUACAUCAUAUUAGAGAUAUUUAGAGUAUUUUUUAAAGAUAAUUGAGGAUAUUUUUCUUGAUUUUUCAUAUCUUUCGUAAUGGUGUAUUGAUUGUGAAUAACUUGGUUGGUUUGUUGCCUAGAUAAUCAUCUAAAAAAACCUAUAAAUAAAUUCAUGUAUUAUUUAUCAAAACACAAAAAACAUAUAGAAAAAUUCCACCAUUAUUAUUAUUAUUAUUAUUUUACUUUAUUCGUAUAUCAUCAUUUGAGAUAACUUAUGCCGCUUGGGCACUCUCCAUCAUUUUCCAAAAGUCAAUUUUUGCCGUUUUCAAGUAGUCUUCGUCAUCGUUUGCUCGUGACUUUUUUUUUGGCCAUACGAUGACAAAGGUUGAUGGUGAUGAAUCAAACCGUGUAUGUAGUUAGAAUAAGGGGUUGGUAUUUGUGAGUCUCAUCAUUUUAACUUCACUCAUCUAUAAAUAUCUUGCCUAGUGAAGUAAGUUUCCAUGUAUUUCCUUCUUUCCCUUUUCGGAUCCUCAGCUGUGUUGAGAUAUUCCCUGCACUAAACAAAAAAUUGAAGAAUGAGACCAUCUUUCUCUCUUGUAUCUAUAUUGGUGAUAAUGAUUUUAUUAAUUAUUGUGAUGGGCCUAAGUUGGCCCGUCUGCCCAUGUUGGGCCUAAAAGCCUGGCCCAUAAGAUUAGGGCCUAUGGAUGGAGGGAUACGUUGAAGAGUUGUAACUUUUGGGGGACGUCUUUUGUCGAAGGGACACGUCCUUUGGAGAGGAUGUAUUUAAGGGGGAAAAGAGAGGGAGGAAUGCACCUUUUGGAUUUACGUACGUUCCUCCUCCCUCUCUCCCUUAAAACACUCCAAAAAGAACAGUAAGAAAAAGGAGGAGAUACUCUCUUCCCCUCAAGGCAAAUUUACGUCAUCGGAUCGAACGGGAUUAGUUUUUCUUCCUCAUAUCAGCGUCGGUGUUUAAUCUGUGGCUAACAAGGUACGUUCGAUUCUGUGAUAUGCUUUAAGAUCGGUGAUACAUGUGAUUUUCCUGGGCUCGUCUUCUGCACUUGUUUUAGGGGUUCAAUUUAGUGUCGAAUUCGAUUUUUUGGGAAUCCGAUAUUCCCUACAUUGGUAUUAGAGCCGUCUUUCAUGUUUCCCGAUCCCCUUUUUAUGUUAUUGAAUUAAUUUUGCGGUCGAAAAUCGAGAGAAGCCGCUGCCAGUCGAUCGGGGACGAAAAAACCCGACACUUGCGUACUGUUCGUCCUUUUUUGUGGUCUUCUGUAAGUCAAAUUUUUUUUCUAAAAGCAUAGGAUCGAAGCCCUCGUCGAUAUGAGAAAAACGAGUGGCGAAUCGCCGCCGGACGCACCGCCACAAGCGGCUGGAACGAACGGGGGUCAUCAGCACGCGCCGACUCAGUUUCCCACAGGCACGUGUGUCGCACGUUUCGGCCCACGUGCCUGCGACGCACGCACGAAAGCCCACGCACGCGCGCGGCACGUGCCGGUCGGUUUGCCCGACCGGCCUAACCGGGCUUUCUAGUCCGAUCGGUCCAACCGGCCCGUCCGGUCCGACCGGUCCAACCCGUAGCCCGUUGACUCCGACCCGGUUGACCGUUGACCGUUGACCCAAAAAAAAAAGAAAAAAGAAAAAGAAGAAUGUGUUUCUUUUUUUAAUUAAGUCUAUGUAGAUUAUAUGUAAUCCCUUAUUUGUUCUACAUUUGUUGUUGGAACAAUGCCUCCCCUUAAGUUUUUUUUUUUGGUAGAAGGUAAGAAAUAUAUUAAGAAGAGCCAAAUGUACAAAAAGAUCUCGACACCAGUAACUUGCACUCCAAAUGUAGUAACAAAAGAAGUGGAAGGGUGACGAGAUGCAAAAGCCGCAGAGGCGGCACAACAACUACAACAACAAGGCCAAACUAAGCACGGCUAGCUCAACCGGCUAUCAAACAGAGACAAAAGCAAGGAGGAGGCCAGCGUCAGAUCAAGGACCUACGGGUCUCCAUUGAAAAUAAUCGGGUCUAGGCUCCAACUUCUCUGCAACCUUCUGUUUCUGAAAUUGUCUUCGACGUUCCUGAAUGUGAUAGCCUUGUCUCGGACCACUUUGAAGAGGUGGUUCUUGAUGGCCGGAAUUGAGAGAGGCUGGUCUCUAAAGAUGAUGUCAUUCCUAUUUUUCCAAAUGAUGUGACACAACGCGCCAAAGGAAAAACGGGCUAUGCACUUAUAGAAAUCUUUCCCCAUCAAAUAGGUAGUUGCCCAUCUGAAAUUUUCCCCCCAACCUCCGUUGCGCUAGGGUAAAUUGCAUCUGGACGCCCAAAAGAAAGCAACGCUAGCCGUGACACAGCAGUCAAAAAACAAGUGGUCAAGAGAGUCAGGCACAUUCUUGCAAAACGCACAGGUAGCAUUCCCAAUUAUACCAUAGGCCAGAAGGAGGUCCUGGGUUGGAAGCCUACGCUUGGCCAUAAGCCAAAGAUUGAGUUGAUAUCGAGGCACUAUGGCGUUGUCCCAUACGAAGGAGUACCAGUGGACCUGCGUCCUCUUCUUCCUGAUGAAGUUCCACGCCGAUGCCAUAGUGAAUUGGCCCGAAGAGCUUUCUCGCCAACAGCAACGAUCCGGGUCAUUCGUCAGGCUCGGAAGAGGUUGCCCCCACGAUUGAAGCACCAACCUGAGAGCUUGGCCAGCAUCUGAGAAGAGGUCAGCAACAGAAGCUUGUCUAGAGAGCCCUGAGCUGUAGAUAAGAGAAUCUGAGAAGAACAGGUUCAAGGGCCCUCUAGGGUGCCAGUUGUCAAACCACAGAGAGGUUGUUUGGCCAUCGCCAAUUUUCCAGUAGAAGGCCAUCCUGAAAUUCCUUCUUAGGGUCAACAAGCUCUUCCAAGCCUAGGAUCCAGAUGUUGGCUUCCUAGCAACCCAAAAAUUCUUGUUUUUUAAGAACGUGGAGUGGACCCAUCUACACCAUAGCGCUUCCUUGUCGGAAAACAAGAUCCAAAUAUGCUUUAGCAUGGAAGCUUUAUUGCAAUCUUGGAGCCUCCUAACACCUAGCCCUCCUUCAUCCUUUGGAAGGCAAACUUCAUCCCAGGCUACCUUAGCACCACCCCUGCCUAGGUUCGGACCUUUCCAUAGGAAUUGUCUAAAUAUUUUCUCUAUCUGUUCCAUCACAGCUGUAGGUAAAACAAAGACAUUAGCCCAGUAGGCUUGUAUAGCAUGAAGAACUGACUUGAUAAGCUGAAGCCGACCAGCAAUAGAGUGUAAUCGGUGGGUCCAAGACUGAACCCUUGCAGUGAUGCGAUUGACCAGGGUACAACAGUCUGCUUUAUUGAUCCUUGAAGUGAUAAUGGGAACCCCCAGGUACCGAACUGGCAGGCUUCCUUCUCAAAAGCCCAACUUCAAUAGAAUAUUAUUCCCUAGGGAGAGAUUGCCACCCGCCAAGAAAAUUUCACUCUUGCACGAGUUAGGACAAAGGCCACUCCAAGAGGAAAAUAUAUUUAGAGCUUCCUUAAGGAGAGUCGCCGUAGGAAGGUGCGCCUCACAAAAAAGGAAGACAUCAUCUGCAAAAAAGAGAUGUGAAAGACCCACUGCCUUGCACCUCCAGAAGAACUUGAAAUCAGGCCUCGAGGAGUGCUUAAGAAUGAUCCCUGAGAGCACUUCCAUGACCAUAGUGAAAAGGUAAGGAGAGAUGGGAUCACCUUGGCGAAGACCUCGACCGCUCGCAAAAAACCCGUGGAGCUCUCCAUUCAAAGCAAUUGAGAAUUUAGUAGUGCGAACACAUGUCAUAAUUAGACUAGUGACAGAGUGAGGGAAGCCAAAGGCCAGCAUCACAUUCUCAAGGAAGCCCCAAUCCACGGUAUCAUAGGCUUUCCUGAAGUCCACCUUUAUCGCACAUUUAGGUAGAUAAGGCUCAAGGUGGAAGCUAGAGAAUAGUUCCUGAGCCAGCAAAAUAUUGUCCCUAAUUCGUCUACCUUUUAUAAAAGCAGUCUGAAAAGGGCCUAUCGUGUUAUUCAAAGCUAGGGCCACCCGAUUAGCUAGCACCUUUGUAAUACACUUGUAGAUAGUGUUGCAGCAGGCGAUAGGCCUGUAAUCCUCCACAGAAGUGGCGUUGAGCACUUUCGGAACCAUUACCAAGAUGGUAUUGUUAACCUCCCUCAAGAGUUUUCCGGAGUUGAAGAAAUCCAACACUGCAGUCGUUACUAAAGGACCAACCGUGUCCCAGUUUUCUUUGAAAAACUCCGCUGUGAAGCCAUCCGGCCCAGGAGCCUUUCCCUUAGGCAAAGAGAAGAUAGUGUUCCGGAUCUCCAUCUCUGUAACUGGUUGAGCAAGAAGUGCAGCCUGAUCAACCGAAAGUGGAUGUUGAAUAACCUCCCUCAAGUCCUCUAACGAAGGUCUAAUAAUCUCCCCUUGCGGCAUCAAGAGGUCCUCAAAGAACUCUACAAACCUUCGUUGCACCAGCCGUGGUUCCGUCACUAUGUUCCCCGAAGAGUCGAGGACGGAGAGGACUCUGUUCCUCAACUGUCUUUUGUUGACAUAUUGAUGGAAGAAUUUGGUAUUUCGGUCUCCCUCCCUGAGCCAUCUGACCCUGGACUUUUGCCUGAAGAAGGACUCCUCCGAGGAGCGCAACUCUGCAAAGAUACACCUUUGGCUUUUCUCCACCUCAGCAAGGUUAGCAGAGAAGGGAUUUAGCUGUAAUUCUGCUUGAGUGGCCUCCAUCAUCUUCCGCGCAUCAAGAGUUCUAGCAGAUAUAUUAGAGAAGGAAUCUCUGUUGAGCUGCUUGAGCCGAUAUUUGAGAGCCUUGAGUUUAGAGACAAGCUUAUACAUAGGGACGCCACUCCCCGGCGCAUCCCACACUUGUGAGACAAUUUCAUUGAACUCCGGGUGCUUCAUCCAGAAGUCGAAGAAUUUGAAGGGCUUCCUUCGAUGAGUCGAAUUAAGUACCUUCACCACCAUAGGCGAGUGGUCCGAGAUUCCAGGAGCAAGGAAGGAGGCUUUUGAGUAAGAUAGAUCCGAGCUCCACUUGGCAUUCACUAGAACCCUGUCAAUCUUCCUUGCUUUCCUAGAAUGCCCUGAAGACGUAGUCCAAGUGUAUCUAAAUCCAACGAACCUCAAGUCCUCUAGCUCAGCUUGCUCCAAGCACUGUCCAAACUCAUUAAAACAAGGGAGCCAAUCUUCGGAGCCACCGACCCGGUCCGAUGGAUCCUUAAUAGCAUUGAAGUCCCCCAAGACAAGCCAAGGAGUGUCUCGGAGAUGGGUGCUUUUCAUGAUAAUGUCUUCCCAUAGCGGUCUCCUCAGCGAAAAAGAGUGAUCUCCAUAAAUAAAAGAAACACAGCAAGCCACCCCAGAGUCUAGGCUCUCAAGGUUCCCAUGAAUUGCCUGCUUGGUAAGAGAGAAGGCUUCAAACUUGACUCUCAUGGGGUCCCAUCCGACCCAAAUUCUACCCCUGGGGAAAAAGUCAUAGUUUGCAGUCCAACACCAACCUCUCAAUAGAGCUUCGGAUAUGGAGUUAAAGCGAUCCUGUGGCACCUUAGUUUCCACCAAACCAACACAGCACAAGUGGUUCGAAGUAAUAAAACUACGAAUCUCCGCUUGCCUAGUCGAAUCAACCAUACCUCUAAUAUUCCAGCAACCUAUAUACAUAUGUACAAAAGAGGAAACGAGUAAAGGUUACCUCCUUUUUGGAGGCUUGCGACGGCUCGGAGUGGGAGCCGCACGAGUCGGUGGAGGAGGUGGGUCUGGAGGAAGCACCAGGGGCUUAUCCUGGGUAUUCUCCUCCCUGUUUCUCGUUGGAGGAGCCUUCGGCGAUAGACCUGGAGGGGCCUUCGGCGAUUGACAAGGCGAGAGAAGAUCUUCAUCUGAGCUAAGGUGGUUAACAGACUCAUUUAACUCCGCUCCACUCCCUAGGCCCGCAUCUGGAUGGCUAAUGGGAUCUUCCUCCAUUGUCGAGGUGUGGUCAUCCACCCUGAUUAGUGCUUGAAGCCCACUCUGAGCCCUCCGGGUAGAGGUUGAUGGCAAGCUUUUAAGAGCUGCUGCUGACUGCUUGAGAGGUGGUUCCUCUUCACCAGAGCUUGCCGGAUGGUCCAAACAUGUCUCCUUGGGGGGGGGGGAGAUUUGUUCUUCUUUCCCUUGACUUGUUUCCAUCCAAAAUCAGCUUCAUUCAGAUCUACCACCAGCAUCGGUGAAGUCUCAGAGGGGCGGGCCUCCACUGGUGGGGGGGGAGGGAUGGGCUGAACUUGCUUCUGGCCUUGCACCGCAUUCCGACCAGUCAAAGAGGCUGCACAAUUGUGCCCAAAGGAGCCACACUUCAAGCAUUCCGCUGGCUUCCACUCAUACUCGAUGGCAAUCGACCGAACAACUCCGUUUAGUCUUACCUUGGUCAAGUAGAACCUCGGCUUGUUUACUUGAAGCUCCACGCAAACUCUUGCAAAAGAGAUCCUUUGAGAUUGCUCCGUGCGUUGAUCAACAAAUAACGGCUUGCCAAUGGUGCUCGCGAUGGCGCUAAUUGCCGAGGCUGUCCAUAGGUCAAGAGGUAGGUUCUUCAAGCGAAUCCACACUGGCACCAUGGUUUGCUUCUCCCUCUUCAACUCUAGGAGCGGCUUCCAUUGUUACAAAACAAGUGCAACCCUUGCAACCGUUAUAUGACCUUCUUCCAAAAUCUUCCUUCAGAACUCGGGGUCAGGGAUGCGGAAGAAAAAGAAACCCUGGUCAUCGGCGAAAACCUCAACAAGCUUCGGUCCCCAAGCUAGCUUGAGCGAGUUCUCCGUGAGCUGGAACGACAAACUCUUUCCUACAUAAUACCCAACCAGACACUCAUGCCAUUUGGGAUCCACCGCAUCUAACACUUCUUCAGGAAGAUCCACCAUAGGGAUAUCAUCCUCAAACGAGGGAGGAACAAAGGUAAGGUCAUACCCUUUCGCUGUAAGUUUCGCAACAUUUGCCCACGUCCGGACAGCCAGGGCGUCUGGUUUUCUCACUUGCUUUUGUGAGGCUUGGGGCCGUUUGGAAGCUGACCUCGCUCUACUUCGUCCUCUCGAGCGCCUAUCCCGGCCUACAUCUUUGGGACCACGGUUUGAGGUCUCUGCUAGUGCAGGAGCCUUGCCCGUGAGCAUGGAGACCCGGGCCUCCUUGUCUCGAUUGAGGGGGCUAGAAGUCCUCUCCGAUUCAUCUCUCAAUUGUGCCGUAUUACUCGGCUCACCACCCACAGCCAUUGGAGCAGCCAUAACAUUACCCAGCCAGCUAAACCCAGACCUCUACACAGCAGCCAUCUAGAGAGCGAGAGACUAACCGGUCGGACGCCACACACCUCUUGGGUUGGCCGGAAGCAGCAAGGACGGGGCAGGGUGGAUGGACCAACAGUUCAUUCAAGAGCAAGGCAGCUUACUUGACGCCCUCCUCUCGCUGCUAGUAGGUCCGAGACGCACCAGCACUGCUCCUCAAGGGCCGAGCAACGCAGCAGUUCGGUGCAGGGCGCGGCACAGCAGGGUCGGGACAGGGGAGCACUAGCAAUCGUUCAGGAGCAGAGCCGAGGAAGGCUUACUUGAGGGUGCUGGGAUGCCUGCGAACCUCUGCUAGCAGACCCGAGCCGCACCAGCACCGCACCUCAAGGGGCCGAGCAGCGCAGCAGCAGGCGAUUCUCGUGGAGAGGCAGCUCAGAUCUCGCCGCAGAGAUGAAGAGACUCGAAUCCGUUCGGUGAGGAGCGAGGGCUUUCCCAGAGGAGCUGAACCCCCAAUUUUCACGCCAAUCGGAGGUCUGGAUCGCCCGGAUCGAGCAGAUGAAGCCGGCGAGAUUCAGUUCAAAACCCCAGAGGAAGAGAAGCGAUGAACAGUACCCGUGCGUGCAUUUUGGCUCAUUCUUGUUUUUAAAAGAUGGGUGGACAUGUCAAGGAUUCUCCCCUUAAGUUGCGCACACCUAUUCGCGUAAUUACCGAUGACAAAAGGAAAGGCUUUCUAAGUUGAUAGCUAAGCUGACUAAUCAUCGAUGGGAGAGUGGCAACUUAAUUGAUCACAUUCUUGAAGUCAACGAGAAAAUACAAAAGGUCAUAUGGAAUGGUUGUCCCAUGCCACAGUCUGAGAUGGUGCGAUUUUUCAUGAACACUCUUCCACAUGAAUGGCAAAGAGUGUUGAAUCGCGUAUGGGAAGUCAACAGAGCUGCUUCGUAUAGGAAAAUUGUGAUGGAUUUUAUAGAUGAUUAUUACUGGAUUGUUAUAAGGGAAAAGAUCAAGAAAUUGAACAAAAGAUGAUCUUUCACAGUUCGUAUAUUGACUUGGUGCUAGAUGUUUUUUGCUGGUCUUUAUUUAGUGUGCUUUGUGGACAUCUUAUGUAAUGUUAUCUACCUAGUUAUGGUUGGUGUGGCAACUGAUAUGUUAGUUGUAUUAUAUGAAAGUAUUAUUAUUAUAUCAUUAUUUGAUAUCAAGUACUAUUUGCUUUAUGUUAUUAUUAACUGUUGUGGGUAGUUCAUAGAAAUUUUUGUAAUUUCAAAGAAUUUAUUUUGCAUAGAAUGUUAUAUUAAUAAUAACUCCAAGUUAGGAUUUUGGAUGAUGAUUGGAAACAUAGUGACCUUUUGAUUCUAAAACCUUACUUGAAAUUAUUCAUUAAUAUGAUGGUUUUGUGCAAAAUGGAUGCAUAAAUGAUAGGCAUUAAUAAUUCGUGCAUAUAUGUCUGAUAUGUUCAAAUCAAUGGCUUCAGCCACAAAGAGCAUAGUUGCUGAGCUGAACAAAGGUGAGAAACUUAAUGGCGAUAACUAUGAAAUAUGGCACAUGAAAAUCCAAUAUGUGCUGGAAGAGCAAGAGACACUAGAAGCUCUUAACCUGACCAUGGUAGAACCUGAAGAAGGAAACACUACACGGCACAAGAGAGAUAAGGAAUCAUUUGUUGCAUGGAAAAGAAAGAACUCUCUUGCUCGCAUUACGUUGCUAAGUAGCAUGGAAAAUGACGUCAUGCGAGAGUUUAGGCGUUUUGAAAAUGCCAAGGAAAUGUGGGAAGCUUUGAUAGCAAGAUUUGGUCAUACUUCGGUGACCAGACUGAGGCAGCUCACUAUUAGGUUUGACUCUUAUAAGAAGCCUCAUGGUUAGACCAUGAAGCAACAUCUUAGAAAGAUGUCAAAAAUGAUUAAUGAGCUGAAAGAUGCUGGCCAUGUCCUGACUGAUGAGUAGCAAGUGCAAGCACUGAUUCAUUCCUUGCCUUAGAGUUGGGAGCAUAUGAAGGUGCACCUAACCCAUAAAUGAGAAUAUCAAAACCUUUGAGAAUGCAGUGCGUCAUCUUGAGCUGGAAGAGGACCGCCUCUUGGCGGUUAAAACGGAAGCUGAAAUCUAUCAUGCUGGUUCUAGCUCACAUGGAGCUUCAAGCUCUAAGCGCAAACGUCCUAACUGGUUCGAUAAAGGGAAAGGCAAGGAAGUAGGUCAUUCAGAGAAGAAACCUAAGCUUAACCAACAUGAAAGAGGAAAGAGUCCUCGAAUGAAGAAGCUUACAAGGGUGAAGUGUUACAAUUGUGACAAGAAAGGUCACUAUGCUUGCGACUGUUGUGAGCCAAAGAAGGUAAACACCCAUUGUACUUUUCAUAACUUUGCUUAUGUAUUGAGUUCCGUAUUCUUAACUGAGUCUAAUCCUUUGUGGACUAUGGAUUCAGGAGCGACAGACCAUGUAGCGAAGAAUAGAGAAUCCUUUAUGGAAUUCCGACGAGUACCAACUGGAACUAAGUGGAUCUAUGUGGAAAACAAUUCCAGAGCUGAAGUAAAAGGAAUUGGCACCUGCCAAUUGAACAUGCGUGGUGGAUGCACUUUGUUCCUACAGGAUGUAUUGUAUGCUCCGGAGAUUCAUUGGAAUUUAGUGUUUGUUUUAGUGUUGGUCAAGUUAGGUUUUAAUAUGAACUUCCAUAAUAGAGGUAUGGAUUUGUUUUUGGAUACAAAUUUCUAUGGUUGUGGUUAUUUUUUGAAUGGUUUCAUUGUAUAAGAUAUUGACUAUGUUAAUGCAAAUGUUUGUUAUUCCCUUCUCACAUCUCCUAAUUUAUAUGAUAAUGAUGUGAAUGUGUGGCAUGCUAGACUUGGUCAUAUUAGCUAACAACGUAUGAAUAGACUAGCCAAAGAGGGCUUUUUGGCAAAUAUUGAAAAAGUCGAUUUGCCCAUAUGUGAGCAUUGCCUAGUAGGGAAAACGACAAGGAAACCACUUGGAAAAUGUAAAAGAGCUAAAUUUCCUAUGCAUUUAAUUCAUUCUGACGUCUGUGGUCCAAUGAAUAAAAUGAAGGCAUUGGGCUAUUUAUUUCAUCACAUUUAUAGAUGAUUAUACUCGAUUCGGAUAUGUCUAUUUGAUUUCUCAUAAAUCUGAAGCAUUGAGUUGUUUCAAAAGGUUUAUGAACUUGGUAGAAAAUCAAUUAGAUAAGAAAAUAAAAGUAUUGAGAUCCGAUCGAGGUCGAGAAUAUUUGUCUAAUGAGUUCAUAAAAUUAUGUGAUGAAAAAAGAAUAAAAAGAUAGUUGUCUAUUCCAUAUACUCCUCAACAAAAUGGUGUUGCGAAGAGAAGGAACAGAACCCUAUUGGAAAUAAUUAGGUCAAUGAUGGCACAUGCUAACUUACCUAUCACUUUUUGGAGUGAUGCUUUGUUAACUGAUGCCUAUAUACUUAACCGUGUGCCUUCCAAAUCAGUUACUUUCACUUCAUAUGAGUUAUGGACGGGUAGAAAACCGGACUUAAGUUUUCUUAAGCCAUGGGGAUGUGCUACCUAUACUCAUGAGCUCUCUCACAAGUUUGGGAAAUUGGGUCCCAGAGGAAAGAAGAGUAUUUUCAUAAGAUACUCUGAACACUCGAAAGGAUAUGUGUUUAUAGGUGAGCAGGAAAGUGGGAGUAUAACCGAAUUUAAAUCACGGGAUGUCACAUUCUUAGAUAAUGAAUUUCCUAAGAAGGAUGAAAGAGGUGAAGAUUACUCUCUAUUUGAAACCUUGGAUCAAGAUAAUGAACUUAAUGAAGUUCGUCUAAGUGGGAGUAAUAUGAGAAGUGAUGAAUUGAAUUCAACUCAUUCUCAAUUACAACCACAUGAUGAGACGACAUCAGCAUUAUCUAAUCCUAGUGGGAGCAUAAUGGGAAAUGAUGUGCAAAAUGCACAAUCUACCAUACGGCGAACAAGUCGCAAAAGUAUUUCCUGUCGACGUUUUGACAUUGAAGGGAAAACUUUUAUGAUUGCCCCACAAGAUGAGGAUAAGCCAAGAAAUAUACAUGAGGCUCUAAGUUGCCAUAGUAAAGAAAAAUGGAUUCAUGCAAUGGAAGAGGAGAUUGAGUCAAUGAAGUCAAACCAAGUUUGGGAACUAGUUGAUAUUUCAAAAGGACGCAAAGCUAUUGAGAACAAGUGGGUUCUCAAAAUAAAGCGAAAAUCUGAUGGCUCGAUAGAAAGACAUAAGGCUCGCCUUGUGGCGAAGGGGUAUAACCAACAGGAAUGAAUUGAUUAUGAAGAAACAUUUUCUCCUGUAAUGAGAUUUACCUCGAUUCGCAUUAUUCUGGCAAUAGUGGUUAAAAUGGAUGUAAAGACUACUUUCCUCAAUGGAUAAUUAGAGGAAGAAAUAUAUAUGGAACAACCUGCUGGUUUCAUUAAAGAAGGCCAAAAACAAAAGGUAUGUCGACUUUUGAAAUCGAUAUACGGCCUUUAGCAGUCAUCGAGACAAUGGUACAUACGUUUUCAUAAUGCCAUAAUAGCAUAUGAUUUUACAAUGAUAGAUGAUGAUCAUUGUGUAUAUAUCAAAAGAUCCAAAGAUCAAUUUGUGAUCAUAUCAUUAUAUGUUGAUGAUAUACUAAUUGCCAGAAGCAAUAUGGAGUUUGUAAAUAUUGUGAAGAGUUAGUUAUCUUCCAACUUUGAGAUGAAAGAUAUGGGUAAGGCUGCAUACAUUCUUGGAGUUAAGAUUUCAAGAGAUCGUUCGAAGAAGUCGUUAUCUCUUUUGCAAGAAACAUAUAUAAAUAAGGUUAUUGAAUAAUUUCGUAUGCAAAAUUGUAAACCCAUAGAUACUCCUAUUGCAAAAGGUGAAGGAUUGAGCCAUAGACUGUGUCCAAGGACUCCACAAGAGAAGGAACAAAUGAAACAUGUUCCUUAUGCUAGUGUUGUUGGGAGUUUGAUGUACGCUAUGAUGUGUACAAGACCUGACAUAUGUUUUGUAGUUGGAAUGGUGAGUGAAUACCAAUUUAACCCAGGUCAAGCACAUUGGAAGGCCGUUAAAAGAAUACUGAAGUAUCUAAAGGGAACUGCUAAUUACAAGUUGAAUUAUCAAGGAAAGGAUUUGCGACUUGAAAGCUAUUCAGAUGCUGAUUGGGGAGGAGAUUUAGAUGAAAGGAAAUCUAUCUAUGGAUUUGCUUUCUUACUGAACAAUGGCGCCAUAUCAUGGAGCAGUAAGAAGCAAACAUGUAUAGUUUUGUCCACGAUGGAAGGUGAGUUCGUGGCAUUAUCAGCAACAGUACAAGAAAGAGUUUGGCUUAAGAGAUUUUUGGAUCAUUUAGAUGUUAUUGAGAAAGCUGCAAAUCCAUUAUUGGUUAACUAUGAUAGCCAAGCAACUAUAGCGUACACCAAGUAUUCAAAAUAUCAUGACAAGACCAAACAUAUAGAUACCAAGUAUAACUUUGUCAAAGAUAUGGUUGCACGAAAGGAUGUGAACUUAUAAUACAUAUUUAUGUAUAGAAUGGUAGCAAAUCCUAUGACAAAGCCAAUAACUAGAGAUGUGUUUUGUGGUCAUGUAAAAUCUCUAGGAUUGCGUAGAGUCUGAUGUACUGGAUAUUGUAAUUUCUCUGAGUUGUUCACAUUUAUGAACUUGUGUUUUUUAUUAUUAAUACCUAUGAAUCUUUGUUUGACCUUUAUGCAUCUUAAUGCUCAGUGCAUUACAUUAAGUUGAGAAAGUAUGUCGGACAGAUAUAAGAUUAGCCCACUCACAUGGGUAAUCGCCUCUAUUUACUAUGUGAUAAAUAGAGAUGAGACGGUUUUUAAGCUUAUUAUCUAGGUGAUAAUCGAGAGCUCAAGCUUAAAAUAUAUUUGUUGCCUUAACUGGGUGUUAAGAUGAUGACAUAAUAUUUACUAUGUCCGAAAGUAAAAUAACCUACAUAUUUUACUUUAUUUGUCUAUGAUGCCAGAUGUGAGUUCUGAUAAAUUUUGUAAAUGAGUAGAUACGUGAACUCAAGUUAGAUAUUGGGUAUGUCUAAACUAUCAUAUGUACGGUAUUGAAGGUGUAGACAUACGCUCCAUGGGAAAUGAGUUAAUACCGUAAUACGUAUUUCAUACUACGUAUGCAUGAGACGACCAAUAAGAGUGGCACAAAUUUGAUCUCAACUUUUAUGCCGUGUAAGACUCUUGAGGAAAAUAGUUCAUCAAUUUUAGUGCCCUCAUGACUUUUACUUAUUCUCAAGAUUUCUAUUUAGUGUUUGCUAUCUUAGGAUGUUAUCAAUGGUCAUGAGUUGAUUCGAUCUAAUGGGACAUUUCUAGAAAAGUAAGUUCAACUGAAAUUAAGAGUUUGAAGGAAAGAGGAAGAUCGAAUUUGGAUAAUCACAUUGUAGUUUUGUAUUCACUGGUCGACCAAUUAUGACUGUCUUUGGGAUAAUCAUAAUUGUGAAUACAAUAUAUAUAUAUAUAUAUAUAUAUAUAUAUCAUUGUUUAAAAGAGAUCAAAAGAAAUUUAAAUGUGAUCGAUCGAUCUAGGGUACUGUAUUCUAAAUCUACUCAAAGUGUGAUGCCCAUUAUGAGCUGCUAUAUAUUCCUAAUAGAUGUAUGGCAACGAGCUCUCAAAGUAUGCUAGUCGCACGGAUUAUUCACCGGUAUGAAUGUUGAAGAGAGGUAAAGAGGAUCUUGUUCGGCCCACCAUGUGUGAGUGGGAGAUGAUGAUUUUAUUAAUUAUUGUGAUGGGACUAAGUUGGCCCGUUCGCCCAUAUUGGGCCUAAAAGCUUGGCCCAUAAUAUUAGGGCCCAUGGAUAGAGGGAUACGUUGAAGAGUUGUAACUUUUGGGGGUCGUCUUUUGCCGAAGGGACACGUCCUUUGGAGAUGACGUAUUUAAGGGGGAAAAGAGAGGGAGGAACGCACCUUUUGGAUUUACGUACGUUCCUCCUCCCUUUCUCCCUUAAAACACUCCAAAAAGAACAGUAAGAAAAAGGAGGCGAUACUCUCUUCCCCUCAAGGCAAAUUUACGUCAUCGGAUCGAAUGAGAUCAGUUUUUCUUCCUCAUAUCAGCGUCGGUUUUUAAUCUGUGGCUAACAAGGUAUGUUCGAUUCUGUGAUGUGCCUUAGGAUCGGUGAUACAUGUGAUUUUCCCGGGCCCGUCUUCCGCACUUGUUUUAGGGGUUCAAUUUAGUGUCGAAUCCGAUUUUUGGGAAUCCGAUAUUCUCUACAGGUGAUUCAAUGAUUAGCGUGAUUAUGGACGUAUUUGAGCAAUAGCUAUUUUGGGGAUUGCAAUAAACUAAAAGUUCAUGGAACUUGAUGAAGAGGCAAAGGGUUAAGAAAGACAUAAAAUGAGACGUCACAAAUUGACUUUAUGAAAAUGACGUAUGAAGUCUUUCACAAGUUGCAUUGUCCACUUUAAAAAACCCACACCGGAAAAAUUAUGUUCCCACUACACGCGCAAUAGGUGAAAAAGUUAAGAUGUCGGUCCAAUCCUCUACAUCGACACAAUUGAUCACAUUGUUUAGAUUUUACCAACUGCAUAAAAAUUAUUUUGGGUACUGCACUAAACUAGAAGUUCAUGAAACUUGACGAACAGGCAAAGGGCUAAGAACGACUUACAAAGAAAUAUUAAAACUUGAGUUUAUGAGAAUGAUGAAUGAAGUCUUUCACAAGUUGCGCUGGCUAGGUACUAGAAAGAUGUUGUGUGAAAAUUGACCAUAGUACAGAACUUCAACUGAUGUUCUAUCAUUUUAUGUAGAGUUAUUUAGAGUUAGAGACCACAUUGAAAAAAAAUUCUUAUUAAUUGCCAUUUGUAGAUCACUUAUUUUUACUGAAUUGAUAAGACAAAUUUGUAUACUAUUAUGUAAAAAUCAUGUUAGAUAUCACUUUAAAAAAUAAAGAUGCUAGGCCAAUCCUGUGGAUUGACAUGAUUGGUCGGGGUGUCAGUACAUUUCCAAGUUAGGAACUGAAAGUUAAAAAUUCAAAUUUCACUUACUCCAUGAAACUAUUCUGAGUUAGGGUCACUUGUACAGGUAAAUAAAACGAAUUUAAUCAGUUCAAGGGCUGAUAAAAUGUUCUAAUGGGCCUUCAGUUAGUUAGCCUACUUGCGCUGGAUUAUAAAAAAUUAAAAAGGUGUUGGCCAUGGAAAAAUUAUAUAUAGUUCAUAAUUGUGAUCUUCUUUUAGUUUAUUUUUUAAAAAAGCUUGGCAAUGUAACGGUGCAGUCUUGAAAACCACCCUCACCCCCCCCCCCCGGCUCCAUAUUUUCCCCGCUUUCCUAGGGAAAUCGUGGGAUUUUGAGUGAAAUUUGUUUUUUUUUUAAUUCCGAAUUAAAAUUUGCUCUUCAAAUUUGCUACGUGGAUUUGAAGCUAUCUCAUGUGAAUAUAUUUUAUAUCAAAAUUAAUUUAUUAAAUUAAAAAAAAUUGUUCAUUUCUGUGAUCCACACAAUGUUUGCAAUCUUCUACUAAUCAAGCUAAAUUAUUAAAGAUUUUAUAUCAAGAUUAAGUUUUUAACUUAAAAAAAAAAAUUGUUCAUUUCUCUGAUUCACAAAAAGUCUGCAAUCUUCUACUAAUCAAGCUAAAUUAUUAAUUAAUCAAAUGUUCCAUAGCCUGUUGCUUUUGAAGUGAUACUAAAGGCACAAAAUGCACCAUUAGUUUGAAGCACUUACGGCAUCAUUAGGCUAGCAUUGACCUUCUUAUUAUUUUCUUUUUGCUUUAUCGGUUUCAGUCACUCUUUAUUUUUAUUUUUUUCACAUUGCUACAACUAAAAUGAUAUCUAACAUGAUUUUCACAUAAUAGAAUACAAAUUUGUCUUCCCAGUUCAGUAAAAAUAAGUGAUCUAUAAAUGACAAUUAAAGAUAAAAUCACUUUGAUGUGGUCUAAUUCUAAAUAACUCUAGAUGAAACCAGGUAAAAAACAUGACAAAUUUAAUCAAGAAAAAAGAUCUAGUAAAAUUUCUAUUCACUCCUCAAAUGAGUUUUAUAUUUAAGUAGUUAUUCAAAGUUUGAAAAAAGUUCACUCGCAGCAAUUAGUUCUUACUGAUUUCAUUUCCUUUCUAGAAGAAAGAAAUAGUGUCUAUAAUUGAGAAUUUUCUAUUUGAGAAAUAGUCUCUAAUUAUGAAUUGCAUCUCCAUCGCACUUUGUGGUAAAAAAGACACUGUUAUUCACAAAGAGUAAUGGUAGGGUUAGCGUUAGCAAGGUUAUUUAUUUUUUAAGAUAUGGGUGAGUCAGAUGAAGCCCGUAUGUUAGUAAUUAGAGAGACGCUUUUUUUUAGACCGACGGGUUGGUAGGAACGGUGGAACGGGUAGUGUUGACUUUAGGCCCAUAUCAUUCAUAUCAAAUAACUUGGCAAGUCUUUCCACAAAUCACAUUAGUAAAUAAUGAGUUUUAGAAGUUAAAAUCAAAUGCGGAAACCAGGUCAAUUAUAGACAAAUCUCUAGCCAUUAUUCAUAUUCAUGUUCGUCGGAAAAUCCUGAAAAUUUAGAGAAAUAUUGGACACAUUCUACUAACCCAAUUCCCUCAUAUACUAAUGGUGUAUUCCAAAGUUGAGAGGGUUUGUGUUAGACCUUGUGAUUACCCCAUUAGAAAUGAAUGAUCGUUCCCUUUCUAUACCGUCUCCCAUCAAGACGGUUACCAAAAUGGAUGGUUGUCAUGAAAAGGUACGAAAUGUGGAAACUUUACAUGUGGAAUAACCUUCACUUUAAGAGAAAAUGUGGGAUCACACAAUAUAAAUAAUAAUGAGUCCAUAUUCGCGUCUUGAGCUUUUUCGCAGUGCAGUUUUGCGUCAACAAAAAUGAUAACGUGACCAUAUGUACACUUAUCGCAACACUACCGCGUAGACUAAACAAGCCGUCGCUUUGUGUUAGAAAAGCUACAAAAUCAAAGCUUGCGCAUUAUAAAUAAGACCGAAGCCACUUGUGACCAUCUUAGAAACACACCACACUUUCGUUAGUUUUUCCAAUCACUAAGAUCCUACACUUUAUUUAACCCCCAGUACUCGGCCAUCAUUAUCUUCCAUAUCUUGCUGACCUUAAAAGGACAUAACCAUGUCGUCCCAGAAAUCGAACCCUCUUCCUCGUUCUCAAGGAUACACGGUCGGCACCGGUUUACCUGUUAAUUAUCUUCAGAAACACCACCACCACCAUCAUCAUCAUCUUCCGCAGCAACAGAAAAACUCCGUCACUUGGUCUUCCGAUAUUUUUCAUUGUUGCGACGAUCCAUGCAGCUGUUGCUCUUUUUGUCCACUCAAAGUUGUAUAAUUUUAAGCAUAGUUCAUGGGUGCUGUGAUAUGUAUAAUAUUGUUGUACGUGUUUCAGGUUGCACAACGCUUUUUUGCCCAUGCGUCACUUUUGGGAGGAUCGCGGUGUUCGCGGACGAAGGAUCUUCGUGUAUGUAUUUGUAAACUAGUUUUUUUUUUUUUUUCACAAAUCCAUUAUACAUCAUCCUCAACCUCCACGAACCAUCAACCUUUUCGUAAUUGCAAACCCCAGCCAUGCAUAUCCUGUAUCUCAAUCUUGAAAGUGCUAGUAUGAACACUUAGAGGGGGUGAAUAGGUGUGAAAACAGAUUCUGCAAAAUGCAGUAAAAACCUUUAUUUUUAACCUGAGUUUGAAUAACAACAGACUUUUGAAACUAAGUCUGAAUAGCAGCAGCCUUUGAGCGAGAUCAAACUUUAGCAGUUAAAUAGAGUUACGAACAAAAUAAAUGAGUUCAGGGAAAAGAAUAAGAACACAAGAUUUAUAGUAGUUCGGCUUAAUCCAAGCCUACGUCCACUCUCCCACGCUAAUAGCCUUCUUGGCCAGAUUCCACUAUGCAAUCAACAAGAGAUUACAACUUUGAGUGCAAACACUUAGUAGUAGAUCACACUAUCUCACUAAGUCACUCUUUUGGUAUUUCUCUCACGAUCACAAACGUUUAAGCUGACAAGAGACAAGUGUAUGAAAAAAGAUUGCUUAGACUUUGGAAUUAUAAAUUUUACGCUCCGUCUCUUACUUCCUCAUUGGUCCUUCAUUUCCUUAAAUACUCCUCUACUUUCAAACUAGCCGUUGGACAGUAUCUUGAGGAUCGUCUUCCAAUCUACCCGUUGGACAGAUUUGUAUAUAGAAGAUUUGGUAGCCGUUGAGUGACAAAAGUAGAAUCUCAAAUUGAUACCGAUCGCCCAUACAAACAGAAUCUUGGUUUCCAUAAGUAGAGCUUUUUCGUAUAGAAGGUUCUUGUCUUCAAUAUCCAAUUGUCAAUCAAUUAGAUUGAAUCAAUCAAAUCAAUCUUGAUGUGGAAUCCAAACCAGAUCACUAACCGUUAUAUAAUUAGGCUUGUAUUACGUUCUGUCGAAUCUGGAUGUAAAGUCUGAGUGCAAUAGACUUUACAAUUUGAGUCUGAGUGCAAUAGACUUUACAAUCUGGACGUCAGUCUGAACAUAUUUUGCUUCUAAAUAGAUUUAGCUUUAAGAUCUGGAUACAGUCUGAAUAAGUUCAGCUUCAGCAUAGAAUCUAUCUUCUGGUUCAGUUUUAGCAUAUAGUCUGUCUUCUAGUUCUUCAUUCACAUUUAGUCUGGAAUUUGUCAAAGUUGAUAGAUUUCUAAUAUAGAAUAGAAUUUGACAUUAACGUCUGGCAGUCUUUAGACUUUGACACAGAAGUCUAGAAAUCUUCAGAAUAUACUUUAGACGUGUGUUACGUUCAGUCUUCUGGCCGUCUUUAGUCUUUAACAAUACUCUUUAUAUGUUCUAUCAUCUGCAUGAUCUAUUAUUUAACCAUUAAACACGUUAGUAGCCUUUGAUUUACCUAAUAAAUCUGAGGCAAGACGACAUAUGCAACCAUCUUAGACCUCUGCGUAAAGCAGAGAGAGAGAGAGAGAGAGAGAGAGAGAGAGAGAGAGAGAGAGGAGAAGGAGCUGCUCAGGCGGCAAUGUAAUGAGCUGUGGAGAGCAGAGAGACAGAUGGUUAGGCUUUGAUAAGUGGCGUGUGCAAUCUUUUGAGUUAAAUGUACAAGUCUGUGUUUGAAAAAUUGUGAAUGUGUGCCACAUUUCCGAACAGCAAUAGCCAUUUUGUACUUGAAAUAAUGUUUUAAAAGAUUGAAAUAUCCAACAUCAUUUGCUAUGGAGUUAUAUGCUCUCUCUCUCUCCAUAUAUAUAUAUAUAUAUAUAUGAUCUUCUUUUAUUUAUUGGUUUAAACUUUUGAUUUGAUGUUUUAAUUUAAUAUCAAAGCCAGGUUCCUGUAAAGUUUAUUUUGCGUCCCUGCCUCAAAUUGCACAUGUAUAUCUCACUUCAGAAUUUUUAGGGCCGCCACAGUAAUUUACCUCAAAUGAUAAAAAUCAACAAUGAUGAUACUAUUAUAUUCGUUUUGUUGCAGCCUGUGUUUCGAAAGGCGCACUCUACUGUUUAGCCAAUACUUUGACGGGUUGUUUUUUGGGAGGAGCUUGCUGCUGCGGUUGCUGCAAUCGUAGAAGGUUGAAGACUCAAUUCAGAUGGCAACAGAACGCAUGCGACGAUUGUUAUGUUCAUUGCUGUUGCCAUUGUUGUGCUCUGUGUCAAGAAUAUCGUCACCUCCAAAGGAAGAAUAAGGUGGGGAGUUUAAUUCUCCACCUUCUUACGAGCUGGGGGAUGCACAAGUGAGGAAGUAGGGUUUUGCACAUAAAGUAGCUUGUAAAAUAUAUAUGGGAUUGGAUCAGACAAAAAAAAUAAGAAGCUUGUUUUUUUUCCCCUAUCUAACAUUGAGGUUCUUUAGAAAAGCUAAAACUAUUUCAACUGUGCGUGUGUAUAUAUAGCGAGUUCAUAACCCAUUCCCAACUUCAUAAAAAUUCAAUUUUUUUUUUCUCACAAAAGAGAAUUUUUGCGAAUUAAUCUUCGGGAACUAAAGGAAUUUUCUCAAAACAGAGUUGAUGAUGUGUCAUUAAUCGACUCAUUGAGUGAUCAAUCAACACUAUUUGACGGACAAAAUUAAGGGAAAAUCUGAAAAUAAGUAGUAAGCUUAGGUCUUUUAUGGUAAAAUUAUUAUUUGAUGGGUAUCUUGCAAAUAAUUACGCGCCCACUUGUAAAAUCUAAAAACAAGUGGUAAUCUACUACUGGAUUGGUGGAUGUUUAGAUUGGUAAAUGAUCGGUCACUUACAAAUAAUUACGUGGUUAUUUGUAAAAUCUAAAAAUAAGUGCUAGUCUGCUAUUGAAUUUGUUGAUGGUAAAAUAGUUAUUUCUUUCAUAAGUUACAAAUACUGACCAAGCUUAUAACUAAGGGUCAUGUUUUACGACUUACCAUCAAUAUUUGAAACGUGUUAUUGACUUAACAUGUUUACAGACACAAAACAAAAUUCCCUUUUAGGCAUAUUGAGUUGAGAAUAAGGAUUUCCCGACAUUUUACAAGAGAUAUUAUAUAAUUAAUCGUCGCCUUAAAUUAAAGAUUCAUGUCAAAUGGUUCCGAUUACCUUUCGCGAACAAUGACUGUUGCACAUCCUUGGACGAUUUUAUGGUCACCCUCUCUCUCAUCUUUCUGGUGCGUAAGAUUUUCUUCCAAGAGUGCUACUAACAAGGCCCUAAUCUAACAUCACAAGAAGAGCAAACCUUUUCACCAUCUGACCCAACAUCUUAUUGGUUCAUUCCUUUUUUAUUUACUUACAAAGUCUUACAUUUUUAUUGGCAUUUAACUCAAGAAAAGAUAAGUAACUAGGGUAUGUCAAUCAUUCACGUUCUAUUUCCAUUGACGUGUGGACCUCUGGAGUGCCAUAACUUGGCACAAAGGGACACUUAAGUAUCAUAACUUACGAAAGUGACAUUUAAGUGCCAAAAUUGGAGCAAAAUGAAUCACUUAAGUACAAAUUCGGCCAAAAUGCAGCCAAAAUGUUGAUGUGGCGAUUUUCCGGCGAAGCAAGUGCAAAACAGCGUCGUUUUGGUGUCGACGUGGUAAAAAAAUAAUAUAAAAAUUAAUUAAAUUAAAUUAAAAAUAAAAUUAUUUUAAAUAUUUUAAAAUAAAAAUUUUAAAUAUUAAAAAAAUUAAAAAAAAAAAAAAUUAAAAAAAAAAAAAGAAAAAAGAAAAUGGGGGAGGCAGCCCUCAGCUGCCGGCGAUGGAGGGAGGGUUGGCUAGGCCUUAGCCAGGGGUCGGUCACCUCGGCCGACUGGCUACGAGGGCCCGCGAGCCCUCGGUAGCCCUCUCCCCGAUUUGGGGCGAGGGCUCGGCAACCCCAGCCGACCUUACCCCCUCCGUCGUCGGCCCUUCUCGGCGGCGGCGGUAGUUGAGGGCUCAGCCCUCAGCCGCCUCCCCCCCCCCCCCCCCUUUAAUUUUAAAUAUUAAAUAUUUUAAUUUGUAAUUAAUUUAAAAUUUAAUUUAAUUAAUUUAAUAUUUAUUUUUUAUCACGUCAGCACCAAAACGAUGCCGUUUUUGCAUUAUUUGGCCACAUCAACGUGCAAAACGGCAUCGUUUUACACUUACGUCGUUGGAAAUUGCGCACGUCAGCAUUUUGACCGGAGUGGCAUUUAAGUAAUUCAUUUUUAUUCGAAUGUGGCACUUAAGUGUCACUUUAAUAAGUUAUGGUACUUAAGUAUCCAUUUGUGCCAAGUUAUGACACUUGAAACGAUCUUUUGCUAUUUUCAUUACAUGUAUGGUCUAUUGAUCCAAGCGAAUUGUUUGGGAAUUAUCUAAAACGAGUUUUACUUUUUAUUUAAUCUAAAUCUAGCGAUUCACAAAAUUUGACCUAUUUUUCUUUUAAUUUGGAACUUUAAAACUUUUAUGAUAUUUAAAUGUUGACACGUAACUUCAAAUGCAAAUUUAUCAUAACUUUUAGAAUAUAAUAAAUUUUAGCAAAAAAAGUACAAAGAAAAUACUCUUUGCUCCUCAAAAGAAAAUACUUUUAUCUAAGAGUAAACAAUUUACGUAUAUUGCUCCUAAAAAGCAAAAGACGCAUUGGCAAAAUACGGGUAAAUUGUUCUUUUGCAUGAUGCACUGAUUGAAGUCCUAUGUAUUACCAUGAUUGGCUGAAAAUGUUGAAAUUGCGGAAGACUAACGAGGAUACAUACACCUACGAGUUUGAUGAAAUUUUCGCCGAGUCCACGUCGCAAAAACAAGUGUACGAGGUUGCGGCAAAGCCUGUUGUGGAGGUGCGUACGUAUGAAAGAUUUUGAUUGUUGUCUUAUAUUUCACCGUCAUACGAGCUUGCUUUUGGUAAAUAUAAGCAAGUGGAGAAACUCUUGGCAUUUUACGCACUUAAUAUGCUUCAUUUUCUGACAUUUUUAGCAUCAUUAUUGGUAAGGAUCCUGGUUAGACUGUACCCUUUAAGAGUAACAUUCGUGUUUACUACUUCAUUUAAGGACUAGGUCCCGUGACCUGUCCUAGCUGACAUGAUUUUGUUUCCUAUACAUUAGUUUGGAUAUAAUUUAAUUUAGAAUACUAUGAAAAAGCCCAAAUUGAUACAGUUAUAAUACAUUUACCUCAAAUUAAUUUUUUGACCAUAGAAAACUCUAAACUAAUAUAUCUAUGACAAAUUUAUCAUCCUUUAGUUUUAGUUAAAUUUUAUUGUCAAAUUUCUGAGUCGGAUAACACGUGAUAGUUGAUAGGUAUAACAGUUUGAGUUUUUAUGCUUAGUUUGUCACAUGGGUAGUAGUUUUGUAGUUUUUUGUGAUAUUAAUUCAAUUUAACGAAAACUAAUAAAAAUUGUAUUUGUCACAAAUAUAUCAGUUUGAGAUUUUUUGUGGCCAAAAAAAUUAGUUUGAGGCAAACUUGUCACUUGUAUACUAAUUUGGAAUUUUUUAGAGUUAAAAGUUAAUUUUGGAUAAAUUUAUUGCAUACUAAUUUGAUAAUUUUCAUGGUAUUAACCCUUAAUUUUAUGGCACUUUACUUCACCCUGAAAUUUUCUACCAUUUUAUAAUAUUUUUAUAGUUUUUAGGAAAUGUACCUUCACCCAACACCAACUAGACAUGAAAGCUUGAUAAAGAGUGAAUUAUUGUUUUGUUUUUUUUUUUUUUUGGUGACCCAGGGAACCCCGCACGGCCGGUAGUCGGAGGUAAACCACUGGGGGUGACACGUGCUAGCCACCACACACGUGCCACCGGGUAAGUCACCGAGAGACUCAAAGCUAGCCUUCCUGCAAGCUUCGAACACUAGACCUCUCGAUAGAAGUCUAGUGCCUACCCAGCUGAGCCACUGCGGCGGGUGGUAGAGUGAAUUAUUGUUGUUAGCCGUAGGGAUGAGCAAAAAGAAAUCCUCCAAAUCAGAACUGCCCGGACCGAUCUUCGGUUCCUAAAAACUUGAAUAAGUGAAUACCGGUACGAUUUCUCAUUUCAGAUGCGGAACCACCCUUUUUUUUUAUUUUUUUUUAUUUUAUAAAUGAAACCUGAAAGCAGGCUCCAGACUCACGCACGCUCUCUCUCUCUCUCUCUCUCUCAACUCGCUCGACUCACAAACUCUCUCUCUUUGUUUCCUCUGGUUUAGUUUUGUCACGGUGCGUCUUGAUGUGUUUUGCAUGGUUGCUAUCUCUUAAUUGUUUUCUUGUGUCCAUUUUCGAGUCUUGGAUACGCGAGGAAGAAGAGAUGGUCGAUGGGUAAUUGGCUUUUCAGUCUUGGAUUCGCAAUCCACCUGAGCUCGGGACUUGAAGUGAUUUUUACACGAUUUUACCUGUGGAAAUGUUGGUGCUCAGCUGGAGAAUGAUCAGCUGGUGUUUUUUCUGCCUUUCUGUAUUCUAAUGUUGUUUGUUCAAGGGAGGAUAAGUGAAAAUUCUUUUAUCAAAGUGGCGAAAGUCAUUUUGGUGAAGUGCUGUUUCGGGUUACUGGUAGUUGUGAUCUUUUAUGAAGCUUUCUUUGGAUUUUUGCUGCAAGUGCGUAUGUUUGUUUGAUGAUCAGGGAAGUCACGUGUCCAUGGAUUCUGAAUUGUUGUAGGAUAGGUAGGUAACUAACAUCAUGGGAUUGAAAUGGUUUUCGGUAUAUUGUAAGGUUGUAAACGGUUUGGUUUGGUUCAGUUUUUUUUUUUUUAAAAACCGAACCGAACCAAACCGUUAGAGAAAUUUUCCGAACUGAACGACUUUCGGUUCGGUUCGGUUCGGUUCGGUUCAGUUUUUCGGUUUUCAACUUUUGGAUUUCGGUUUUUUUUUUUUUUUUUUUUCUGGGGACGGCUUACCUUCUGUAUAAGCUCAUUGAUUGACGUUCAUCUAUGUCUUUGAGCUAGAUCUCUUCCUUCUUCCCUUGUUACAGCCCUUUCACUCUCCUGGAAUUAUCACAUCAUGAGAAGCGAGAUGACUUCUCUUCGAAGAGAAGUCAAGCAAGAAGAAACCAGGGAGGAUAAGAAGCGACAACGAGGACGGGAGCUCGGAACGUUGUGUGAGAAUUAUUUGGAAGGAGGAUGGCGUCCCGAGACGUGGUUUCUUUUGUGGGCUUGGAAAUGGCUCGAGUUUUGCAUUGCUUCCAAUUUAGUUGGGUUUCAAAAGGAAGUGAAAGCUUCACUUUUGACUUUCUGGGUUUCAUGGGCAACUGGUCUGGAUCAAAAAUUGCCCUGCUUUUUGCUUUUCCAAUCUUAAUUUGUUCCCAGAAGGAAUAUUUGGUCCUACUUGCAGUGUAGCGAUUUUAAGUGUUUUUUUGACACUAGUGAUUCGUAAAUACAACCAUAAGCAUAUGAAAUCGUGAUAAGGUAUUGCUAACAACUUAUCUUCUCAUCUGAAUGUUCUACUAUAGUCUUUAUGCCUCACAUCACAUUUCACUUAGCAAGUAUACCCAUUUAGUCCAGGAAAUUGUCCUUCUCGAAGGACAAGAGAAUCAAGACCUGCUGAGACUUCAAAAAGAUGCUGUGAAGCAUCCCCAUUGUACAACAAAAACCGGUGUUGACAAAGCUCUGAAACAGGGAUUCUGUUCACUAGAGAAGAAGAGAAAAAAGAAGAAGAAAGAAUCCCGGAUUAACAAGAACUCAAAGGAAACUAGUGCUUUUCAUCCAUAAAACGGGAUAAGUACACUAAUGGUGUCAUAAGUUGUGUACGGCGCUCACUUUGGUGCCAAAAGUUUCCGUCGGAUCACUUAAGUGCCAAAUCGGAGGAAAAACGCUCACUUUGGUGCCACCGGCGAAAGAUUCCGGCCAAAAUGAUUUUUUUUUUUUAAAAAAAAUCGAUAAGCCUUUAAAUGACGUCGUUUUCGGUCCUCCUUAAGAAAACGACAUCGUUUUGCCGUCCUACGUGGAUGGCUUCAUGGAAACGACGCCGUUUAGCUCAUAUGGGGAAAAUUAGGGUUUCCGCCGCUCGGCCACCGUUGUUCGCCCGCCGUCGCUCGGCCACCGUCGCUGCUCGGCCACCGUCGCUCAGCCACCAUUGUAGUUGCUCGACCAGGUGAGCGAGGAGAGACUGAGAUUGUUGCAGGAAAAAUCGAAGGCGAGGGCGGAGGAGGAGGAGGAAGAAGAUGGGUCAAAGGGGCUGCUGCCAGUGCGUUGCUGGUGUGCUGCCGGUGUUGUUGCUGGUGCCGUGCCAGUGCCGUUGCUGGUGUGGGUCUUCGAGGAAGAAGAAGACACAAAGACGAGCUUCCCUCUCUCUCAAUUUGGGGAUUAGGGUUUCAAAGUUGGGGGAAAGAUGCCAAACGGCGUCGUUUUGGUGUUUGGAUGCUGACUCAACUCUCCAACGAGCCAUGUCGGCGUCAAAAAUUAAUAAAAAAAAGGCCACGUCGGAUUUCCGGCCAAUUUCGUCGGAGUUGGCACCAAAGUGAGCAUUUUUCAAAUUUUUUGGCACUUAAGUGAUCCGACGGAAACUUUUGGCACCAAAGUGAGCGCCGUACACAACUUAUGGCACCGUUAGUGUACUUAUCCCUCCAUAAAACUAGUAUCAUAGGGCAAUUAAUUAUUGCAAGAAUCCAAAUUAUAGUCAUGGCAAGGAGCAAAAGUAAAUCACAUUAGACAUCCAUUCAGUCACUUCUUUAACCCCACGAUGCUGAGACAAAGUGACAACAUAUAUCUCCAUUAUGUUGCAGGUGCUAAGGACAGCUGCUUCUUCUAUAUGAUUCAAACUACAGAGUUCUCCAAUGGCUCAAGGUCAUUUUGCCUUAGGAAUGGCAAGUUUCUCACGCAUCUCCACAGGAGUUGUGUGCAUGCUAAGCCCAAUAACCACAAUGCUGCUCCUUUCUUUUGUAUAUACCCUGACCAAAACAAUUGAAAUAAAAUUAGUGAUCUCAACUUAGGAAUCUGAUGUCACAAUAUAUACUUUCGCUUCUGUGUUUUCUAUUUGCAUCAUUGCUUGACAAGGAAGAAAGUCACUCUUUAUGAACAUGCAUGACUGUUUUAAGCUCAACAUAUCUAAGAAGAGAGGGGAAUAAAACCAAAGGUAGAAAAUGAAGAAAGUCACUCUCUAUGAAUCAUUACGGUUUUAACCCAAUUUGGACAUCGAAACAUCUUCAGUUAGCAAUCCUACACUACCACCUAACUCUAAACCUCUUGCUUGGCCUUGUAUACAUUUCUAUCUAAAACCAAAGGUAGAAAAUGGUCCAGACAUACACUCUCUCCCUUACGCUACUUCGAGCUUAAAGAUGACAUUCAAUCAUCAAGAGAAAUUGCUAUUGAAUUCAGGUCCAUGGUCGUAGAUGACAACUCUGCAUUAGAUUCAUAAUGAAAAUGAGAAUUGAAAUAUCAAUUGUAAUAUUGAAAGAUAUAAAUAUUCCAUGGUUAUUUUUUCUCACCUGACUCGAAAUUUUCAAGUUCUUCUAAAUUCUCCUCGAUCUACUGUGAAAGUGGUGCGGAUCGUAGCCAAUCUUGAGUACAUAUAAGAGCCUCUACCAUCAUUGGGGUCAAUGAGCUACGAAAUACAUCAAGUACUCGACCUCCGGUGCUGAAUGUAGACUCUGAUGCUAUAGUGGAGAUGGGCACGGCCAAAAUAUCUCGAGCAAUGGAAGAUAAAAUAGGAUAUUUGGAAGAAUUGACUUUUCAUCAAUUUAAUAUAUCAAAGGUAGAGUUAUACUGUUCACAUCCUUCUUCCAAAUACUUAUCCAAUUCAGAUUUUUCUUCCACAUAUUCUUGUCUCGUUUGGCUAAGAUACAUCUCAGUCAUAAUGUCCGCACCAACCACAGGAGACAUUGAAACGUUCACUGUCCUUGUCCCCUUUAAUCUCAUGCUGCUUUGGGGGUAUGUGCCGGUACGAUAUUGCUCAAACAAUAAUGUCAGAGAUUUUGUCACUCUAUCUCGCAAAGUUUCUGCCCGAUUGCCUUCAUACACUUGAUUAAUCAUUCAUUUCACAUACUCCAUCUUAUGUCGAGGGUCAAGUAUACAUGCAAUGAACCAUGUGAGAUUGAUGUUGUUCACAUUGCCAAAAUACUUAUUGAACUUGAUGUUCAUUCUCUUGGCUGUUUCUGGCAAACUCCUAUCCUCAUCUCCAUAAUAUUUAUCAAUCAUCAUAUAAAUCCCAUAGACAUCUUUUGCCAUAUCAUUGCAAGUGAUGUAAGAAGAGCCGAUACUUUUAAAGUCGCAUCAUAGAACAACUUCAAGAAAGGAAGAAAUCGACGGGCAUAAUCCCAAUCAUCAUCAGUAGGCAACCCUCUCACAUUUGAAAGCUCUUCAGCAAAUCUUCUAUCCUGAAUAUCUAAUGAGAUAAAAGCAUUUUGAAAAUUUAAGGCCACUUCCAACAUCAGGUAUGUUGAAUUCCACCGAGUCUCCACAUCCAAACAUAUAAGAUUAUUUGAAUCAAUAUUUUCCAGUAGAAUGCACUCCUUAAACUGUUGCAAUCUCGAAGGAGAAGAUCUCACAUAACGUACAGCUGAGCAUAUUCUAACAAUGGAAUCGUCUAUAUCUUUCAAACCUUCUCUCAUAAUCAAACUGAAAGUAUGAGCAUAACAUCUCACAUGGAGUAACUCACUUGAUAAUAUCAGAGCAUUCCAGGAGUUAAGUCUUUUCUUCAAGUAUUGAACUCCCAAGUCAUUGGAGCUAGCAUUAUCAACAGUGAUAGAAAAAAUGCCUUUGAUCCCCCAACUAGUUAAGCAUUUCUCAACUCAUUUCCCUAUAGUCUCAGCCGAAUGUCCUAGGAUUUGACAAAAAUUCAAAAUUUUCUUUUGCAACUUCCAAUCAGCUUCUACAAAGUGAGCAGUAAGACCCAUGUAACUUAGAUUUUGACAUGAAGUCCACGUGUCAGUCGUAAGACAAACCCUUGGAGAAGUAUCGGAAAAAUAUUUUUUCAAUUUGCUUUUUUCCUCCAGGUAUAACUUAUAAUAGUCCUCCCUUAAUGUGUUUCUUGAAGGGAUUAAAAACUUUGGCUAGAUUCUAUUCAUGAAUUUCCGAAAUGCCUCAAGUUCCACAAACUUGAAAGGUAGUUCACCAAUAAUAAACAUUGCUGCUAGAUCUUUUCGACUAGCAUCUUGAUCAAAUUUCCAAGGACCAGCUGAAAUAGAACUACCAACCCCAAUAGAUUCAUUCGAGGCACUUCUUUGCCUUUUCUCCACAUUCACAUAUGGAUAAUUCUUACAUCUACCUAAAUGAUUAUGCAUCCCACUAGUCCCUUGAGUAGUAGAACAACCAAUAAUAGCCCCACAAUAUAGACAUUCGGCUUUAUCUUGGCUAUUUUCUAUCCUUUUUAAAGUGUUCCCAUACAACAGAUCUCAGCUUCUUUCUAUUUGUCCCGCUAGAUUAACUUAUUAAAGAUUUGAUCAUUGUAUAUUUGGCUUUGCAAAUGUUAUUGCCUUGACAGGGAGAUCUACAAAUAAAUAUAAGACAUUGAGCAACCAUGUUCGAGAAGUAACAUACCAAAACAAAUAAGAAAUACAUAAAAAAGGUAGGACAAAUAACCUUAUAAAAGCAUAAGAGAUUGAAAAAACUCAGAUUUCUCCACUUUUAUUUGCAUACCACUAAAGCAUCAUUCUAGGCCCACAACAAGAAGAAAGAAUCAAAUACAAUAAAGAGUAAACUUGAUCUUACUUGCAAGAGUCAAUUCAUGGACAGCAUUGGGUGUUUCCUCAAAUAGCGGAGGAAGACUUUUGAACUCUGUCAGCAAAACCUGUACAGUGAAUAUUUCUCUUCUUAUUGCGUACAUACAAUGACAGAUACAUGUAUAAAAAAGACAUCACAGUUUAAAGUAGGGGCCUCAGUCAAUACUCUUCUCUACACAGUAAAUAUGGCAAGCAAACUCUCCAUACAGUAACAUUGUACAAAGCUACAUUGAAUUGAUUAUCUAGCCCUCCUCUUUGUUUAAAUAGUGGAUGUAUUGAUAUGUAAUGACACCGAUAGGUAAAGGUGAUCCUGACCAUUCAGAAUGUGGCAAUUUAUAUUACACCUAAGCUACUAUGCUUGCAAGAAGAAGACACCCAUGACAGUAAAUCUCCUCAUAUUCUCUAAAUUACUUGGACACUCCCUCAUGGUACUUCACCACUGAGAAAACAAAGCAAUAUGUGAAGCAAAUUUAGUUUUUUGGAACAGUAUUGCUUGACAUAUUCAAGCAAGCAGUAGAAACCAACAUACCCGUUCCAGCACCAAGCUCCAAUGCAACAACUCUGUCAAACUCAGAAGAAGUGGACAUGGUAUGCAACACGAAAUCAGAUAAUGCUAGUUCAGCUUUCCAAACCUGAACAAAUGGGGGGAAAAAAAGUCAUCUAAUGUCAAGCAGUUCACAGCAUAUCGAAAGAGAAGAUCAUGAAUGUAACUAAUACCUGCAACCCGACAUUCGGGAUAGAAGAAGUGAUGUUAUGCUGUAUGAUCACACUAAAACAAUGCGAAGAUGGUUCUGCACGUCGGAAAAUGUCCAGUCAUCAUCGCCAUUUUGUAGGAAAAAGAGGAUGCAAAAGCAAACCAUGUGAGCAUUGUGUGGUUAAGCAAUGGGCAACCCGAGACCAGAAUCGAUUUCGUAACUCUCAAUCGAAUGAAUUCUCACGACAGACUAGUCAGGAUUGCUGGCGAAUUCAAAGCUAAUUGAAAUGCAUGUACAGUUUAGAAAUGGGUGUAGAAGGAGAUAAGAAAAGAUACUCACGGUCUCGCCUUGUUAAAACGAGGUCACCAUCCUGGUCGAGCACAAUUCCUCGGCGCUCUACAAAAAUCCCCAAGCAAUUAAACUAUGGUUCUCACCUACCUAUUGAACAAGCUCACCAAAACAGAAUGGCUCAAAAAUAGCAAGUGCAGCUCUCUCUAUUCUCAGCUUAGAGAUCAGAGUAAUUUAGACAAACUUUAUCAGCAUUAGGAAAGCCUACCUUCGUGUUGGACAGCUCAGGUUUGUGGGUCGACUCAAGUCAAAGAAACAAAACGUCAGAAGUGAUUCCAGAUCUAGUAACCGAAACCAGAACCCAUGAAGUUGUUCAAGUGCAUAAACAGGAAGGAUUCCUGCAGAGCACCAGAGGAAAAUAAAUUCACGCUUGAAAUGGAUUAUAGCCCACGGGAAAAAAAAGAAUUAUAAUUGCAAGCCUUUUAAUCUGAAGUAACAGAAGUUAGAACCAAGUUAUUGUUUAUGUAGAAGUGAUUCUAGGAGCCAAUUUUCCAAUCCAACCCCAGCUUAAACAAAAGAAAAAUCAAAUCUUGAUGAAUAAAGUGCAUUAGUUUACCACGAACAACCAAUGCUAAAGAACGAAUUACGAAGCAAUAGCUUUGUCUGAGGAACAAAACUCAUCCCUACCAACUACAGGCAGAAUCAUUAAUUUGCAUCUAGGCAAAAGUUCAACCGCAAUAAACCGGUACUCUUUAUUCGUAUCUACUCUGAUAAAUGAAAUAACCGACUAGUGACAUUGAUCUGUGAUCUCUACUCUUAAUGACACCAAAAAGGGGAUCAAGAAACAUGGGUUUUGCCUUUACUGACGCCCAUAACUCGCAGACAACCAAAAACAAUGAAAAAAUAAAAAGAAACGUCGGCAAUGAAAGACGAACAAUGUUUGAAGACAAACCUGAAAUCGAGCGAUGCCAUCAGCAGCAAUGACGUAGUAGAGCGGCAUCGUGAGGACAAAAGGGUCAGUCUCCGAAUCGCUGUUGCUCAACCCAGCACAGCACACAGCUCCACAAGUCGCUGCUGCCGACGAAGAAGAAGAAGAAGAGAAAAGGGCGUGGCGGAACAAUCGGUCCCUCAAUUGGUCGCCGUCCUUGUCGCCGUUGCCGUUGCCGCUGUCCUUGCCACCAUCGCCGUCCUUGUCGCCGUUGCAGUCACAGUCGCUGUCGUCGUCGCCGUCGCACCUUCAAGAAGAGAGGAGACGGGAGAGAAUAAGAAAUAGGGUUGGCCUUUGCCGGUUUGGUUCAUGGUUCUACUUUUUGGUUUAUUGGUUUGGUUCGGUUCGGUUAACCGAUAAAAACCGAACCAAACCGAAAAAUUUCGGUUUUAAUAAAAAUCAAACCGAAAAAAUCGAAUUUUUCGAUUCGGUUCGGUUACUGACACCCCUAGUAUAUUAUUGUAGCAUAACCAAGCUGCAAUGAAACAAAAAAAGAACGAAGCUGAAAAGAAAAGAAGAAGUGGUUGGUUCCCGAUGGAACCUGAAACUGGCAGGUUCAGUUUCAGAGUCGGUUCUAGGGUUCAUAGGGUCGGUUCCCAGUUCCAAAAAAGUGGGAACGGGUCCCGACAGGGUAGGUCCAGGUUCCAGACUUGGAACCGAUCGUCCUAGCCAUUUGUUGUUAAAAUUGAGAAUGAACCUGAGUUUGAUCAGGAGGUGAACUCAGUGAGCGGAAGCCAGGUUUAGAUUUUGAGUGUUAUUUAUUGCUCUGAAAUAUAAUACGAGUAAAAUGUGUGUGCAACUUGUUAUGCCAGCAGUGUUUAUUACAUGAGUUCGCCUUUGCUUUCUCAACUUGCUCUAUUAACAUAGUUAAGCAUUUCAUCUUGGGCCAUUGAUUUUAAUUUUAUGAUUUGAUCUUUCUACUUCACAGGAUGGUGCAGCAAAAAAGAAAGAGAAGAGAAAGGAGAAGAAAAUGCGGAAGAGGAGGAAGGGAAAACAGGCGGAGCUGAGCAAAAUGUCAACAAAAUCUCAAAUAAUCUCUUAGAAGUGGCUAAAUUAUACGGAAAUAUUAUGAAGGAUUUUUUCGGUGUUGAUAUAGAUAUCCAAUUAACAUCACCUUUGGCCACCAACAACUCUGACAAAGGAUUUACAUCAUUGUUUGCCUAUUUACUUUGACACCAUUUCUGUUUGAGUGCUUGUAACACAUUCUUCUCAAUGUCACUUUGCUUAACAUAAGUUGAGGAAAAUUACUCUAUAAUAUUUUCAUCCAAUUUGGCCAUGUGAAGCAUUUUGGGAUUUUGUUGAGCAUAUUGCUCUUCCUAGGGACAUUUUUCUCAGCUUUGGCCUCUUUUUUCUUUCUCCUCCUCCUUUUCUUCUCCUUUGCCUUUCUCUACACGGUCAGGCAGUUUGUCUCUCAGCUUUUGCAUUGGUGGGGUAGAAUUCGCUGAAACGUAAUCUCAACUCGGUUGUGGGACAACAUUUCAGGCCCAUAGAUGAGCCUGAGGAGGAGGAGCCUGAAGAUGACGAUCAGCCAGGAAAAGAUGAAGAGCUCGAAGGAAAUGAUUAAGAACAAACGGAUCCAUACAUGAUUGUAAAACAUCGAGAUCAAUAAAUACAGCGGAAUUAAAGCAUACUUGUUUGAGCCAUUGCUUCACUUGCAGAAAAGUAGAUCACUCUGAUAAUCAAGGAUCUAUCGGAAUACCAUAUCUUCCUCUUUAUGACCUAUUUCGAUAUAGCAGCUUUUAAUGGGAUUAAAGCAACUAAUAGGUAUAAUCUACCCUUUUAUAGGCUAGAGAGGAGACCUAGCAAACCCUAAUCAAUAGCGUGUCAACUGGGCCCUUCCCAUUACGAGCUUCAGUCAAACACAAUUGCCUAUACUUUGCUGCUCAACUAGGCCCGUUAACAAUAGAUGCCAAUACCCAAUUCAAUCAGAUCACUUUAGGGUAUAACAAAUAUUGGAAAAUGAUCUUAGUGAAGAUGAGUCAAAAGAGGAUCGGGAUGAUCCCAUCUCUUUUGUGAACCCUAUGUAUAUGUGUAAAUAGAGUGAGACUUUGAAGUUUGUGAAUCAAAUUUAACGGAAACUAAUGGAUGGUAUAUUUGACACAAAUAUACUAGUUUAAAGUUCUUUGUGAUUAAAAAAUUAGUUCGAGGUAAAUUCGUUAUGGAUAUACUAGUUUAGGACUUUUUGUGGUUAAAAUUAAUUUGGGUAAAUUUAUCGCAAUAGUACUAAAUUGGGGGUUUUUGUGGUAUUAAACCUUAAUUUUAUGGCACUUCAAUCCGCUCCAAAUUUUUAAUCAUUUUAUAAUGUUUUUACAGUUUUUUAGAAAAUGGACAUCACGCGGCUAAACAUGAAAGCUUGAUAAAGAGUGAAGUAUUGCUGUCAGCAGGAUGAGCAAAAGACAUGUAUGAAUCAGGAAUCGCUUGGACUGUGCCGGACCAGUUCUCGGUUGCUGAAAACUUGAAUCAAUGGAUACAGGUCCGGUUUUUUUUAUGUUAGGUGUGGAAUUACCUAUUAAAUUUUUUUGUCAUAAAGAAAACCCGAAGUCAGACUCCAGACUUCUCUCUCUCUCUAACUCACGAUCCCUCUCUCUCUCAACUCGCUCAACUCACGACCUCGAGGGUCGUCGCUGAGUUACGCUUACUCUCGGCCUCGACGGUUUUUGAGGCACCAAUUUGCCUCUCGCCUCUUGCCGCCCAUUUACCUUAAUUUUUCCCUUUGUUUCGUCUGGUUUGGUUUUGACAUGGUGCGUCUCGAUGUCUUUUACAUGGUUGCUAUCUGUUUAUGGUUUUCUUGUCUCCAUUUUUUUGAGUCGUGGAUGGAUUCGCGAGGAAGAUGGGAUGGUCAAUGGGUAAUUGGCUCUUGAGUCUUGGAUUCGCAAUCCACCUGAGCUCAGGACUUGAUGUGAUUUUUCCACAAUUUUACCUGUGGACAUGUUCUGCUUAGCUAAAGAAUGAUCAGCUGGUGUUUUUUCUGCCUUUCUAUAUUCUAAUGUCGUUUGGUCAAGGGAGGUCAAGUGGAAAUUCUUUUAUUACAAGUGGCGAAAGUCAUUUUGGUGAAGUGCUGUUUCAGGUUACUGGUAGUCGUGAUCUUUUACGAAGCUUUCUUUGGAUUUUUGCCUGCAAGUGUCUAUGUUUGUCUGACGAUCAGGGAAGUCAUGUGUCCAUGGAUUCUGAAUUGUUGUAGGACAGGCAGGUAACUAACUUCAUGGGAUUGAUGUGGUUUGCUGCAUAUUGUAGCAUAACCUAGCUGCAAUGGAACAAAAAAAGAAUGAAACUGAAAAGAAAAGAAGAUGUGGCUGUUUCACGGUGGAACCUGAAACAAGCUUCAAACUGGCAGGUUCAGUUUCAAAGUCUGUUCUAGGGUCCACAGGGGUUGGUUCCCGGUUUCAAAAAUUGGGAACGAGUCCUGAUAGGGUAGGUUCUAGGUUUCAGACUUGGAACUGAUUUGCUGUUAAAAUUGAGAAUGAACCUGAGUUUGAUCAGGAGGUGAACUCAAUGAGUGGAAGCUAGGUUUAGAUUUUGAAUAUUAUUUCUUUCUCUGAAAUAAAAUCUAAUACAGCUAAAAUGCCUGUGCAACUUGUUCUGCCACCAUUGUUUAUUACAUGAGUUCGCCUAUGCUUUCUCAACUUGCUCUAUUAACAUAGUUAAGCAUUUCGUUUUGGGCCCUUGAUUUUAACUUUAUGAUUUGAUCGUUCUACUUCAUAGGAUGGUGCGGCAAAAGAGAAAGAGAAGACAAAGGAGAAGAAAAUGCGGAAGAGGAGGGAGGAAAAAGAGGUAGAAUUAUGAUCGAGGAAGAUCACUGUGUAAAAAAGUGAAAACUUUACCAAAAAAAAGAGAGAGGUAGAAUUGAGCAAAAUGUCAACAAAAUCCCAAAUAAUGUUGCAUAAAAGCUGAAUUACACGGAAAUAUUAUGAAGGAUUUUUUCGGUGUUGAUAUAAAAAUCCAAUUAACAUCACCUUCGGCCACCAACAACUCUGACAAAGGAUUAACAUCAUUGAAUGCCUAUAUACUUUGACAUCAUUUCUGUUUGAGUGCUCAUAACACAUUCUUCUCAAUGUCACUUUGCUUGACACGGGUUGAGGAAAAUUACUCUAUAAUAUUUUCAUCCAAUUUCGCCAUGUGAAGCAUUUUGGGAUUUUGUCGAGCAUAUUGCUCUUCCUAGGGACAUUUUUCUCAGCUUUGGCCUCUUUUUUGUUUCUCCUCCUCCUUUUCUUCUCCUUUGCCUUUCUCUACAUGGUCAAGCAGUUUGUCUCCUCAGCUUUUGCAUGGUGCCUAUGCAAAUUCUGGAUAUAUUGUUGAAGAGGGCUAGUGUUGAACCUGCUUGAAAGAAGCUAUCUGAACGGACUCCUGGCAGAGAUAAUUCCAUAUAAUGGCCAGCCAUGUAAAGUAGACUUAAUUGUGCUGAGGAAAGCAGGUAAAGAGUUGAGAAUUGGUGAAAGGCAGUUGAUGUUUCUUAUCUAAUCUAAGAACAUUGCUUUAACUUGUCAUCCACUUUUCUUGCAGUAUUCAAAAGGCCCUUCGCUAAUGAUUUUUUACUGUUUUGGUUUGAGAAAUUAGCUGGUGGGGUUUGGGGCCAAGUACGUUGUUCAAUCUGACCUGCAGUCUCCUUCUUUCUUGCACUUUCUUUCACACCAUCACAAGACUCUUUUCUGUGUACACGUGCGUGCAUGUGUGCAUGGUUGUUAGGAUUGCAGUCCAGAUUGUAGGAUCACGAUCAUUUGAUUCUACGACUCAAAAACUUUGAACAAUUUGGAUUCUAAGAAAAACGGUAGUCUGCAGGGGUCGUGAUCUGUAUCUUAGGAUGGCGAUCCCAACUACGAUUCCACUAUUCAAGCUUUAGAAGGCAAUUCUGCAUUUUUAGCUGGAGCAAAUAUGAAAUCGGGCCUCUGUUCCCUAGCGCAUGUGCCACUUUCUUCUUAAUCAUGUUCAGGGUCCAUUUGGAAAUUAUAAGGCUUGGAGAAUUAAGAAAAAAGGGAUGAAGAUGAAUGAACAGUAGAAAGCGAAGAAGUGCAGAGACACCAUCACUUCUUCUUCAGUCUUGAAUAAAUGAUGAGAUGGGCAUCGACCACUGUUGGAUUUCUUAACUGUCCCGUCGUUUGGAGAUGAGAGAGACAAAGCUUCUGUCAUUCUGCAACGAGAUGAGAGAGACCUCUACAUCCUUGAGAAAUUGGCGCACGAUUUGACUUGGCCUAGUAUCAUAAUAUCUUUGGAUGUAUACUGAUUAGAACUGACCUUAAACUUUAAACAGUUGAAAAACCUAGAAUAGCCAGUGAAAGUGAGUUUGUGAGAGAGAGAGAGAGAGAGAGUUCCGGGGGGGGGGGGGGGGUUAAAUUGGGGAGUGUGUCCCAGAUCGAGGGGAAUAAUAUAUUAUCCUUUGAAAUAAAGAAAGAGAUGAUAUGUAUUCCAAGAGAGAGAAGGACAAAAUAAAGGAUUAGAAAUUCGGAAAAGGCACGAAUGUAAUUUCUUGGCAGGCUUCUUCUUGAUUAUUAUGGUGAUUAUUUUAUGGUGAUCCUAUUUAAUACACCUUAAAAACUUGCGCAUGGAGAUUUUAUGCUUUUGCAUCUUUGACAUGGUGCUUUAAUUGUUAGUUCAAAAACUGGCAACCAAGAAUUUAAACCAGAGUAAUCUCUCACAUGAGAAUGCUACCUUUAAGCUUCACUAUCCCUCUUUUAAAGGUUAAUAUGCAUCUACUUUCAAUGAUUCAAGCAAGAAUUUAAUACUUAAAAUAUGUAGGAUCUUAUGAUCUUGAUCUGAUCUGGAAGACUUCAAAAGGAUCCUACUUAGCAUCUCGAUCCGGAUAACCUUUUUGUGUGUGUGACGAAGAUUGCCCAGCUUUAAUAUUUAUUGUGAAUUUAUUUGAUCUUAGUUAUAUAUUUGACAGGAGAAAUAUGGAUCCAGUUGUAAAGUUUCUAAUGGGCGACUCCAGAGUGAAACUGCUUUUCUGUUGGCUAAGCAGCUUUCACAUGGAGCUUUUCUUCUCUAUGUCAGUAUCUGUCUUGUCCCUGUGCUCAUAUUGCAUGGAUGGAGACUGACUGCAGAACAUGAAGAAAGAGUAAGGGCAAUUUUACAGUUCCUCAUCAGUUUGGUGUAAGAUUGAUCUCUGAAGCAUAAUGGGCCUUAGAGCCUUGAGUGUAGGACUAGCCUCUUUAAUUUCAGCAAAAGAGUGUGGAGAAUCUGUCUUUGUUUGCUUCUAUUACGGAAUCCUACGGCUUCCUUUGCUUCAGAUGGAAUGAAUAGCUAGUAUUUGUUCUCCAACAGGUUAUAUUCACUUUGAUGCUUCAAGUUGUCCGUUUUAUCCAGUGAGGGUACUCAGCUAAUUAAUAUACAAUGUCAAGUAGUAUGUUAUAUGAUUAACUUUUCCCUUUUAACUUUGUGCUUGCAUCGCUUCUACCUGAAUAUAUAUGUAUAUCCUUGGAAGUGAGCCAUAUUUUACCCUGCAUGUUUAAACUUUAUGAUACUUGAAGUCUUUCACAUUAGCAAGAAUCCUUAACAUCCUUGGUUAAGUUGAAAAUUAACUUUGUACCCCUGAUAUGCCCCCCUUUCCAUUUUUGUAUUUUUCCUUAUAUCCUUGGUUUAAUUACACUAAUAUUUUGCUUACAAUGCCAAAUUGGUAAAAGCAUAGACUUAAACUACUGUGAGUAACCGUUUCUUUGGUAGCUAUUAAUUUUGAUAGCUUACGUGGACCACAGUGGUGCUGUUUGUUCGUGUUUUCAUCUCUCUCGGUUCAUUGCCAAAUCCGCAAUUGUUGACCAAGAUUGAUCCAAACAGAGCUUUGCUUCAACUUAGGUGAGUGAUUACCUGUUCUAAUUGUUCCAAAUCCAUUGUUGUUUAUACCGUCUGUUGUUUUUUCUGAUUCUAUUCAACCCCAUUUCUGGUGUUUUUCUUGCUCUUUGGUUAUGCCCUUACAAGAGUUAGUGCCCUUUUGCCUCGUCAAGAUUCCUGUUGAGAGUUUUUGGUUUGUGAUUACUAUUUUAUUACCCUUCAAUAUUGCGUUUCUUACCUUUACAAGUUGUGGUUCUUCUUCUUACAUGCUCAUCGGAAUAGAUGGAUUAUAUUUUGCAUCGAUAGCCAAAACAAAUGGUCAAACACCCAAUAAAAAAACAAAUGCCAAAAGUGGCAUGGGAGGAAGUGUCUUCUCAGUCGGAUAUGAAUGAAGAUUCGACUAACUCCUAUGAGCAUACUAAUCAUAUGAGAAGUGCCACAUGGGGUUAUUAUACAUGUUUCAUGUACAUGUUUGCUUUUAUGACUUAUUGAACCUGCUAACCUAUGGCUUCUGUGAUGGAUGUACUAUCUGCUGAUCAUAUGAUGUCGUUGUGUCAUUGGGUGCAUUGUGCUUGGUUUGGUAGGAAGGAGGGAUGUGUUGUGCAAUUUGGAAAAUUUUGUUACAAGGAUGAAUGCUUGGUAGAUGUACAUUUUUUGAGUUUGUUUAGACUUUAAGCUAAUUCUAGCUUUGUUAUUAAAUGCAUGAAAUCAAAUGUGCAGACAAAGGAGGUGAAUAAACUUACCUCCUUGCCAAUUGCAUAUUUUUUUGGCUGACAUGAAUGAAUGUGGUUUAGACCAUCCUAAUAGGAAUUAUAUCUGUGUUUCUGUUAUUAAAUGUCGGUUGAUUUCUAUGAGAAUUUAAUGUUGUUCUGAUAAGGCUUCCCAAGGAACAAUUGCUGUCCUCACUUGCGGCUGUUUCAGACAAAUUUAUCAGCAAAAUAAGGGUCAUGUUAAGAAGCUCAUUCGUUUGCUGUUUUCUUACAGAGUAGCAUGGCCUUUCUAUUAAUGCAAGUAUAGCUGAUCAGGAGACAGUCCAAAGGCUGAUUUUGUAUUUGGGAGUAUCCAUCCUGAUUCAGAGGUUGCUGAUAAUAUCAUUUGGAGGACUUCUCCUGCUAUUGAUGUGGAUUCUAUCAAAUCGUUCAGAGAUAUGAAGCUGCUGCGUGUUCUUUUUAGUUGUAGUCCAAGUUGAAUUGUAACUCUUUUUUUAGGUCAAGCAUGAUCAGAGAACCAGCUGGAUAUUUUUGUGGGAAGAAGAGAAUUCGUAGGGUGAUCCCACCAUAUCUAUUGUAAUCAUCUAAGUUGGUUGUACCUCUUCUCUCUUUUCUUUUUGAACCGUAUACCAACUUCGUUGCUAAUGUGCUAUUGGUUUUCUGUUGUAAUCAUCUAGUGCCAAAUGAAGAGAGAUUUGUGGACCUCAUUUAAAGCAUAAAUACUUUUCAAUAUCUUUCUUUAAGCACAUGUGGUUCAUUCUCAUUGGAAAACCAAGAUAAUACUAUUGGCUAUAGAACACAAGUAGAUGGUCCAGGGGAAAUAUAUGAUCCAGCAUUCAUCACAUUUAACCUCACUUUGUGUAAGGAAGAAUAGUAAAUACUGUUUGUGCUACUGUGAGAAAGAGCAACACAAUGGCUGCGAGAACGGACAAGGAAGCCCAAGGACUAUGGAAAUAUUCCCUCCUCAGUUUCGCCAUCCAGGCGUUCCACUUCUUCGUGUAAUGUGCAUUCACAUUGUUGAAGAUCUCGAAAUAAUAAGGAUAAGAUACCGUGACGUGGUCAUAGGUCCUGUGAACAUAUGCGCAACCACCUUGUCAUCACCCAAGUAGUUCUUAAUAAUCCCUGCGCGGCGAAGCACCUCGACAUCCCCUUUAGAGGUUACGAGGCAAUCCGUGAAGGUAAUAUAAUCUGUGAAGUAGUUGAUGUCUCUGCUUUGAUGAUGCUGCUCGUACGCGAUCAGGUUUCGAAAAUUUGAUUCGGUGUCGUCCUCUACACAGAAGGCCAGUAACUCGAGUGUCCCGUUCUUGAAUUUGAUGUCGCUCAGUGCGCACCCUUGCGCAGCCCUAAACCUGACUCCUGACUCCGUUAGCUCAGUCGCCGAGGGCAUGACUGGUGUGCAGUUCAGGUGGGGCGUUUCAGGCAAGCCAGAAGUGCACCACGCGUGAUACAGAUGCAGAAGAUGUUCCCAGUUGCCAAUCGUCAAAUUUCGGUCGGGGUUUUUUCGUUCACCCUGGAAGUACAUGAUGACGACUUUGCUGAACUCAUGAUGCUCGUCCUCAGUCAGGUCAUAUAGCUUGCUCAAGACGAAAAGUGGGAGUUGGUUCUCUAGCAGCAGUAAAUCGCGCCUAAUGCUAUUUCGAUUCCCACAUUCAUUCAUAACCGGGUCGUCUUUGUCUGUCGCUAUCAUCCGAUUGUACUUACGGAAGAACUCAACGAUGAAACAUCCAUCAAUGAGCAUCAUCGCAAGAAACUUUUCUUGGGAGAGGUCAAUGGUUUCCGCAUAGCAAUUACGCGCCCGCUGUUCCAGUUCCCUGAGAGUCGGCAUAUACCUGUCGACACUCUCCUUUCUCCUAUCAAGCAAUUGCUGCAGGUAUCGCAGUUUUUGCUCCUCCAUGAAUUUGAACUUGCCAUUUCCAUAGUGAUAAGGGCCGAUGGCUAGGAUCUCUGGGUCAUAGGCUUUCUCGUUGACUUCGCGCAGUUGAUUACGAACCCUAAAUAUACAAUGCUCCGGCGAAGUGGGAGGCAUACUUCGAAGCAUAUUCUCGAUGUGGAUUGAGGCAUGAUCUCGCACCCUGAAACGGUCGUAGAUCCCAGCAUGCUGUAUUGGCUACGACAUAAUUAAUGUGAUAAUAAGCACUUGGUAAAGCAAGAUGAUUGUUUUACAUGUGCUUCCGAGGACAAAUUUGUAUUUUUGUGCGAAUAUUGAUGGACAAUACAAAUUAAGCACCGUGGUUGAACACGUGGUGUGGACAUUCAAUACAAACAGAUGGAUAGCUGAGGAAAAAUUACGAAACCCGUAAUAUUGCUCCUUAUAAUAUUGCUCUGAGAAUAAAUUAACAGCUGUAUGGGCUUUUUACUUUUGAGCUUCGGAGAACCCCUUUUGCUCUAUGGACGAGUUUUGACUUUUGGGAAGGCAAAAGAACAGCACAAGUACCAAACUUGGCAUGGAAUACUUAAGUGUCACUUCAUUUUGAAAAUUGGGAUAUCUAAUUUCUAAGUGUGGUGACCUUGGCCAAAAAUUCUACGUGACAAUUUUUUAAUAAUAUAACUCGUCUACGUGACUUGUCGGAGAGUUGAAUCAAUAAAAAAAAAACCAAAACUAUAUCGUUUUACCUUUUAUUUUGUUUUAUUUUAAUAUAAAUGUUCAUUAAAUUAAAUUAUUUUGGAAAAACAAAUGAAGAUUGCAAAACAGCGAGGGCUCAGCCCCUGCCGCCCUCACUGAGGAGGGUUGGCAAUGAUGGGGGAAGGGUUGAUUAGGGUCGCUGGCCCCUGGCCAAGGCUCGACGACCCUGGCCGACUAGUGGUGAGGGCCUACAUCCCUCACCCAGCUCUAGGGCGAGGGUCGUGGCCCUCCCCCAGAUCCAGCAAGACCCCCCAACCAGUGUUGGCCCUUGGCCUAUUAAGUGAGGGUCAGCGACCCUCGUCAGAUCUAGGAGAGGGCUACAACCCUCACCCCGGAUCUAAGUUAGGGCUUACGAGCCCUCACCACUAGGGCUCGGCUACCUCGAUUGACUCUACCCCCACCAUCGCUGGCUCUUCCGAGUGAUAGUGGCAAGGCGGCGGUGAGGAGGGCUAGCAUAGCCCUCACCAUUCUACAACCCUCUGUUUAUUUUUUAUUUUUAAAAAUUUUCAGUUUUAAAUUUAAGUUAAGUAAUAUUUAUAUUAAAAUUCAAAUUCGAGGGAAAACGAUGUCGUUUCAGCUUACUAACCACGUUAGCAUGCAAAAUAACAUUGUUUUUUUGCUUAUUUAGCCACGUCGUCAUUUUUCACUUGUCUCAUAAAAAAACUGCUACGUUAGCAUUUUGACUAGAUUUUCUCACCGUUAACACUUGACUAAUCUAUUUUGCUUCGAUUUCGACACUUAAAUAUAUAUUUCCUAACUUUUGACACUGGACUAAAUUUUGGCAUUCUAAGGAUCCAGGUCUCCUUUUAAGAAUUUGAGUCCCAAAUUUUUCUCUCUCCAGCCACCAAGCAAGGACAACCUUUUAGACACUAACAUGUGAAUUUUAAAACUAAUUGGGGUGUUCUUAUUGUGAGCUACUUACCAUCGAUGUUGAAGGCGUAAGAACCACGCUGAAUAGUUUUAAACUACAUAAGAAGAAUACUUGGAAUGAAAUUCGACUAAGAUAAAAUACAGAAAUGUUAUUAAACGCGAUGAGAACUGAGGAUUUCAGGUUAGAGAAGGUAAGACAAGCUUCUAGCUAAAUAACAUAUAAAUGACUGCUUUUUAAAAAAAUAUAAAAUUCUACCUAAGAAUAUAAGGAAUUUUUUGACCUAGGGAGGCAAGGCUGCCAGUGGCCUGGUACUACUGAUUAAAUGGUAGACAUAAGUUUAGAAAUUAUUUGUGUGAUAACCCUCUCUAGAAGGAUGAAAGCAAUCGGUAACUAAACCAAGAGAAGACAAAAUUGAUGCUUGAGUGACUGUCUAGCUGAGACAUGUUAGUUAACGUAAUUUUGGCGCCCUAAAUUAGAUCGAACGUGUAUGAUUUAAUUUUAAGUGCUUGCCAGAAUCAUGUUAAUUAAUGGACCAUAACUCAGAAUUGAAAUGGUCUCAUCCUUCAACAUUAUGUUUUUCUUUUCUCAGUGUGAAUAGGAAGGGAAAUUCGCAGGACUUACUUGAUUACGUUGGUGGUUGCUCAUUCUUCUCACCAAGCUAGACCAGCUACUAUCACACAGUAUCCAGUUCUUCUCUUUUUCUGGUUAGAACAUGCGAUCGUACAUGGCGAGAGCGAGAGAGAAGAGGGCGACGAUGCUAACAGAUAUUGAGGCGAUCGAUGGAGGAAGAAUCAGCAGGUUGGAUGCGUGAAAACAUGCGAUCGUACAUGGCGAGACCGAGAGAAUAAGAAACCUUGCGUUGUCGCGGAUAGAUGCAUUUCGGCUUGGGCUUUUCGAGCCCGGAUUUCCGAAGCCCGAGAGGCUCAUCCUCGUCAACCAUUUAGUUAAACAGAUGCUAAUUAAAUAAUCCUUUGUUCAAAUAUUAUUGUAAUUUACAAUUCCCUAGCAUGAAAUUACUACUAUCACCUAGAGGCAAAAUGAGACUACCGCAUACACCAACCAUUUAUACAAAAUUCAAACACAUUUUUCUUUGGCCCAUCGACCUUGGUCGUCACUACUUCCGACGGUAGAGGGUACUGCAAUAAGAAAUAUGAAGUCAUCCACAAGUUGCAUUGUACUAUGUGGACCAUUUCACAAAAUUUCACGGAAUUUGUGGAAAGAGUCCUACAUUCUACCUGCUAGCUAGAAAAUAAUAGUCUUCACGAUGGAGGCAACUUGUACAAUUGUGAUAAAUGCAUAUAUAAAAAUGCUUGCCAAAUUCUCUGGAUUGGUGUGGUAGAACAAUGUGUUAAGAGAUUAUCAAGUUGCGUAUUUAGAUUUCACAGACUAUAUGUAAACUAUUCUCUGUAUUCCAAUAAACUGUGAGAAAUAUAUGAUCACAUUUAUUUUUGCUUUGUGUAAGAAAGAAUAGUAAAUACUAUUUGCCCUACUACUGUGAGAAGGAACAUUUACUUGCUUGUUGUGGAGGUGCGUACGUAUGAAAGAUUUUGAUUGUUGUCUUAAAUUUCACAGUCAUACGAGCUUGCUUUUGGUAAAUAUAAGCGAGUGGAGAAAUUCUUGACAUUUUACGCACUUAAUAUGCUUCCUUUUCUGAUAUUUUUAGCAUCAUUAUUGGUAGAGAUCCUAGUUAGACUGCCCUUUAAGAGUAUCAUUCGUGUUUACUACAUCAUUGAAGGACUAGGUCUCGUGAACCGUCCUAGCUGACAUGAUUUUGCUUUAUGUACAUUAGUUUGGAUACACUUUAAUUUAGGAUACUACGAAAUCCCAAAUUAAUAUAAUUAUAAAUUUAUCUCAAAUUAAUUUUUUGACUACAAAAAACUCCAAACUAAUAUAUUUGUGAAAAAAUUUCCCCUAUUUUAGUUUUAGUAAAAUUUUACUGUCAAAUUUUUUAGUCGGAUGAUAUGUGAUAGUUAACUGGUAUAACAGUUUGAUGUUUUACGUUCAGUUUCUAGUUUUGUAGUUUUUCAUAAUAUUAAUCAAAUUUAACGGAAACUAAUAGAUGGUAUAUUUGACACAAAUAUAUCAGUUUGAAGUUCUUUGUAAUAAAAAAAUUAAUUCGAGGUAAAUUCGUUAUGUGUAUACUAGUUUGGGGCUUUUUGUGGUCAAAAAUUAAUCCGGGGUAAAUUUAUCGCAAGAGUACUGAAUUGAGGGUUUUCGUGGUAUUAUUCCUUAAUUUUAUGACACUUUAGUCUGUUCCAAAAUUUUAAUCAUUUUAUAAUGUUUUUAUAUUUUUAGAAAAUGGACCUCACGUGGCUAAAUAUGAAAUCUUGAUAAAGAGUGAAGUAUUGUUGUCAGCUGUAGGAUGAGCAAAAGAAAUGUCUGAAUCAGGAACUGCUCGGACCGAGGCAGGCAGACAAGUCCUCGGUUGCUGAAAACUUGAGUAAGUGGAUGUUGGUCCGGUUUUUUUUAUAUUAGGUGUGGAAUUCCCUAUUUAAUUUUUUUGUCAUAAAUAAAGCCCGAAGUCAGACUCCAGACUUCUCUGUCUCUCUUCUCUAACUCAUGAUCCCUCUCACUCUCAACUCGCUCAACUCACGACCUCGAGGCUCGUCGCUCAGUUACGCUCAAUCUCGGCCUCGACGGUUUUUGAGGCACCAAUUUGCCCCUCGCCUCUUGCCGCCCAUUUGCCUUAAUAUUUCCCUUUGUUUCGUCUGAUUUGUUUUUGUCAUGGUGCGUCUCGAUGUGUUUUACAUGGUUGCUAUCUGUUUAUGGUUUUCCUGUCUCCAUUUUUUUGAGUCGUGAUGGAUUCGCGAGGAGAUGAGAUGUCGAUGGGUCAUAGCUUUCGAGUCUGAUUCGCAUCCACCUGAGCUCAGACUUGAUGUGAUUUUACACAAUUUUACCUGUGGACAUGUUUCUGCUUAGCUAAAUAAUGAUCAGCUGGUGUUUUUUCUGCCUUUCUAUAUUCUAAUGUCGUUUGGUCAAGGGAGGUCAAGUGGAAAUUCUUUUAUUAAAAGUGGCGAAAGUCAUUUUGGUGAAGUGCUGUUUCAGGUUACUGGUAGUCGUGAUCUUUUAUGAAGAUUUCUUUGGAUUUUUGCCUGCAAGUGUGUAUGUUUGUCUGACGAUCAGGGAAGUCAUGUGUCCAUGGAUUCUAAAUUGUUGUAGGACAGGCAGGUAACUAACUUCAUGGGAUUGAUGUGGUUUGCUGCAUAUUGUAGGAUAACCUAGCUACAAUGGAACAAAAAAAGAAUGAAACUGGAAAAAAAAAAAAUUGAAGUGGCUGGUUCUCGAUGGAACCUGAAAGCAGCUUGAAACUGGCAGGUUUGGUUUCAAAGUCUGUUCUAGGGUCCACAGGGGUUGGUUCCCAGAAUAAAAACUUGGGAACGAGUCCUGAUAGGGUAGGUUCUAGGUUCCAGACUCGGAACUGAUUUGCUGUUAAAAUUGAGAAUGAACCUGAGUUUGAUCAAGAGGUUAACUCAAUGAGUGGAAGCUAGGUUUAGAUUUUGAGUAUUAUUUCUUUCUCAGAAAUGAAAUGUAAUGGAGGUAAAAUGCCUGUGCAACUUGUUCUGCCAGCAGUGUUUAUUACAUGAGUUCGCCUUUGCUUUCUCAACUUGCUCUAUUAACACAGUUAAGCAUUUCGUUUUGGGCCCUUGAUUUUAACUUUAUGAUUUGAUCUUUCUACUUCACAGGAUGGUGCAGCAAAAGAGAAAGAGAAGAGAAAGGAGAAGAAAAUGCAGAAGAGGAGGGAGGAAAAAGAGGUAGAAUUGAGCAAAAUGUCAACAAAAUCCCAAAUAAUGUUGCAUAAAGGCUGAAUUACACGGAAAUAUUAUGAAGGAUUUUUUCGGUGUCGAUAUAAAAAUCCAAUUUAACAUCACCUUCGGCCACCAACAACUCUGACAAAGGAUUUACAUCAUUGAAUGCCUAUUUACUUUGACACCAUUUCUGUUUGAGUGCUCGUAACACAUUCUUCUCAAUGUCUCUUUGCUUGACACGGGUUGAGGAAAAUUACUCUAUAAUAUUUUCAUCCAAUUUGGCCAUGUGAAGCAUUUUGGGAUUUUGUUGAGCAUAUUGCUCUUCCUAGGGACAUUUUUCUCAGCUUUGGCCUCUUUUUUCUUUCUCCUUCUCCUUUUCUUCUCCUUUGCCUUUCUCUACAUGGUCAAGCAGUUUGUCUCCUCAGCUUUUGCAUGGUGCCUGUGCAAAUUUUGGAUAUAUUGUCGAAGAGGGCUAGUGUUGAACCUGCUUGAAAGAAGCUAUCUGAACGGACUCCUGGCAGAGAUAAUUCCACAUAAUGGCCAGCCAUGUCAAGCAGACUUAAUUGUGCUGAGGAAAGCAGGUAAAGAGUUGAGAAUUGGUGAAAGGUAGUUGAUGUUUCUUAUGUAAUCUAAGAACAUAGUUCUAACUUGUCAUCCACUUUUCUUGCAGUAUUCAAAAGGCCCUUUGUUAAUUAUUUUUUACUGUUUUGCUUUGAGAAAUUAGCUGGUGGGGUUUGGGGCCAAGUACGUUGUUCAAUCUGACCUGCAAUCUCCUUCUUUCUUGCACUUCCUUUCACACCAUCACAAGACUCUUUUCUGUGUACACGUGCGUGCAUGUGUGCAUGGUUGUUUGGAUCGCAAUCCGGAUUGUAGGAUCACGAUCAUUUGAUUCUACAACUCAAAAACUUUGAACAAUUUGGAUUCUAAGAAAAAUGGUAGUUUGCAGGGGUCGUGAUCUGUAUCUUAGGAUGGCAAUCCCAACUACGAUUCCACUGUUCAAGCUUUAGAAGGCAAUUCUGCCUUUUUAGCUGGAGCAAAUAUGAAAUCGGGCCUCUGUUCCCUAGCACAUGUGCCACUUUCUUCUUAAUCAUGUUUAGGCUCCAUUUGGAAAAUAUAAGGCUUGGAAAAUUAAGAAAAAAGGGAUGAAGAUGAAUGAACAGUAGAAAGCGAAGAAGUGCAGAGACACCAUCACUUCGUCUUCAAUCUUGAAUAAAUGAUGAGAUGGGCAUCAACCACUGUAGGAUUUCUGAACUGUCCCGUCCUUUGGAGAUGAGAGAGACAAAGCUUCUGUCCUUCUGCAACCAGAUGAGAGAGACCUCUACAUCCUUGAGAAAUUGGAGCACGAUUUGACUUGGCCUAGUAUCAUAAUAUCUUUGGAUGUAUACUGAUUAGAACUGACCUUAAACUUUAAACAGUUGAAAAACCUAGAAUAGCCAGUGAAAGUGAGUUUGAGAGAGAGAGAGAGAGAGUUGGGGGGGGGGGGUGGGGGAGGAGUGGGCAGGUGGGCUAAAUUGGAGAGUGUGUCCCAGAUCGAGGGGAAUAAUAUAUUAUCCUUUGAAAUAAAGAAAGACACCAUAUGUAUUGCAAGGGAGAGAAGGACAAAAUAAAGGAUUAGAAAUUCGGAAAAGGCACAAAAGUAAUUUCUUAUCAGGCUUCUUCUUGAUUAUUAUGGUGAUUAUUUUAUGGUGAUCCUAUUAAAUACACCUUAAAAACUUGGGCAAGGAGAUUUUAUGCUUUUGCAUCUUUGACAUGGUGCUUCAAUUGUUAGUUGAAAAAGUGGCAACUAAGAAUUUAAACCAGAGUAAUCUCUCACAUGAGAAUGCUACCUUUAAGCUUCACUAUCCCUCUUUUAAAGGUUAAUAUGCAUCUACUUGCAAUGAUUUAAGCAAGAAUUUAAUACUUAAAAUAUGUAGGAUCUUAUGAUCUUGAUCUGAUCUGGAAGACUUCAGAAGGAUCCUACUUAGCAUCUCGAUCCUGAUAACCUUUUUGUGUGUGUGACAAAGGUUGCCUAGUUUUAAUAUUUAUUGUGAAUUUAUUUGAUCUUAGUUAUAUAUUUGACAGGAGAAAUAUGGAUCCAGUUGUAAAAUUUCUAAUGGGCGACUCCAGAGUGAAACUGCUUUUCUGUUGGGUAAGCAGCUUUCACAUGGAGCUUUUCUUCUCUAUGUCAGUAUCCGUCUUGUCCCUGUGCUCAUAUUGCAUGGAUGGAGACUGACUGGAGAACAUGAAGAUAGAGUAAGGGCAAUUUUACAGUUCCUCAUUAGUUUGGUGUAAGAUUGAUCUUUGAAGCAUAAUGGGCCUAAGAGCCUUGAGUGUAGGACUAGCCUCUUUAAUUUCCGCAAAAGAGUGGAGAAUCGGUCUUUGUUUGCUUCUAUUAUGGAAUCCUGUGGCCUCCUUUGCUUCAGAUGGAAUGAAUAGCUAGUAUUUGUUCUCCAACAAGUUAUAUUCACUUUGAUGCUUCAAGUUGUCCAUUUUAUCCAGUGAGGGUACUCAGCUAAUUAAUAUACUAUAUCAAGUAGUAUGUUAUAUGAAUAAAUUUUCCAUUUUAAUUUUGUGAUUGCAUCGCUUCUACCUGAAUAUAUAUGUAUAUCCUUGGAAGCGAGCCAUAUUUUACCCUGCUUGUUUAAACUUUAUGAUACUUGAAGUCUUUCACAUUAGCAAGAAUCCUUAACAUCCUUGGUUCAGUUGAAAAUUAACUUUGUACCCAUAAUAUGCCCCCCUUUCCAUUUUUGUAUUUUUCCUUAUAUCCUUGGUUUAAUUACACUAAUAUUUUGCUUACAAUGCCCAAUUGGUAAAAGCAUAGACUUAAACCACUGUGAGUAACCGUUUCUUUGGUAGCUAUUCAUUUUGAUAGCUUACCUGGACCAAAGUGGUGCUGUUUGUUCGUGCUUUCAUCUCUCUCAAUUCCUUGCCAAAUCCGCAAUUGUUGACCAAGAUUCAUCCAAAUGGAGCUUUGCUUCAACUUAGGUGAGUGAUUAUGAGUUGUAAUUGUUCCGAAUCCAUUGUUGUUUAUACCGUCUAUUGUUUUUUCUGAUUCUGUUCACCCCCCUUUCUAGCGUUUUUCUUGCUCUUUGGUUAUGCUCUUACAAGAGUGAGUGCCUUUUGCCUCUUCAAGAUUCCUGUGAAGAGUUUUUGGUUUUUGAUUAGUAUUUGAUUACCCUUCAAUAUUGCGUUUCUUACCUUUACAAGUUGUGGUUCUUCUUCUUACAUGCUCAUCGGAAGAGAUGGAUUAUAUUCUGCAUCGACAGCCAAAAUAAAUGGUCAAACACCCAAUUAAAAAAACAAAUGCCAAAAGUGGCAAGGGAGGAAGUGUCUUCUCAGUCGGAUAUGAAUGAAGAUUCGACUAACUCCUAUGAGCAUACUAAUCACAUGAGAAGUGCCACAUGGGGUUGUUAUACAUGUUUCAUGUACAUGUUUGCUUUUACGACUUAUUGAACCUGCUAACCUGUGGCUUCUAACCUGUGAUGGAUGUACUAUCUGCUGAUCAUAUGAUGUCGUUGUGUCAUUGGGUGCAUUGUGCUUGUUUUGGUAGGAAGGAGAGAUGUGUUGUGCAAUUUGGAAAAUUUUGUUACAAGGAUGAAUGCUUGGUGGAUGUACUAUAUUUUGAGUCUCUAUUUAGACUUUAAGCUAAUUCUAGUUUUGUUAUUAAAUGCAUGAAAUCAAAUGUGCAGAGAAAGGAGGUGGAUAAACUUACCUCCUUGCCAAUUGCAUAUUUUGUUGGCUGACAUGAAUAAAUGCGCUUUAGACCAUCCUAAUAGGAAUUAUAUCUGCGUUUCUGUUAUUAAAUGUCGGUUGAUUUCUAUGAGAAUUUAAUGUUGUUCUGAUAAGGCUUCCCAAGGAACAAUUGCUGUCCUCGCUUGGGGCUGUUCCAGACAAAUUUAUCAACAAAAUAAGGCUCAUGUUAAGAAGCUCAUUGGUUUGCUGUUUUCUUACAGAGUAGCAUGGCCUUUCUAUUAAUGCAAGUAUAGCUGAUCUGGAGACGGUCCAAAGGCUGAUUUUGUAUUUGGGAGUAUCCAUCCUGAUUCAGAGGUUGCUGAUAAUAUCAUUUGGAGAACUUCUUCUGCUAUCGAUGUGGAUUCUAUCAAAUCGUUCAGGGAUACGAAGCUGCUGCGUGUUCUUUUUAGUUGUAGUCCAAGUUGAAUUGUAACUCUUUUUUUAGGUCAAGCAUGAUCAGAGAACCAGCUGGAUAUUUUUGUGGGAAGAAGAGAAUUCGUAGGGUGAUCCCACCAUAUCUAUUGUAAUCAUCUAAGUUGGUUGUACCUCUUCUCUCUUUUCUUUUUGAACCUUAUACCAACUUUGUUGCUAAUGUGCUGUUGGUUUUCUGUUGUAAUCAUCUAGUGCCAAAUGAAGAGAGAUUUGUGGACCUCAUUUAAAGCAAAAAUACUUUUCAAUAUCUUUCUUUAAGUACAUUUGGUUCGUCCUCAUUGGAAAACCAAGAUAAUACUAUUGGCUAUAGAACACAAGUAGAUGGUCCGGGGGAAAUAUAUGAACUGGCACUCAUCACAUUUAACUUUACUUUGUGUAAGGAAGAAUAGAAAAUACUGUUUGUGCUACUGUGAGAAAGAGCAACACAAUGGCUGCGGGAACGGACAAGAAAGCCCAAGGACUAUGGAAAUAUUCCCUCUUCAGUUUCGCGAUCCAGACGUUCCACUUAUUCUUGUAAUGUGCAUUCACAUUUGGGAAGAUCUCGGAGUAAUAGGAAUCGGAUACAGCGACAUGGUCACCGAUCUUGUUGAACAUCUGUGCAAUAACCUUGUCAUCGCCUAGGUAGUUCUUAACAAUCCCUGCGUGGCGAAGCACCUCGACGUCCUUUGAAGAGCUUAUGAGGCAAUCCAUGAAGGUCACGUAAUCCGUGAAGUAGUUGAUGUCUCUGCUUUGACGAUGCUGCUCAUAUGCGAUCAGGUUUCGAAAAUUUGAUUCGGUGUCAUCCUCUACAUACAAGACCAGUAACUCGAGUGUCCCGUUCUUGAAUUUGAUGUCGCUCAGUUCGCGCCCUUGCGCAGCCCUAAACCUGACUCCUGACUCCCUUAGCUCAAUCGCCGAGGGCAUGA
rnacentral:lncRNA from 1 species